rnacentral:lncRNA from 1 species
GCAGUGAAUUACAUCAGUACACAGCAACAGAUGCUACAUAGCAGUUAAUGUUACAGCUUUCAGAGACAUAUCUAUAAUCUAAGUUCAUUUUCCGGGGACAAAGUUAGUGGCAUAAGCCCAUGCGUUGUUGGCCACCGGAUCGGCAAGGUGGUCAAGGAGGUUCUCAAUGGGACCCUUUCCUGUGACAAUAGCCUGGACAAAGAAUCCAAACAUGGAGAACAUUGCAAGGCGGCCAUUCUUGAUCUCCUUAACCUUCAAUUCUGCGAACGCAUCAGGAUCAUCAGCCAGUCCAAGUGGGUCGAAAGCACCACCUGGGUAAAUUGGGUCCAGUCCUUCACCAAGUGGUCCCCCUCCAACUCUGUAUCCUUCAACAAAUCCCAUGAGCACAACUUGGCAAGCCCAGAUUGCAAGAAUGCUCUGAGCAUGGAUAAGGUUUGGGUUGCCAAGAUAGUCAAGGCCACCCUCGGAGAAUAUUUGAGAUCCAGCUUUGAACCAAACUGCCUCUCCGAACUUAACUCCAUUCUUUGAAAGAAUUUCAGGGAAGACACAACCAAGGGCACCAAGCAUUGCCCAUCUGCAGUGGAUCACUUCAAGCUCACGGUUCUUAGCAAAUGUCUCUGGGUCAGCUGAUAACCCAGCAGUGUCCCACCCAUAGUCACCAGGGAAUUCACCUGUCAGGUAUGAUGGGAUUUGGUCUGAGAAUGGACCCAAGUACUUUGGGCGGUCAGGGCCAUACCUGUUUUUAAAACCAAACCGUAGGUAAUCAGAUCAAGAAGCAGAAAUAUAGUUCCGUUGCAUGAUUUCGCUUGUACAUGUUAUUUCUCUUUAAAUGUAUGGCUUAAAAUAAGGCAGAUUGCUGCUAGAAUGUACUGUACAAAUUGAAAUUUUUAGUCUGUUGUUUCACAAUAUUUGGGUUAACCAUCAAUGAUUAGACUAAAAAGAUCCUUAUAACAAAAUGCUACUAGUUAGUACUAGGAAGUAGUAACAAAAGUAUACCAGAUGCUGGUAGGGGCACUUUUCACAGUUCUGCGCAUGGUAACACGACCACCAUGGAAAGCUCCGACUUUGCGUAAGAGCUCAUUGGACUGCUUCAAAGCGGUCUGGCCAACGAAAGCAGAUUGUUGGAUAGCAGAGGUUGCCAUGGUGCCUAAGGCUUUAGGUUGACUUGGUUUGUUUGCCGAUGGUUAUUGUAGUCUAUUUUGGUUUGGAGGAGAGAAGGGGUUAUAAUGGAAAUGAGAAGAUGUUGUGGAUCAGGAAAUGUACAUGUCAGCAGCAGUCUAUUGGUUGCUGCAUUGGUGUGGAUUUGCAAUUGGAUUUUUUGGAGAGUUGUAUAGGUUGAUUUUAUGCCGCGUGGAUUUGGAAAAAUCUUCUUGAUGUUUUUGGUGGUGAAGCUAAAGCCAUAUAUAUAGCCACUUAACUCUGCUAAUAUUUCUCAUGUUCUAGUAUCUCUUGUAUCAUCCGUAUAGAUAUAAGCAGCUAUUAGUGAAUAAUAAAAAUAUCUUUUAAAAGGUUAAAAUAAAUAAAAUUAUUCAAUUUAAAUAUAUAUAAACAUAUAUAUUUAUUUAGAUUUAAAUUAAUAAAUAUGUAAGAAUAGAGUUUGGCAUAAUAAUUUUAUUAAUUUAUUUAAAUAUAAAUGGACUAAAUAUACAAAAAAAAAAUAAAGUUGGUUAAUAUUAAAUUUUGAACCUUUUAAUUGAUUUUUUUAAUAAAAUUUACUAAUUUAUAGAUAAAACUAUAAUAAAUUAAUAUAUAAUAGAAAAUUUAUAUAUAACUUUUAAAAGUUGUACACUUAAAAACAUAAUCAUCUUUCUUUAGGAUACCACUAUUAAUACAUAUUUGAGUUUGAAAUUAUGAUAACUUAAUAGGGUGACUCACAAUCAUGUCUACAUUAUAUUUUUUAAAAUAAAAAGAUGUUUAUCAAAAUAGAAUUAUAACUAACAUUUGUAUAAAAUUAAAUUAAAUUAUUGACAACGUAAUAAUAAAUUUCAUAGUUAGAAUUAUAUAAAUUAUAUAAUCUAUUAGUAAAAAAAUAAGUAACUUCUAUAUUUGCAAAUAUCAUUUUUUUUGUAAUAUGAUAUUUUAAUUAUACUUUUAAGUUUUGAAAUUAUUUUAAUUUACAUGUUAAAGCACAAUUCACUUAACGUCCUAAAUAAUUAAUAUUACAAAUAAUAUAUAAAAUAGUCAAUAACAAUUCAUGAUAAAUUAGCAAAUUAUGAUAGACAAGACAAUGAUCACAAGUUUCUUCUUCAAAAUUUCACUAUUUUCAUACAUAUAAGCAGCUAUUAGUGAACGAUAAAAAAAUAUCUUUUAAAAUUUUAAAAUAAAUUAAAUUAUUCUAUUUAAAUAUAUAUUUUUUAAAUUUAAAGAAAUAUUUAAUAAUAGACUUGACAUAAUAAUUCACUUUAAAGAUAAAAUAAUAUAAAUAUGAAAUCUUAUUAAUUUAUUUAAAUAUAAAGGAAUUAAAUAUAUGAAAAAUAAAAUUCCUUAAUUUAAUUAAUAUCUAGUAGGUUAACUUACAAUUAACUAAUUAAAUUUUAAAAUUUUUAGAUUAAAUUCUUAAUAAAAUUCAUUACAAGAAAGUUUUAACAUUUAAUAAUUUAUAGAUAUUGGUGGAGCAUAUGGAGCCUGUGACGGUUGCUAGAUAUGGGAACGGGGUGGAGGAUAGGUACUGGCGAAGCAGUCUCAAUUUGGCAAGAUAAGUGAUAAUGUGCUUGAUCAAUAUAUUUUUAUUAUUUAUUGUAACAUCUCAUGCUCGGUUCGGUAACCGGAGUCGAACAAAAUAAUGUUAUUACCAAAUAUUUAAAUGAUUUUGAAACAUUCAGCUAAUUGGAAUAUGCAACAACAUGAGUUGAUAGCUUAUUUUGUUUUUGGCACUUACUUAAAAGUUUACAAAAUAUAUAUUUAAUCCAACCGUACAUACUGCCUUGUGUUUAAAAGAGUUUCGACUAAAUAUAGUAAAAUCAGAUUCUUAGUUUACUAGCGUGUGGACUACCACGAUAUGUACAUGUUACAAAAAUACAAUUAAAAGGCUCACAACUAAAACUUCAGCUUUUGGCUUAGUCCUUUUCCUAUCGUUCAAAACGGCUAUUGAUACCUGAAGAGAUAAAUCAAGAAGCAUGGUAAGUUCAAAAUGAUCUUAGUGAGUUCCCAUGAUGUUUACUUGCCCCCACAUACAACUUGCGUGGAAUAUAAGAAACGCAUAAGGACAACUAAUACGUUAAACAUUUCACGAAAGAAUAUAAGCAACAAGCAUACAAUACACUUCGCUCAAAUAAACAGUUCACUUUCACUCUCUGCAAACAUAUGUGUUACGGUAAGUAUAGUUGAAUUUACCCAAUGCAACCUAUACAGGUGAAAGAUCUUAGUGGAGUCAUACUCUGCUAAUACACACCAGACACAUGCCUGUGGAUUCAUGUCCACGGAUACAUACCUGCAGACUCAGGUUUGUGGAUUCAUACCUGCCCUCGUAUAUACAAAUCUAUUCUUAAAGAUAAUUCUUGCGGGCUUACGUCCGAUGAAUAUUUCUCAUGCAAUUGUGCUUGGAGAACUUAGACUCCCAGACUCACACUAUGCGAAUUGUUCGUGCAGACUUAUUUUCAUUAAUUUUCAUAUAACGGAGUCCCAGAAGACCGACUUAGCCUAGGAGCUUGAGGACAAGUCCUACAGACUAUCUUAGAUUGUAUUAUAGUCCUUAUGGACUCAUACUUGCAGUUGAUCCGGUGAACUCAUACUUGGAUGGUAAUCCAGGCGGACUCUUGUUUGAAUGAUGGUCUUGGUGGACUCACAACCAAGGAUUCUCUUUUAGAGAAACCAUUUGCGAAUACAUACUUAGUGAAUUUGUACACGUAGAUUCAUUCUGGUGCAGACACAUGCUUGUACACUUAAAGACAAGUCCUGGGGACUAUCAUAAACCUGUAUAUGUAAGGACAACUCCCAACGGAUUGUCAUAACUUGUGACUUGGAGACAAAUCCCACCACAACGCCACUCAUCUUUCAAUUAACAUCCUUCCACAACACCGAAACUUCUCUUUCAAUUAAAAUCUUGCCACAACGCUGAUACUUCUUUCAAUUAACGUCCCGCCACAACACCGAUACUUCAUGUAACACCCCUCACCCAAUCUGAUCGCUGGAUCCAAGUUUCAGGAUGCUACUACAAUUAUCUGAACAUUCACACGCAAAUCAUAACAUUGAAUUCAAUUUAAGUCAACAAGUUGUCACUACAACAAAACAGGUUUUUAGCGGCAUUUUUUUGGCCCUUUAAGCGUUGCUAUAAUUUUGUGGCGUUUAUGUGGACAAAAGCCGCUAUAGAAUAUGAUAUUUAGCGGCUCUUUUUUUACAAACGCCGCUAAAAAGCAUGACCUUUAGCGACGAUUUUCCCAAAAACGCAGCUAAAAAAUAUGACCUUCAGUGGCACUUCUCUCGAAAACGCAGCUAAAGAACAUAUGCUAAAAAAUAUAACCUUCAGCGGCGUUUUUGGGUGAAAAAUAAAAAAAAUCAAAAUAUCAUAAAAACGCCACAAAUCCAUUCCUAUCCCUUUACCUGCUUUAAGCAAAUCCUUUAGAAAUGUUGUUAUUAUUACAUACAUCACUCCAUUCUUUGGUUAGAGAAUGUAGCAGAAGUGGAAUUCCACCAAUUUAGAAAUGCAUAAUUUAAUUUGAAGACGUAUUAAAAUGGAAAUUCAUGAACAAGAAGAUCAAUGUUUUUCACUAUAUCUCAUGUAACGAGUCAAACUGCCUUUGAUUACAUAAGAUUCCUUUAAAAUUAAAAAAAAUUCAAACUAGUUCAUAUCAACUUGCUCAAGUUGUAUGUAUGACUUGCAGAUCAACACCUUAUUUGAACUUACAAUUCUAGGAAAGCAUAAAAUGUAGUUCCAUGAGCAUGCAUUUAAAGUGGCAAAAAAAAAUUUACUGAUUACAGUGACAGUCUAAGCUCCAAAUCUAGCUCUUGUGUGUCACUUGAUUCUGAAUUCUGACUGCCCGAUCCCAAUGAGUUGCUGCAAUGUUUCUUGCUCCUUGAAUGUGAAUCCUAUAAGAAUGUAAGGAACUAAAACAAGUCAAAUUUUAAAACACAAUCAUCACAUGGCACAUAAACUAAAAAAAGGAAGGAUAAUAAUUUAGAAGAUAAAUUAAAUAAUUUAGGAGAUAUUAAAAAUUUAGACUUAAACCAUGAGUCUAAAGAAAUAUUAACUAGUGUUAAUAAUAAAUUAGAUCAGGUUAUUAAUAAUAAUAAUAUGGAGUCUGAUAUAGAUUUAGGUCAUUUAUAUUAUGGUAAUGGUAAGGAUAAUAUUUUAAUUUUAUCUGAAGAAGAAAACACUUCUUUUGAUGAGUCGUCAUCUCUGUUAAAAAAUUAUAAAAAAACAUAAAAUAAAAAAAAGAUGAUAAACAAAAAGAAUAUGAUUUCCAGCCCUAUAAAACCCUUAUAGAACAUUGGAAAGAAAAAUUUACUACUACUAAUGAUCAACUAGAAAGAGUUGAAUAUUUAAAAUUAAUUAAAGAACUUUAUGAAAAACAUAAAGAUUUUUUUAGUAUGUUUAAUUAUCAUUAUAUGUUAAAAUAUGAUGAUAGUAGCAGUUCAAGUAAUUCUGAAAAAACAGAAUUAUUUAAGAAACAAUCUGAUGAAGAAAAAACUUCAACCGAUCAGGACGAAGACAUAAAAGUCUCAACUUAUAAUUCUGAUGAAGAAACCACUUCAUUUGAAGAUGUAGACGAAGUAAUAAAUAUUCCUGAACCAAUGGAUACUGAACCAACAGAUCCUUAUGGAAAAAGAAAAAUUGAGUCAGAUAUUCAAACAAAUGAUUAUCUGAUUAAAGAUUUAAGUAAAGUUCAAUAUACAACCAGUAUGUUGACUAGUAAUAUAAAAAAAAUUAAUUGAUGAGAAAGAUCCUAAAAAUAUAAGAGAAUUUAUUAAUAGAACUUUACUAGGACGGUUAGGUGUAAAACGUAAUACUCAUCAUAGGCAUAAAAAGAAAAAAUAUAAUAAACAAGUCAAAGGGAAACUAGAAAAUAAAAAAUUUUCUGGUCAUAUUAAGAGUCAGUUUUCUAGAAGAAAAACUUCUAAAGAACUUAAAGAUAUUUUAGAUAUUAAGAUAGGUCAUAUAGUCAAAAACUUUUCUAACAAAAGAAAAGAAGUUAGAAAAAGAAUUAAUAGUCUUGAAAAACAAGAUUUAGAAGUAUGUUUUCAAAAGAAAAUAAAUCCUGAAGAAAUGUUAUAUGAGUUAAUAUCAGAAACAGAUUCUGAUAAUAAUGAUGAAUAUAUAUUAAUGUUUAAUAUAGGAAGAAGUUCUAAUAAUUAAUUAGAAGAAAUUCCGAAUUCUGAAAAACAGGAUAUUAAAUUAGGUAAUUUAAUCGCAGAAGAAAAAGACUUUUCUGAUGAAAUUAUAGAAAAAAUUAAUAAAAAUCAUAUUUCUAAAGAGGAAAUAUAUAAGAUCUCUAAGUUUAAAUAUGGACUCAGAGACAUAUAGAAAAAAUUAGCGGUAACACUGACGCUAAGGAUACAAGAGAAGGAUUAACAGAAAUCCCUCUCUUUACUAAAGAGAAAAUUAAGAGGAUUAGAAAGAAAUAUCCUCAGGUUAGAUAUAUACAUUUAGGUAUAAUCAUGAUUACUAUUAGAGCCUUAUUUAGAAGAGGUCAUGAUAUUCCUAUAAUAGCUGUCCUUUUAGGUAAAAGAUUUGAAAAUCCAAUAAAAGCACUUAUUGGAGGUAUUCAGUCUAAUUUACAUACAGGUGUAAUAGGAUUUAAAGUUAAACCAAAUUAUUUUAUUUCCAUUUCAGACCCUCUAAUAGAAGAGUGUCUUUGCCUUAGGAUUCAGACAAAAAAUUCUGAUAUCAAUGAUUUAGUAGAAGAUCUAGCAAUUAGUUGGAUUUCUAUUAAUGAAUAUACAAAUACAGCAGAAGUAGAAAUAAAAGAGAUUAAUAACAAAAUUAUUGAAAUCUUUGAACCAAACAAGUUCACUACUGAAAUUCAGCCGAAAUUAUUAGAUCUAAGAGAUCUGUCAAUUCCAAGAGAUCGGAUGAUGGAAAGAAUCAAUAGUUCUAGUACUUCUAAACCAGUUAGUACUAUAGAAUAUAUGUCAUCAGGCAAUAAAUUGUAUUUUAAAAAUAAUUGUAUAACAAAUACAAAUGAAAAUUUAGUUUUACCCUCUAGUUCUCAACCAGAAGAAGAAGAAGAUAAUAUUAGUUCAAAUAGUACACCAAUAGGAAUUAAAACUGUUCAAAUUCCUAAAUUUCCUACUGAACCUAGUAAUAAUUCUAGAAAAACUAGACUGGAAGAAAUUCAAACUUCAACAAUUGAUAAAAAGUCAAAAGUUGGAAUAAAUAUCAAAGUUACAUUUCAGUUUAGAAAAUAUAAAAAAACAUUCUCUAAAUGUUUUGAUUGAUACUGGAGCUACAAUCUGUAGUUGUAGAGAAAAUGCGAUUCUUGUAGAAAAAUGAGAAAUAAUGAAAAAACCCAUAAAAAUAAUGGGACUAGAUGGUAGUAAAACUAUUAUAAAACAUAAAGCUAAAAAUAUACCAAUCUACAUAAACAAUGUUAGAUUUGUGAUUCCUAAAAUAGUAUGUUUUCCUAACAUGAAGGGAGAUAUAUUAUUAGGUAAUAAUUUUAUAUGUAAGUAUUUACCUUUUACUAUUGAAAAACAUUCUAUUUGGUUAUCAGUAAAAAAAGAUUUUUUAGAAAUACCUCUUGAUAAUAAUAAUAAGAUUGUGUGUAAUAAAAAUUUUACACCAAUUAAACUACUAGAUAAUUAAUAAUUAUUACUAAUGAUUGUUGAUUAUCUUAAUAAGUUCUAUGGAUAGAGGUAAACAGCCUCUAAAAGAAAUACUCGAUGAAUGGACUACUGCUCACAAAAAACCCAACAAAGGGAAAGCAGUAUCGAACUCCAAAAAAGAAUUUGUACCUGCACAACUACCAUUUUAUCCUAAUCAAGGAUAUUAUGUGUCAUAUCCAAUGGUAAACCAACCACUUGGACCAAAUGUUUUAAAAUAUUCAAUGGUAAACCAACCAGUUGGAACCUCUUUUUCAAACAUGGUGUAUCAAUCACCAAUGUUUCAUGAUAUGAAUUUAGCAUCACCAACCAAUUAUACUGAAAUCAUCAAAAGUUCGGAAAAUUUGUUGAAAAAACAACAAAUUGAAGAAGAAAAAAAUCUUUCAAAAAUAAAAGAUUUUUAUAAUCCUGGUUUAUCACCAGAAAAUUAUGACUUUAUAAACGAGAUAUGGAAAACUCAUAUUUCUAAUCAAAGAGUCAAUUUCAGAAGAGCUCUUACCAGAUAUUCAUUAUUUUUAGUUGAAAAAACAACUAAAGAAAAUGAAGCUGAAGAUUUAUUAUUAAAAUCUAUUUUAUACAGAGAUUGGGAUGAAUUCCAACUCUUUGUUAUGGAUAUUAAGGAGAUAAACAAUCUUCUUGAUAUUAUUCAAUAUUUUAUUCAUAAAAAGAAAAACAAUUCUAUUAUGAAUAAAGUAUUUAGAAUAUGUAUGUUUAAUAAAGCUAGGAAAUUUUUACCGGUAGAAAUAUUCACAAAAAUAAAUGAAAUAAUUUGCAGACAGCAAAUUCAAUUUCAAAAAGCUUUUUCAGAAUAUUUUCUACAAGCAUAUGUUUUUAAUGAUUAUUUAGAUAAUGAAUUUCCUACUUUAAAAUACAGAUUAGAUCAUGAACCAUUUGAUAUAACCAAUAUUGAAUGGGGUUUUACUAAAGAAAUAGUUGUGCAAAAUCUCUCUUUUCAUCUUUUAAAAGAUUUUCCAGCUAUUGUAAAGUCAGUUUUACAAAACAUCAUAAACAAUGAUGAUUUUUAUUACUAUUUUUAUAUUGAAAUUAGUAGUCUAAUAGGUAUAGCUGAAUAAGAAAAAAAUUAUCAACCGUAUCAAAUUUGGGUUAUUAAAAAGAUGAUUGGAACCCCCCAAUUAUCUGCUGUUAAUGAAGAUAAAGAACAUUUGUCAAAAACUAUUGAUAAAUGUUAUAAUAAAUUUGAUCAUUAUCAAGUCCAAACAGGAAUUGAUUUAUUAUCACAAGCCCAUUAUCUUCUCCAUGAUGAUGUUUAUAAAUUAUGGACGGAUGGAAGGAGGAUAUUGGCAUUUCCCAAUGGAAACAUCCAGGAGGAAAGAGAUGAAGAAUCUGUGAAGCUGUUAAGAAAGAUUGUUGAAAUGGAGAUAGAAGAAUUUCCAUCUCAUAUUACAGAAAAAAUAAAAAAUAUAUGGGAGACUUGGAACUCACCACCAAGACUUUCAUCAGAUUUUUUACAUUUGGACGAGAUUGAAGAAAUGAAUCUCAAUAAUAUGCAAGAAGGUUGAAGUCAAAAAAGAUGGCAACCUGAAAGAAAGGCAAUCCACAUACCAACAAAAAAGUUUGGCAACGUGGAUAUCAUGAUGACAUAAGCCAUGAUGGAAGCAACCAUGAAGGCUAAUCAAUGACACCCAGAUGCAGACAAAAAGUCUUGCAACGUGGAAGAUUUCAUCAAACCAAUGAUGAUGCAAGCAAUGAUAAAAGCUACAUGACACAAGCAAGUGAUGGAAGCGGUCAUUAAUUCAAGCAUGCAACGUGGAAACAACCAUGACCAUGCAAUUAAAAUUACAAGAAGACAAAUGAGACGUGGAAGCAGCCACAUCCAUUUGAAGCCGAAUCCUUAUCAGAAACACUGUUCGGGAUUCAAAAUACAAUUGUAUAGAAUUUUUAAUCUCCUUUAUAAAUAGGGAGGAAAGUUCAAUUGUAUAGGCAUCAUUUGUUUAUAGUUUACUCUUUAGUUUUCUUCUAGUUUUCUUCUUUGUAAACAUUUUCUUUUUUGUUAAUAAAAGAGUCUAUAUUCCCUUCCGCUCAUACUCUUUAAGUCCCUUCUCCCCCUAGAAUUGGUAUCAGAGGUGCCGGUGUAACGACUUUCUGGAGAAAUAAUAUCGUAAUAUUCAUUGUAUGUUUUUGUCUUUGAUUUACAUUUCUGUUUGUUUCACUGUUGUUUGUUUCAAAACUCAUAUAUCUAUUAUUAUGUCUUCUUGUUGCCGUUGAGUCCAGGGAGGACGUUAAGCGUUGUGUGAAGACGAUAUAGAUAAUAGACGGUCUUAGGUACCCGAGACAAACAUUAUGGAGCAAAUUGAGUGUCAAUUUCAAGAUAAAACUUGUAAUCAUAUUACGCAUAUAGACUCUAGAAAUGAAAACAACAUUUCAUCUCUGAGUAAGGGUAUAAAUAGUCUUGUUGAUAUGACUUCUUUUUAUUUUUCUAAGUUAUGUAAAAAGGUCAGUAAAGUAGAAGAAAAGAUAAAUAAUUUAGGAGAUAUAAAAAAUUUAGACUUAAACCAUGAGUCUAAAGAAAUAUUAACUAAUAUUAAUAAUAAAUUAGAACAAGUUUUUAAUAAUAAUACUGAGUUUGAUGUAGAUCUAGGUCCUUUAUAUUAUGGCAAUGGUAAGGAUAACAUUUUAGUUUUAUCUAAAGAAGAAAAUACUUAUUCUGAUGAGUCAUCAUCUCUGUUAAAAAAUUAUAAAAAAACAUAAAAAAACGUAAAAAAAGAUGAUAAACAAAAAUAAUAUGAUUUCCAGUCCUAUAAAACCCUUAUAGAACAUUGGAAAGAAAAAUUUACUACUACUAAUGAUCAACUAGAAAGAGUUGAAUAUUUAAAAUUAAUUGAAGAGCUUUAUGAAAAAUAUAAAGAUUUUUUUAGUAUUUUUAGUUAUCAUUAUAUGUUAAAAUAUGAUGAUAGUAGCAAUUCAAGUAAUUCUGAAAAAACAGAAUUAUUUAAGAAACAAUCUGAUGAAGAAAAACUUCAAUAGAUCAGGAUGAAGACAUAAAAGUCUCAACUUAUAAUUCUGAUGAAGAAACCACUUUAUCUGAAGAUGUAGACGAAGAAAUAAAUAUUCCUGAACCAAUAGAUACUGAACCAACAGAUCCUUAUGGAAAAAGAAAAAUAGAGUCAGAUAGUCAAACAGAUGAUUAUCUUAGGUCUUUAAAUAAACAGAUGAAAUUUUGGUAAUAAAAUCGAUAAUAUAGCAACUAAUGAAGUAAAACCUGAAUAUCCAGGAGAAACUUCUAACCAACCUGUUCAACAAAGAAUAGAUGAUUUAAAUAAAAGAAAUGUGGCCCAAGGAGGAAUUUAUUUAGAUCUAACUAAUACUCCUAUUUCAAAUUAUGAAAAAACUAUUGAUGAUUGGGCACAAUCUAUGACUAUUGUUGUAAACAGCAACACGUGGUCAAAAGAAAAUUUUUUAAAUUACUUUGUUGGAACAUUUCAAGGAGAUGUUCUACAAUUUUUUAGACGUUGAGAAGAGUCUAAGAAAGGUAAAGAACAAAAGGGGCAAUUAAUCAACCAAAUAGGAACCCCUAAGGAUCUUUUAAAAGGAUUAACCUUAAUUCUAAAAAUAGAAUUUUGUGGAUAUUUUGAUAAAAAAGAUCAAGAUAGUACAUCUAGUUAUAUCCUUUCUAAGAUUAAAUUAUGUGAUAUUAGACAUUUAGAAGAUUUUUCUAAAAAAUUUCUUCAUGAAUAUCAAAAGUUAAAAAUGAAAAUAUAGAAUUUUGGAAAAACCAAUAUUUUCAUAAAUUACCCCCACCCUGGGAUGAGAUAUGUAUAAACAAAUAUGUCUUAUUUAGAGAAGCACAGUAAAACAUCUGGACUUCCAGCAGAAAAUUUGGAUACUAUAGGAAAUAGGAUAAACUUUGCACGUGAAAGAAUAACUUUACAUUGUUUGCAAAGUAAAGCUGCUAAACAAGUCAAACAUAAAUUAAGUGAUAAAUAUUGUAAUAAAAUACUAGAAAAUGAAUGUGAAUUUGGAUGUAAACAAAUAUAUCCUAAAAAGCAGAAAAAAUAUAAAUUAAGAAAAUGGAAACCAGGUAAUAAAAAGUUUUUUGGUAAUAAUAAAACAGUGGUUAGGAAAAAGACUUCUGAACAAAGAAACAAAUUUGUAAAUGUUUUAUUUGUGAUGAAGAAGGUCAUAUAGCUAGCAAUUAUCCUAACAAAGGAAAAAAUGCUAGAAAAAUGAUAAAAAGUCUUGAAAAACAAGAUUUAAAAAUAUGUUUUCAAAAGGAAAUAAAUCCUGAAGAAAUAUUAUAUGAGUUAGUUUCAGAAACAGAUUCUGAUAAUAACGAUGAAUAUAUAUUUAUGUUUAAUAUAGAAUAUAUGUCAUCAGGCAAUAAAUUGUAUUUUAAAAAUAAUUGUAUAACAAAUACAAAUAAAAAUUUAGUUUUACUCUCUAGUUCUCAACCAGAAGAAGAAGAUAAUAUUAGUUCAAAUAGUACACCAAUAGGAAUUAAAACAGUUCAAAUUCCUAUAUUUCCUACUGAACCUAGUAAUAAUUCUAGAAAAACUAGAAUGAAAGAAAUUCAAACUUCAACAAUUGAUAAAAAGUCAAAAGUUGGAAUAAAUAUCAAAGUUACAUUUCAAUUUAGAAAAUAUAAAAAAUAUUCUCUAAAUGCCUUGAUUGAUACUGGAGCUACAAUCUGUAGUUGCAGAGAAAAUGCGAUUCCUGUAGAAAAAUGGGAAUUAAUGAAAAAACCCAUAAAAAUAAUGAGACUAGAUGGUAGUAAAACUAUUAUAAAACAUAAAGCUAAAAAUAUACCAAUCUACAUAAGCAAUGUUAGAUUUGUGAUUCUUAAAAUAGUAUGUUUUCCUAACAUGAAGGGAGAUAUAUUAUUAGGUAAUAAUUUUAUAUGUAAGUAUUUACCUUUUACUAUUGAUAAACAUUCUAUUUGGUUAUCAGUAAAAAAAAGAUUUUUUAGAAAUACCUCUUGAUAAUAAUAAUAAGAUUGUGUGUAAUAAAAAUUUUACACCAAUUAAACUACUAGAUAAUUAAUAAUUAUUAUUAAUGAUUGUUGAUUAUCUUAGCAGGUUCUAUGGAUAGAAGUAAACAGCCUCUAAACGAAAUAGUCAGUGAAUGGACUACUGUUCACAAAAAACCCAACAAAGGGAAAGCAGUAUCAAACUCCAAAAAAGGAUUUGUACCUGCACAAAUAUCAUUUUAUCCUAAUUAAGGAUAUUAUGUGUCAUAUCCAAUGGUAAACCAACCACUUGGACCAAAUGUUUUAAAAUAUCCAACGGUAAACCAACCAGUUGGAACCUCUUUUUCAAACAUGGUGUAUCAAUCACAAAUGUUUCAAGAUAUGAAUUUAGCAUCACAAACAAGUUAUGCUGAAAUCAUCAAAAGUUCAGAAAAUUUGUUGAAAAAAUAAAAAAUUGAAGAAGAAAAAGAUCUUUCAAAAAUAAAAGAUUUUUAUAAUCCUGAUUUAUCACCAGAAAAUUAUGAUUUUAUAAACGAGAUAUGGAAAACCCAUAUUUCUAAUCAAAGAGCCAAUUUCAGAAGAGCUCUUACCAGAUAUUCAUUAUUUUUAGUUGAAAAAAUAACUAAAGAAAAUGAAGCUGAAGAUUUAUUAUUAAAAUCUAUUUUAUACAAAGAUUGAGAUGAAUUCCAACUCUUUGUUAUGGAUAUUAAUGAGAUAAACAAUCUUCUUGAUAUUAUUCAAUAUUUUAUUCAUAAAGAGAAAAACAACUCUAUUAUGAAUAAAGUAUUUAGAAUAUGUAUGUUUAAUAAAGCUAGGAAAUUUUUACCGGUAGAAAUAUUCACAAAAAUAAAUGAAAUAAUUUGCAGACAGCAAAUUCAAUUUCAAAAAGCUUUUUCAGAAUAUUUUCUACAAGUAUAUGUUUUAAUGAUUAUUUAGAUAAUGAAUUUCCUACUUUAAAAUACAGAUUAAAUCAUGAACCAUUUGAUAUAACCAAUAUUAAAUGGGGUUUUACUAAAGAAAUAGUUGUGCAAAAUCUCUCUUUUCAUCUUUUAAAAGAUUUUUCAGCUAUUGUAAAGACAGUUUUACAAAACAUCAUAAACAAUGAUGAUUUUUAUUACUAUUUUUAUAUUGAAAUUAGUAGUCUAAUUGGUAUAGCUGAACAAGAAAAAUUUUACCAGCCGUAUCAAAUUUGGAUUAUUAAAAAGAUGAUUGGAACCCCCCCAAUUAUCUGCUUGUUGAUAUGACUUCUUUUUAUUUUUCUAAGUUAUGUAAAAAGGUCAGUAAAGUAGAAGAAAAGAUAAAUAAUUUAGGAUUUAUAAAAAGUUUAGACUUAAACCAUGAGUCUAAAGAAAUAUUAACUAAUAUUAAUAAUAAUAUUGAGUCUGAUGUAGAUCUAGGUCCUUUAUAUUAUGGUAAUGGUAAAAAAAAUAUUUUAGUUUUAUCUGAAGAAGAAAACACUUCUGAUGAGUCAUCUCUGUUAAAAAAUUAUAAAAAACAUAAAAAACGUAAAAAAGAUGAUAAACAAAAAGAAUAUGAUUUCCAGUCCUAUAAAACCCUUAUAGAACAUUGGAAAGAAAAAUUUACUACUACUAAUGAUCAACUAGAAAGAGUUGAAUAGUUAAAAUUAAUUGAAGAACUUUAUGAAAAACAUAAAGAUCUUUUUAGUAUGUUUAAUUAUCAUUAUAUGUUAAAAUAUGAUGAUAGUAGCAGUUCAAGUAAUUCUGAAAAAACAAAAUUAUUUAAGAAACAAUCUGAUGAAGAAAAAACUUCAACCGAUCAGGACGAAGACAUAAAAGUCUCAACUUAUAAUUCUGAUGAAGAAACCACUUCAUCUGAAAAUGUAGACGAAGAAAUAAAUAUUCCUGAACCAAUGGAUACUGAACCAACAGAUCCUUAUGGAAAAAGAAAAAUUGAGUCAGAUAUUCAAACAAAUGAUUAUCUGAUUAAAGAUUUAGGUAAAGUUCAAUAUACAACCAGUAUGUUGACUAGUAAUAUAAAAAAAUUUAACUAUUGAUGAGAAAGAUCCUAAAAAUAUAAGAGAAUUUAUUAAUAGAACUUUACUAGGACAGUUAGGUGUAAAACCUAAUACUCAUAAUAGGCAUAAAAAGAAAAAAUAUAAUAAACAAGUCAAAGGAAAAUUAGAAAAUAAAAAAUUUUCUGGUCAUAUUAAGAGUCAGUUUUCUAGAAGAAAAACUUCUAAAGAACUUAAAGAUAUUUUAGAUAUUAAGAUAGGUCAUAUAGUCAAAAACUUUUCUAACAAAAGAAAAGAAUCUAGAAAAAGAAUUAAUAGUCUUGAAAAACUAGAUUUGGAAAUAAGUUAUAAAAAGGAAAUAAAUCCUUAUAAAAUUGAAUCUGAUAAAAAUGAAAAAAUAUUUUUAUUAGAAAAUUCUAGAAAUACUAGAAUUGAAAAAUUAAAAACAGUUCUUCAGCAAAUAAAAAUUGGGAAAAAUGAUAUAAUCACAUUUUCAAAUUUUCAAGCUAAGAAAUAUUAUACUCAUAUUGAAAUCACAUUUCAGUUUAGAGAAUAUAAAAAAAUAUUCUUUACACGCUUUGCUUGACACUGGAGCUACAACAAGUAGUUGCAAAAAAAAAUGCUAUUCUUAUAGAAAAAUAGGAAUUAAUGAAAAAUCCUAUUAAUGCAAUUGGAAUAGAUGGUAAUGAAACUAUAAUCCAAUAUAAUGCAAGAAAUAUACCAAUCUACAUAAACAAUGUUAGAUUUGUAAUUCCUAAGAUGUUAUGUUUCUCUGAAAUGCAUGGAGAUAUAUUACUAGAAAAUAAUUUUAUAUAUCAUCAUCUACCAUUUUCUAUAGAUAAAUAUUUGGUUACUUUGUCUGUAGAAAAAUUCUCUAUGGAAAUACCACUGGUAGAAAACCAUAAGUUUGUGUGUAAUAAAAACUUUACACCAACUAGAAAAGAACAAAUUAAACAAAUAGAAACUAAUCAUUGGUUGUUUAAAAUAUUAGAAAACAAUUUUAGUGAUGAACCACUAAAGUUAUGAAAAAAUAGUCCAAGAUAUUGUGAAAUAAAAUUAAAUAAUCCUAAUAAAAUAAUUAGGGUUAAGCCUAUGAUCUAUACUAAACAAGAUAUGGAUGAGUUUGAUGUUCAAAUAAAUGAACUAUUAGAAAAAAAGAUUAAUAGAAAAAACUAAUAGUCCUCAUUCAAGUCCUGCUUUUAUGGUAAAAAAUCAUGCUGAAAUUAAAAGAGGAAAAGCUAGGAUGGUUAUUAAUUAUAAGAGAUUAAAUCAAAACACUAUUUUUGAUGGAUAUUUUAUCCCAAAAAAAGAAGUAUUGAUCAAUCAGGCUAAACAAGCCAAAUAUUUUAGUAAAUUAGAUUGUAAAUCGGGAUUCUGACAAAUCAUGCUAAUCGAUGAGUCAAAACCUUUAACUGCUUUUAGUGCCCCUAAUGGUCAUUAUCAAUAGAGGAUAAUGCCAUUUGAAUUAUGCAAUACUCCACAAAUCUUUCAAAGAUGGAUGGAUUCCAUCUUUAAUAAGUAUAAAAAGUUUUGUGUAGUAUAUAUAGAUGAUAUUCUAGUCUUUUCAGAAACACUAGAAAAGCAUAGAAAACAUCUAAAUAUUUUUUCUCAAAAAUUCCUAAAACAUGGAAUUAUAUUAAGCCCUAAAAAGAUAGAGCUAGAAAAAAUGGGAAUAGAAUUUUUAGGUUUAAAGUUAUCUACAGAUGGUCUUAAACUCCAAGAUCAUAUUAUUGUAAAAAUAAAAGAAUUUCCUGAAAAAAUAGAAGAAUUUCCUGAAAAAAUAGAAGAUAAAAAACAUCUUCAACAAUUUUUAGGAAUUGUUAAUUAUGGGAGAAACUUUUUUCCAAAAUAAUCUGAAAAAAUAGGUAUAUUAUAUGGAAAAUUAAAAAAGAAUAUUUCUUUUUGCUGGUCUAAGAAAUUAUAAAAAAUAUAAAAGCAGAAAUAACUUACAAUCUAAAAGUUUAUUUACCUAAAAAAUGUGAUAAACUAAUUUUAGAAACUGAUGCAUCACAAUGUUAUUGGGGAUGUAUUCUAAAAGCUAAAACAACUAAUAAUAAUGAAGAACUAAUAUGUGGAUAUAAUUCAAGAAAAUUUAAGCCUAAUGAGGUUAAUUAUAUUAUUUAUGAAAAAGAACUUUUAGCUAUUAAAAAAGGAAUAAAAACUUUCUUAUUUAUUUAGCACCUGAAAGGUUCAUCAUAAGAACUGAUAAUCAGGCAGUUAAACAGUUUUUAACUAACAACAGUUUGGAAACUGUACCAAGAAGAAUUAGGUGGUAGAAUGAUUUAUGCACUUUUAAUUUUGAAGUUAUUUAUAUAAAAAGUGAUGAAAGUCUUCUUGCUGAUUAUCUUAGCAGGCCUCAUGGAUAGAGGUAAACAACCUCUAAAAGAAAUAGUCGGUGAAUGGACUACUAUUCACAAAAAACCCAACAAAGGGAAAGCAGAAGCAAACUCCAAAAAAAGAUUUGUAUCUGCACAAAUACCAUUUUAUCCUAAUUAAGGAUAUUAUGUAUCAUAUCCAAUGGUAAACCAACCACUUGGACCAAAUGUUUUAAAAUAUCCAAUGGUAAACCAACCAGUUGGAACCUCUUUUUCAAACAUGGUGUAUCAAUCACCAAUGUCUCAAGAUAUAAAUUUGGCAUCACAAACCAGUUAUACUGAAAUCAUUAAAAGUUCAGAAAAUUUGUUGAAAAAACAACAAAUUGAAGAAAAAAAGAUCUUUCAAAAAUAAAAGAUUUUUUAUAAUCCUGAUUUAUCACCAGAAAAUUAUGAUUUUAUAAACGAGAUAUGAAAAACCUAUAUUUCUAAUCAAAGAGCCAAUUUCAGAAGAGCUCUUACCAGAUUUUCAUUAUUUUUAGUUGAAAAAACAACUAAAGAAAAUGAAGCUGAAGAUUUAUUGUUAAAAUCUAUUUUAUAUAGAGAAUGGGAUGAAUUCCAAUUAGAAUUCAUGGAUAUUGAGGAGAUAAACAAUCUUUUUAAUAUUUUUCAAUAUUUUAUUCAUAAAGGAAAAACCAGUCCUAUCAUGAAUAAGGUAUUUAGAAUCUGUUUAUAUAACAAAUCUAGACAGAUUUUACCAAUGAAAAUAUUCAACAAAAUUAAUGGACUUAUUUGUAAUCAACAGAUUAAAUUCCAAAAAGCUUUUUCUGAAUAUUUUCUACAAUCUUAUGUUUUUACUAAUUUUAUUGGUAAAAUUUAUCCAACUAUAAAAUUUAGAUUGGAUCAUGAACCAUUCGAUAUAACAAGUAUUGAAUGGGGUUUUGUUAGAGAAAUAGUAAUACAAAAUUUCUCUUUUCACCUUUUAAUGGAUUUUCCAGCAAUAGUAAAAUCUUUUUUACAAUCCAUCAUAAACAAUGAUGAUUUUUUCUAUUACUUUUAUAUCCAAAUUAGUACUCUUAUUGGUAUUCCUGAAAAAGAAAAAAUUUUUCAGCCAUAUCAAAUUUGGUAUAUUCAUACUAUGAUCGACAGCCCUCGAUUAUCAGCCUUAAAUGAAGAUAAGGAACACUUGGCAACAACAAUUGACAAGUGUCAGAAAGAUUUUAGCUAUUAUCAAAUCCAAACUGGAAUUGAUUUAAUGGCUAAAGCAAGAUAUCUUCUUCAAGAAAAAAAUUAUCGACUUAGAACUGAUGGAAGAAGAAUAAUGGCGUACUAUUCAAGAAUUAGUGAUAAAGAUGAAGAAUCCAUUUGUCUACUAAAAAAGAUAGCAAAAAUAGAUAUAGAAGAUUUCCCAUCUCAUAUUUUGCAACAAAUCAAAAAUAUAUGGGAAAAUUGUCAUCAAGAUAUAUCUACAAUUCAUCACUAGGGAUGAUGCCAACAAAGAUGGCAACCUGAAAGAAAGGCAAUCCACAUACCAACAAAAACGUUUGGCAAUGUGGAUAUCAUGAUGAUAGUAGCAGUUCAAGUAAUUCUGAAAAAACAGAAUUAUUUAAGAAACAAUCUGAUGAAGAAAAAACUUCAACAAAUCAAGAUGAAGACAUAAAAGUCUCAACUUAUAAUUCUAAUGAAGAAACCACUUCAUCUGAAGAUAUAGACGAAGAAAUAAAUAUUCUUGAACCAAUGGAUACUGAACCAACAGAUCUUUAUGGAAAAAGAAAAAUUAAGUCAGAUAUUCAAACAAAUGAUUAUCUGAUUAAAGAUUUAAGUAAAGUUCAAUAUACAACCAAUAUGUUGACCAGUAAUAUAAAAAAUUUAACUAUUGAUGAGAAAGAUCCUAAAAAAUAUAAGAAAAUUUAUUAAUAGAACUUUACUAGGACGGUUAGGUGUAAAACCUAAUACUCAUCAUAGGCAUAAAAAGAAAAAAUAUAAUAAACAAGUCAAAGAGAAAUUAAAAAAUAAAAAAUUUUCUGGUCAUAUUAAGAAUCAGUUUUCUAGAAGAAAAACUUCUAAAGAAUUUAAAAAUAUUUUAGAUAUUAAAAUAGGACAUAUAGUCAAAAACUUUUCUAACAGAAGAAAAGAAGUUGAAAAGAAUUAAUAGUCUUGAAAAACAAGAUUUAGAAAUAAGUUAUAAAAAGGAAAUAAAUCCUUAUAAAAUUGAAUCUGAUAAAAAUGAAAAAAUAUUUUUAUUAGAAAAUUCUAGAAAUAUUAGAAUUGAAAAAUUAAAAACAGUUCUUCAGCAAAUAAAAAUUGGGAAAAAUGAUAUAAUUAUAUUUUCAAAUUUUCAAGUUAAAAAAUAUUAUACUUAUAUUAAAAUCACAUUUCAGUUUAGAGAAUAUAAAAAAUAUUUUUUAUACGCUUUACUUGACACUGGAGCUACAACAAGUAAAAUUUUAUCAGCCGUAUAUAGUAAUUUGUUACUUGAUUAGAUAAGCUAUGUCACUGCAGCUUGAGUUUUGUCCUUUCAAACUCACAUAUCAUAUACAGUCAAAAAGUUGAUGAACAAAAGGCUAUUACUUUUACAACUUAAGAUAUUGACUUUAUCUUUAUUGACAAAGCCCUCUUAGUUUCCAUUAGCAUUUGUUCCUGCAUUUAAAAGCCGGUUAGUAUUUUAGAACAUGUAAAAACUUUAGCAGUAUUUUUUUUUCUUUUUUGUUACCCAAAAUUCAGUUUAUUACCUUAUUCUGAAGUUCAGAAAGCUGGUCAAGCAUAUAUUGGGUCUGCAAAAGAAGAUUGAAAUAAAACAAAGUGCUAGAAUUUGUGAAAGUUGAAAAUAUUAGGAGCUAAAAGAGAAAUCAAGAAAGAGGUGGACUGGCAAGUUAAUUAUACCAUAAAAUUACUACAGGUAUGAUUAAUCUUUUCAUGGAAAAAAAAACCCACUAUAACUGCUCUAUGAUAUCUCUUAAAGCCUAACAAAAUGGAUUAUGAUUUUGCUUCCACUAGUAGAUAUAACUUGCUGUUAAGUUUCAUCUUCUCCUGGAAACCUCUAAUCCAUAAGGAUUUAAAUGGCAAAUUCAACCAAAAACUCAUCUACAACCACAAUCUAAAUCCUUAAUUCAUGUGUACUUAUCAUCUAAAAUGAAUGCUAUGACCAGUAAAAAGAUUGAGGCUGCAAGCUUUAGGGUUUUUCUUAAUAGUUGAAAUGGGAAGAGGAAACCCACCGACAAGAAAAGGUAUUAAACUGACCAAAACAGUAUAGCCUACUUUCACAUUUUUUUUAUCCUGGUUUAAUAUUGAAUUUUAUCCCUCUAUUUUAAUAAAAUUUAAAAGUUAAUCCCUAUAAUUUGUCAAAUUUUGAUCAUCAUACUUUAUAAAAAUUGAAAAAUUAGUCCAAUUGGAUAACAUUGUUAAAUAGCUAAUAUGAAAAUUAGUAAUUUUCAAUUUAUAUCAACUGUCUAAUAAUUUAUAGGCAAUAAAUUAGCAACGGUUAAUAAUUUAAAUUUAUAUGUUUACCAACUAAAUCAAAUUUAAAUAAAUUAGAAAAAAAAAGGACUAAUUUUUCAGUAUUAUUAAAGUAGAAAUGAAAUUAUUCUAAUAAAGAUGUUAUUAUAUAGUACUGUUUCCCUAAUUCCUCUAGCCACUUCUAAUAUUAUUUGUGGUUAAUGAGCUUCAAUAGACAGUUUUUAACCCCCUCCAUUAGAUUUUAAGCAAAGCUAAUAAUAAUAAAUUGUAAUUUAAAUAAAUUACUGAUGAAGAAAAACUCUUCUAAAAAGAACACAACUUUUGUAAAAGAUAGAUUUGCUGACAAGUUGGGUCUGGUUAAAUUGGAUGGGAUUAAAUCAGAAAAAAAAAGUUUAUUUACCAUAACAUUCUAGUUUCAUAUUUAUUCCUAGCUAUCUUAAAAAUUCAGAAUAUAACAGAUGUGCAACAAAUGAUAAAAAAUAAAUAUACUAUGCUGAACAAUUGUAUGAAAUUCUCACUUGUAUAAACUCAAACAUAUCAAAGAUAUAUGUAAGCAGUAAUCAAAACUUACCCUUGGUGGAGCGGACAUGUUUCAGGGAUGACUCUAGUUGAUGCUCAAGCUGCUCAAGCUCCUUUGAGUUCAAUGGACCCAAGUCUUCACCAAGGAGAUUCCUGUUGAAUCAAAGGACCAAACCAGAUAGCACAUAAAAUUGCUCUUAUUCAAAUACUUUUAGUAAUUACAAUCAAAUUAAUAUACACUUCUAAAUGGACUAAUAGCCUAUCAAAUUAAUAUGGAAGUCCAAAGCUAUGGUAUGGUUGUAAGACUAAACACCUCUGAGUUCGAUUUAGUUCCUCAUAUCUAGCUUUCAGUUUUAGGUACUGUAAUAACCCAAAUUCGCCCGGCCCAAAUUAAAUAAUAAAUACAAAAAACAAAUAAAAAUUAAAAGUCCAUUUUUAAGGUCCAUUUACAUCCAGCCUAAUAAUAACUAACACGUUUAGCCCAAGACCCAACUACAAUAUGACCCAAACUGUUUUAACCUAAACUAUCCAAAUUUAACAGACCCUAAACCCAACUUUCUAAACUCGGAUCUCCUAGGCCCAAAACUCGGCCCAAAUCAAUGGAGCACCCUAGAGGCUUCUAGGGUUUUCACCAGCGCGCAGCCACCGAAGCCACCCUCCGCGCGUGCCAAGCCACUCCCCACGCAUGCAGCGCCUCCACGCCACGUUGGCCUCCAUACCACCAGCUAGAAUCCUCCGUACCUGCACACAAGCAGACAAACAAAAAAACAAGCAGAAAACGACAGCAAAGAAAAAAGAAAAAAAGGAUAUUAGUUGUAUUUUGGAUUCAUUUUUUUUAUCUUUAUCUUCGGCUAUAAAGCCAUUUUCCAAAUUUUGUAAACGUUACACACGCAUUUGAUAUUCAUUACGAAUACAAAAAUCAGAGAAAAAGGUGAUUUCCCCAGUUUUCCUCCUGUUUUGAUUUCAGUUUUCCUUUUCUUUUCUGCAUUCAAUCGUUAGAUUUUUAGGCGAGAAAGUAAUAAAGAAAAGAGGAAAGCGUACCUGACGUUAGGAUUUCGGCCUCCUCCGUCGUCAUCGGAGAGCAGGUCAGAAUCGGAGACUAUUCGCCUGCCUUUAGUACGCAGAACGGCGCAGAGUCUCCCUUAGAUUAGGUUUUUUCUUUUUACUAAAAUGAUAGGUGUUAGGGUUAUCUUAGUUUAAAGAGUAAGAAUCAAAACGUCGCCGUUCAGAGCCAAUACAAUGGCAUUGAAACUGUGUUGUUUCGAAGACUCGAUCCGAGCGGUGACCCGAUCCGGGAAGGAUCCGUGCUCCAUGGAUCGUUUGGUUUAUUUAUUCACCAAGCCCCUCUUAGUUUUGAUUAGUCUCAAUUUGGUUACUUUAGUUUUUUUUUUAAAAUUUAUACUGCGUAUUUAACUUUGUUUGCAUGUCGAUCCAAGGUUAAGCGACACCGUUUUACACCUGAUUGCUAAUGAAAUUGCUGAUUGAGUCCCAUAAGAUUAAAAAAGAUUUCAUGUUGGUACAAAUUUAGUUUUUUUUUUAAAUUCAAUAAUAUUUGUAAAUGCAAAUUAACCAUACUUACAUGUAUUAUAAAACUUAAUACUGUAUUUAAUUUUAAUAGUAUCUAAUUUUAUUAUAGUUUAAAAUAUAACAAAUCAUUAUUUUAACUUGUAUUUUAUGUCUUAAAUUCGUUGCACUAAUACUUGGGGUUUAUUGUUUUCUUUUAUUUUAUUUUUAUCAUUCUAAGUUUUACUUAAACUUUGAUUUAAAAUCCAUUAAUUAUUGUUUUCAAUUAUAAAAAAGGUCUUUACAUAAUAAAUUUUGAUUUCAAAAGUUUUUUUAAUAAAUCGAUUUUAUAUUCAUUAUUUUUAAUAUUAUUUUAAUAUUUAGCUUAAUACUAUUUUCGAAUUUGCUUUUAAUAUAUUUUUUAGAAAUGAUACCUAAAUUCCUUCAAAUUAUUAUAUUUUAAAUACGUUUUAAAUUCACUAAAUAUUAUUUCAAUUUUUUUAUAAUUAUACUUUUUUUAAUUUGAUAUAUUAUUAUAAAUUUCAUCAUUUAUUAAUACACAUUGUGGUAGAUUAAACAUAAUUAUAUAUUUAGAUGUUGUAUACUGUGAGUAAAAUUAUUGUUGCUAUUGUAUUUGUAUUUAUUUAUUGCUUAUUUGGCUACAUCUUAGUUUAGGUUUGAAUUAUCAUUUAUCGUUUUACAUUACGUUUUUUAAAACUUUGCACCUUUAUCAUACUAUUUCAUAUUAAAAAAGCCUAGCAUUUAUAAUCUUCGAAAAAAUUGAGCCCUAAUGUAUUGGGUUCCAAUUUUCCUCGUUGAAUCCAAAUAAUCGAAAUUUUUCUUUAAUCAAGAUAUAUAAAACUCACUCUCGGGAAUUCGAUAAGUCGUGUCCUAAUGUAUUGGCUGUGAUGCAUCGAUUUCUCGAAAUAAGGUUUUUUUUAAAAAAAAUAAGAGCAAUAUUCAAUGCUCAGAACUUUGAGAAAUCGUGCCCUAACGUAUUGGGUUUCAAUUUUUUUAUCGGACUUAAAGCAAUUGAAUAUCCUUUUAAAUCUCACCACGCAAAUUUUGAAAAUCAAAAGAUAAACUUAUUCUCGAGGACUAAAAAUGUCGUGCCCUAAUGUAUUGGAUGUGUCAUUUUAUUACUCUAAGAUAAGGAGGUUUUUGGUAUUCGCAUCGAUUUAUCCAUGCAUCUUUUAUGAAAUUAAUAAGAAGAAUCGUAUUUUAAAGCUUUCUAAAGUUUUAACACUAAGACAUAAAAUGAUCAAUUCAGUACCAUUUUUUUGGGUGUUUCGAAAGUGCUAACCCUUCCUCGAGCAUAACCGACUCCCGAACCUGUUUUCUCAAAAUUCACAGACCUAAAAUUAUUUUCUAAGUGAUCCGAUCACACCUUAAUAAAAGAUCGGUGGCGACUCCCGUUUUUUAUUUCCAAAGUCAAUUCUUUUUUUUUUCAAAUUUAAAAAUGGUUUUCUUUUCAAAUUUAAAAAUAGUUUCGACAGGUACUCCCUGUAGCUGCUCCGUGGCAACAAAGAUUCUUGCAUAGAGCAUGUUCACAUAUUCAAUUCUCCACUAUGCCAUCUUCUCUUUUACUUGACAUUCCCCAACAUCAAACACGUUCAGUUUCUUCCCCCCACAUACACAUCUUUAUAAACAUUUUUGUUAUGGGAUUUAAUUUGUUAAUUAAGUGAGUUUGGGGGGGAGAUUCUUGUGUUUUUAUUUUAAUGAAGGUAUAUAUUAAAAGGUGUUUUUAACGUCCCAUCCAUGGCCAUGGGACCUUUUGGGGGGGGGGGGGGGGUUAGAACAAAGUCUGAAACACUGCAAUAAAACUGGCAAAAGAUUGUGUCCUUCUCUGCAAUAGUGCCAUGUUAAUAACCACUCCUAACUUGUUCUCUGCUCCCCCAUCUUCCAUUUUUUGCUUUUCAAUUUCUUUUUUUAUUUUUUCAAGUACCAAAUAUAAAAGAAAAUUAAUAAAGCAUGCGAUUAUGAGAGAUUGAGAUUAUGUACUAAGUAAAUAUAAAGAGAAUGAUAAAAGCUUGAAGAUGAAGAGGGAUUAAAACAGGUAAUUAUAAAAUACUGAAUAAAAUAAUAAUAAUAAUAUGUUGAGUUGGAAGAAGAGUUUGGCAAAAUGUAGGUUUGAAAGAAAUUAAUGCAAGUGGGAGAAAAUAUUGCAGCCUUUGCAUUUGCAUGCCACGUUUUAGUUGGACUUGGAAUGACUCUCCAAUAUGGAUCCUUUGAUGAUGAAUUUAUGAUCAUCAUCACAUGUUACUAUGACUAACUUACAAAACCCUUAAUUACUUCAUCAGCUUGAGUUUUUUUCCCCUUGAUCUCCUUGCAACAGUAAAAAGUGCAGUUUUUUUCGUUUGUCACAGAGAAUUGGAAGUAUAUAUAUGUAAGAGAUGAAGAGAUGGAUUAUAGCAUUAAUUAGUGAAAAAAAAUCAAAAAAAACCUGCAGUUAGCAACAAUGUACUCAUCAGAAACUUUCAGAUCAUAUCAUCAUCAUCAUCCUACACUGAUCGGCAUUGAUAAUAAUACCAUAAACUAAAUCAAAAUCAGAAUAUUGAAAAAAACAAUCCAUUGGAAGUUAAUAUGAGCUCUAUGCAUGAGGUGAGAGAUCAUAAACAGUGUUUGAGAGACGCAAGGCCUAGAAAUACCAAUCAAUCACGAUGUUUAGUUAUCACAUUCUUUUUUACUUCUAAAAUGAACAAUUAUUUUAUAGGUACUCAGAAAUUUGAAGGGAGUGUAAGUGCUGGCAGAGUAUUUAUUUCUUUUGCAGUUAGAAAAGUGAAUCAGAUAUAAGCAGAAAGUAGCCAACUCUUGUGUCAUAAGAAAGAAGAGUGGACUCCUAAUUAGCAUCCAACAACAAAAGCUCGUUAUACUACGUGUUGUGCUUUUUUGAACAUGAUAAGUAUAUAUUGUUACAGUCAGUACAAUCUAAUUCAAUUCCAUAACAUGUGACCAUUGACCAACACGCAUCUAUACCAGUGCAUGAUAAUGAAUAAACACAAGAAAACACAACAUGAAUGAAUAAACAUACAGCAUAGAAGGUAGAAACAUUGAACUCUGAAUCUGGAUGACUCAAAGGGAGAAGGUCAAUUGAGAUUCCAAGGACUCAUCUAUUUGAUGGAAACUUGUCCAAGUUUUACCAAUGUCAACUGGUCGGAAUAAACACACAGAAAUAAGUACAAUCUCCGCAAAUAGACAAGUCCUUUAAUAAACAUAUAGAAAAUAAGUCCAAUCCCUGCAAAUAGAUGUGGUAUAUUUUGCUAGUAAACCCAAUUUACUAGUUGACGUUGGUAUAGAAAAUAUAGCAAACUAGGAGUAGUUAUCCCACAUUGAUGGAAACUAUUGACCAACAAAGGCAGCUACUUGGUGUUCUAUGUGCAUUCCUACCUAUUCUUUUGAUUCCAUGUGUGAUUGUGGCAAAACCAAAUUGAGAUAUACAAAUGAAAAUGCUUUUUAUUUGAAAACUUACAGUGUUAAAGAAGCAAAUUGAUCAUACGAUCUACUAAUGAUUUGAGUCUUGAGUGAUCCAGCAAUACAGCUGACAGCGGCGUGGAAAUGAGUUUCAUCCUUUUGGUCAUUCUGUCAAUAUUUAAAAAUAAAAAAUAAAAACCAACAGCUAGUCAGUACAUUUCAAAUAGAAAAAGAAGAAGAAAAACAUGUUAAUCAAAAAACAUAUCCAUUACGAAAAAGCUUAAUUACGGUAUUAAUCCAUGAAAGAAAAAAGAAAACCAAUUACUGAAAAAACUGUAAAGAAAAGGAAAUGGGUAUCCUUUAUCUGUUUUGAUUAUACAUAAAAACUUACACCAGGACAUGUCGUGUUGAACAUUUUCGGAGAAGCAUCGACCAAGUAAACAACAUACUCUUUGGAACUCUCACUUUGCUGCAAAUAUUGGAUAAAAACAACACAAUUACAUCUCUCGUUUCUUAACCAUGGAGAAGAAUAUAGAAGAAAAGAAAGAGAAAGAGAGGAAACCUAUUUUGAUAAUGAAACUGUAAGUACCAUAAGAUUCAAACAUUUUCAGAACUUUAUAACACCUAAAGAAAAAAUAGGUAAAAGAAGACAAACCUAUUUUGUUCUGCUUGGACUUUGGCAUCUUCGACGAUUAAGGUUUGUCUAAAAGAAGAAGAAAAAACGCCAAAAAAGCGACUGCGUUGCUCUGCUUAUGCAACUCCAAAAAGGGGUUUUCAAUGUUACUCCGGUUCUAGAUUUGUUAGGAUUUUGAACUUUAUAUAGGGGCGGUUUUUAUUUUUAAGGAUAGAAUCGGGUCUGGCUUUUAUUUUUAACCAAAGUUAAUGAAUGCAAUUAAAACCACGCGAUUUUAAUAAAAGUAAAAAAAAAUUUGCCGCCUUUAUAGAAAAAACAACGCUAUUAUUUUACUUUUAGCGGUGUUUAUGAGAAUUAGUUAAGUGAUUUUAUAAAAUAUUUAUUAUUAUUAUUUUUUAUAAAUUGAAUUUUUAUAAUAGAAAAACUCAAUACUCUCAAAAUAAAUAUCGUAUAUUUUAAUAAGAAACCAAAUGAUUAAAUGGCUGUAAUUAAUUAUUAAGUUAGAAUUAUUCAAUGUAAGCAAUCAAUCUCUCACAUAUCAAAUUUCUAUUAAAGAUUGAGAUGUUAAUCAUGAUUUUAUAUUAUUCUUUUCCGAUCUAAUCUCUAUUUUAUUAUAGAUAUUUCUUCCUAACUAAAAUAUAACUAUUUUGCUAGAUGUUCGAUCUGAAAUAAUUUUAGUUUUUGUAUUUAAUUUUUAUUUGUUAUCAUUUGGUCCUAUCCAAAAUAGAUAGUUUACCUAUCCAUAUCUAUAUGUUACUUUUUUUUAUUUAUUUAUCAAUGUUUUUUUAAAUCUAAUAUUUAAAUAUAUCAAAUGGUUUAGAUUAAAUAUUUUUAAAUAUAAAAGUAUUAAUUAUAAAAUUUUAUCAUUUAACAAAUAUCAAGUAAACCUUAACUCCUAAACCAUUUAAUAUAUAUAAAGUUUAUCUAUUAAAUUAAUUAUCUCUUAAAUAAUUUAAACUAUAAUCAUAAUUUUAAUAUAUUAAAAUUAAUAUUAUCUCUUUUACAAUUAUAUAAGAAAUUAUUUAAUAUAUAAAUUAAAAAACACUAAUUAAUCUAAACCUUAAACUCCUAACCUCUAUCCUUUAAACCCUAAAUCAUAAAACAUAAACCCUAAACCCUUAAACCUUAAACCUCAACCCUUAAACCAUAAACAAUAAUCCCUAAACCCAUGAUCCAUAAACCUUAAAAUAGUAACUCUUAAACCUUAAACCUUAAACCAUAUACCCUAAACCAUAAACCCUAAACUAUAAUGCUAAUUAAUUCAAUAUUUUAAAAUUAAUACUAUCUCUUUUACGAUUAUAUAAGAAAUUAUUUAAUAUAUAAAUUAAAAACAAUCAGUCAUGUACUCAAAAAACUUUAAAAUUAUUUUAAAUAAUAGUAUUUUAAUUUUUUUCAUUUUUAACAAAUAUUUUUCUAUGUUUUUACUUUCAAAUUUUUUCUACGUGUCAUUAUUUUUUUUGAAGAAUUUAAAUAUUCAAUUAAAAAUAAAUUGUAUUUUAAUUAAUAUAAAUAAACAAGUUAAAAUAGAUAAAAAAAUUUUGCGGCGUUUCUGAUAAAGCGCCGCUAAUGCUCAAUCUAUAGCGGUAUUUUUCAAAAAGCACCACUAAUGCUACUAAAGCUCAACAUAAAACGACGCGCUUAAUUUUUUUGCGGCGUUUCUCAAAAAGCGUCACUAAAGGUUGACGGUGCUUUUCAAAAAAUCACAGUUAAUGCUCGAUCUAUAGCGGCGUUUUCCAAAAGUCACCGCUAAUGCUCGAUCUGUAGCUGCGUUUUUCAAAAAGCGCCGCUAAUGAUCGAUCUGUAGUGGCAUUUUUCAAAAAAAGUCGUUAAUGUUUGAUCUGUAGCGGCGUUUUCUAUCCAAACGCAACUAAAAGUGCCGCUAAAAACCUGUUUUGUUGUAGUGUGUACAUGUAUAAUAGAAGUUAUGAACCAAACAGAGACUAAAUAGAGCAUACAAACAUAGUUUUACCAAUCAAUACAAUCAACAACAUUUUUAAUCACCUUCCAUUGUUAUACCAAUAUGCCACAUAUGACACCCAAUUCAAUCAACAUUCAAUUGAGCAUGUUAUACUAAUCAGCUAUCACUUUGUAACUAACCAAAAUGAUACCAACCAUCUAAUAACCACCUUUUUAGCAUUAUAACAAAGCAAUACCUUCUAUUCAAAUAUUCAUCAUCAUUCACUAUCACCAUUUUGCUUAACCAUUCUUUGACCACCACAUCAUAGGUACAUGUUCAUUUCAAACUUAUGUACAUAUCAUAUAAGCACUAAGAUCAACCAUUUCAUAUGUUCCUUUAAUGUCAAAGGUUCAAGAUUAUUAAGAUUUAACUCAACGACACUUACUAAACAACCCUAUAUACAUUUAAACUCUAAAAACAUGCCAAAAUAUCAUAUAUCACUCUUUCAAACCAUCUAAUACAACCCUUCCACAAUUCGACAUCAAAACAUAUCAAAAUAACUUAAAUAAACACAACCUCACCAGCCAAUUCUUUUAUCCAUAACAUGAUAUCAUAUUAUCUAAUUGCAUACUCAAAAUGCUAUUUCAUGAGUCAUUUGCACAAUUCAAAUCAUCUACUAAAUGCAUAUGGUUUCAACUAUGUAUAUUCUUUGCCAUAAAUCAUGUUAACAUAGAUUUCAAACCAUAUCACUAUACAAAGAAACCAAAACAACUCUUAAGUACAUGUCACACAUAACUGAGCCUUAAUACGAUUAAAAGACUACCAAAUCAAUAACGAAAUAGUGUGAGUUUUUUGUCGAUUAGCCUGACAUGUUCCGCAAAUUGACAAUCUACAGGAAAAAGGGAGUAAGCAUUACAAAUGCUUAGUAAGUUCAUAGCUAUUAAAACAACAACUUACCUCAUUUUAUGAAUUUAUGCAAUAAGUUAUUCAACUUGACGAUUUUGCCUAAAUCCAACAACCCUAUAUCAACAAGGUGAGUUCAUCUCGCAACCCAUUCAUAUAAUAAUAUGAACAUUUAAUAUUUCAAAUAAUUUUAAUACCAAUCGCAUGGAAAUCAACAACCCAGUACCAUUCAUAACAUUCUAAUUAACAUUUCAAUUCACAAAUACAACUAAAAAUCUCAGUGGUACACAUGUAUCAAUAUAUUUAAGCUUUAAUCGAUCAAUCUAAAGAUUAUAUUGUAUCAUUUCAUUUUGUUGUCAACCAUACAUCCAAUUUCAAUAUAAUGGCAAUCAUUAUUUCAUUUUAUUGUUUGAAUUCUCAAUCCAAUUCAUAUUAAUCCAUAUGAAUUUUAUUCCCGUGUCAUAUAAAUUAAUCUUUAUACCAAAUAGAUAUUUAAUGUCAAUUUAAUGUCAAUCACUACUUUGUUUCAUAGUACGAAUUCUAAAUCACACUCAUUGAUUUGUCACGUAUUCAUAUUAACCUUCUGUGCUUGUAUAAUUGAUUCUUAAUAUAUAUAUGUAUCAUCCGAUCAUCAUAUCAACUUAAUUUGAAUAUUAUUUAUUCCAUUUACAAUAUACAUGCCCCUAUUAACCUGACUCAGACACGGAUGGAUACAUGGAUCCACCCAACACACCAAAUUGACACCCAGUGCCUAUUGGAUAAAUCCAAAAAUAAUAAGUUACACCCUAUGCUGGUCAGUAAAAUAAAAAAAAUAGAUGUGCUCAACAUUGGUCAGUAAAAUCAACAAAUGGGGUUCCCAACACUCCCCGACACGUAGUCAUAUAACCCUGAACUCUUCCUAUCCUAUGACAUGCCAACUAUAUCCAGUUAUGCCCGACUAAUUAAUAGGGUAACAAUUUCUCGAUUUCAUUACAUAAUUUCAUCAACCAAACAAUCAAUUCUCAAAUAUAAUAGCACAUCACAUAAUCAUACUGAUUCAAUUUCAUGUUUACAACAUUAUAUCAUUCUUUCACAUAUAUUCACUUGGUCCUUAUCACUAUCAACCUGUCUAAAUCGAAUCAAUUCAACUCAUUUCAUUGCAUCAUUACAUAACAUAUCUCAUUUUAGUUCAAUUUAUGGUCAAUUCCAUAAUUAUUUCAAUUUGUAAUUCAUUGUAUUCAAUUUAAUCCUAUAUCUCACCUUUUUGUACCAAAUCGUAAAGAAUUAAAAUUUCAAUUAAAUAUAAUUAAAAUUAUAAUUCUAAAUGCAUAAAAAAUUUAACACAAACAUACCGUAUAAACUUACCAAGCCAAGACAAAAAAAAACCUCUCUAAGCACUAAUCAACAACUUUUGCCAUUUCCUUGAUUAUCUUCAAUUUGGUCUAAUUUUCGAUAUAUUCAACAGUUCGAUUCAAUUUAUCAAUUCUAAACAUCUUAUAUAAUUCUAUUAUAAUUACACAUCAAUUUAAGUUUAUUAUUUAAAUGCCCCUAAACUUUUACAUUUUAUUCAAUUUAGUCCAUAAAAUCGAACUUAUCAUAUCUUCCGAAUUUGAACUCCAAAUUUUAAACUCACUUCAAUUAUGUCCAUAUACAACCUCAUAUUAUCACAAUUUAUAAAAAUUUCAUACAUAUUUCAAGAUAUUCACAAUUUAAUCCUUAAACUCAAAACUAACAUAAUUUACUUAACAAAUUAAUCCUAUUUCAUUUCUAAGCUUCAAAAUAUACCUUAAACAUUCAAAAAAUUCAAAUAAUCAAUGGGAACUUUUUAAAUAUUUGGAAGUUUUGAAAACGGAGAUACGAGUUAGAUAAACCUAGUUGUAACUAUCUUAAAAACAUAAAAAAUCAUGAAAAAACUGGCUUAGAAAACAUUACGAUGCAAGAGAAACAUGUUGUUGAACCAUGAAGCUUCUCCCAUAGUGGUUUUUGAGUUUCUUAUUUGGUGAAGAAAACAAAUGAAAGUGAAAACUUUCAUUUUUUUUAUGUUUUAACUAUUAUAAUAUUAAUUUAACCUUAAAAUUAAAUAAAAAUUUAAUUAUAAAAUUCAAAUAAAACAUUUAACAACCGACCACCAAAAAAUAAAAGGGUAAUUUGUAACUUAAAACUCUUAUCAUUAAUUAAUUUUGCCUUUUAGCUAAUAAAAACCAAUACCGAUUAAAUUUUACUAUUUUUAUGAUUUAGUCCUUUUUCCUUAUUUAACCAUCCAAUCACUAAAAUUUUUGGACCAAAUUUCAAUUCACCUAUAUAACAGAUCCGUAAAUAUUUAAUAAAAAUAUUCAUGGGUUAGAGUUUCAAAAAUUUGGUCUCGAAACCUUAUUUUCCAAAACCACUUGACUUUUGGUAUGCACCACUUGUACCUUGACUAACUGAUCAAUUAAUAAAAUCUAUUAAAUCACAAUUUCCUAUUAUACUAUAUUUAACUCAUGAAUAUUAAUUAAAUAUAUCUAUGGACUCUCUUGUCAAAAUUGUGUUCUUGAAACCACUACUUCUGACACCAUUGAAAAACGAGAUAUUACACUUCAUUCAUUUAACGUCCCACCAUAACACUAAUACUUCUUUCAAUUAAUAUCAAGAAGGCAUAUGCAUUUCUACAUUAACAUGCAAUCCACUUCGACUUUUAUGGCUCAUCAACACAAGAGCAAUUCAUAUACCAUUUAACCAUAUUCAUUCAAUAACCAUGGACUCACAAAUAAAUAAUAGUUCACUACUAAUUAAUACUUCAACGGCUUAUGCAGAAAACAAUUAUAUACAUAAUUAGUCUUAAAUUUAGACCACAUAUUCACACUCAAAUAGAACAACAUUGACAACAGUUUCACACAACAAUGACAAAGUUAAACAUCUCCAGAUUAUAGAGUAAAUUUUCGAGCAAAACAUAACCCUGUAGCAUAUAGAUGAAAAUAAAAGUUGGAGUUCAAAAAUCACUCGCAAAACACCCAAAUGCUAGAACCCUACACUUGUUUUUUCCUUUCCUUUGUCACUUUGGCCUCAUCCUUGGUUAGUUAAAUAAAAUAACCAUUCGUCAAUAAAAAUGACAACAUUCAUAAGCAAGACAAUCGAAAUCCAUUAACAUGCAAAAUAUUUUUGUAAGCUAUCUAAGAUCUUAUGUUCACAGCCAUGAAGUUUACCAUAACUUACAAGUUUCUUACCUCUUCCUUUCAGUCAAAAGGUGUAGAAGGGUUAGAAAGGUUACCGGCUCACUAGAUUCUUAAUUUCUCAAGCUAACACGUCUAGUUUUCCUUCAUACAAACUACUUCUUACUUCCUUACAAUUCCAAAAAAAGAAAAGGAAAAAUUAAGAAGACAAAUACCAGGACAUGAGAAUCGAAGAAUAGCAUAUUUAGUUCUUCUACUUAUACUCCUCUUACCUCCGUUCACCAAUUCCAACAUUCAAUAUAAAAUUAUUUAAGCUAUAAUCAUGUUGUUCCCCACUUAAUCAUCUAGAUCUAAUGUAAUGGGACCAAAAUUGAAAUUCAAUUUGUCUACCAAUUGGUUCACAAGAUUUAGUAAUCCAGACAAAAGCCCUCAUGAACUAAGUGUUUCUUAAUUAAAUACCUCUACUUACCGUGGAUUUUUCAAAAAAUCAUUUUAAUAAAUUUCUUAUCUACAAUCAAGACCAAACUUUAAUUUAACAGUUUCGGGUGUGAUAACUCUCCACCCUUAAGAAAAAUUUAGUCCCCGAAAUUUUUUUACUUUUCAAAUAAGUGCAAGUAUUUUUCCAUCAUGGAACUUUUUCUUUUCGCAAAUGCAUCACCCCAAUAUCAGUUUAUACAUAAAUAGCUAGCAUUAAACAAAUAAGAGAUACCUGCAAUAGCGCCUAGACUCUCUGUAUCUCCCUUGGCUCGCAUCACGUAUUUGCUUCUAUCAGCUCGUUAUGGAUAGUCCCUCUUAAAGUGACCCUAUUCUCCACAUUUGAAGCAAACACCUAACACCUUCCAGUAUUACCUUUAUGGUUCUUCCCACACUGUUCGCAAGUGGGGCUGGACAUCCUCCCCGACCCUCCAAUGCUAGCUACUGACGUGGUUUGGCAUCUAUCACGAUCCUGCCUAACAAUGUGGUUUGGAAUCCCCUAUUAUCCCAAGUCCUCUUAAUUCCAGGGCCUAGAAAUGGGCUUGUAGCUCCUUGUUUACCUUUUUCUUGAUCUUCAGCUUUGUUCUUUUCUUGUAUCAUCAUCUUCAUCCACUAGGCUUUAGCUAUCAAAGCAACCAAGUCUAAGAUUUCAAGCGCUGCCAAUAACAUACGAAUCGCUUCAAUUAAACCUCACUCAAAUCGGACCCAAAGGUCCUCCUCCAUUGGUGCCAACUCCCAAGCGUACUUGCUUAGUUUAAUAAAUUCAUGCUCGUAUUCAAACACUAUCAUCUGCCCUUGAUUAAGGUUUAAGAACUCUCUUUUCAUCUGUUUAAUGAAGAAUUAGCUAAUAUAUUUUUCUUGAAACUUCUACAAAAAGAAAUCCUAGUUAAUUUUCGCAUGUGGGUAGAGUAUGCCACCACUUGUAACACCUUGUACCUGACCUGAUUGUCAGGUCCAGGCUAUAGGAUGCUACACUUAAAUUUAAAAUUUAACUUAGACCUUGAGCAUUGUUAUCCACAAAUAAUAAAAGAAUGAAGACAAUAAUAUAUUUAAUAUUGCUACUAAGUAAAUUCAAAACUUCCAAGAAUCUAUGUCAACAAUAAAACUUUAACUUAAUAUACAACAAUUUCACCAAUUAAUCUUUAACAUGUUUAAAGUAUUCAGUUUGUGCUAAAAUUUAUAUUCUAACCAUUUAUUUCUUCUACAGCAAAGACCCUGAUACUCUGCCUCUGGGUUGCCCCAUUGUAUGCAAGUUACAACUAAUAAACAUAUCUGCCGAUGUAUGGCGAACUCUGGCCUGGUCCCUUCUCGAACUUCCAAAAUCCCCUAUUCACCUACAAUGCAUAACAACACAAGUUCUAAAGAACUUAAUGAGUUUCCAUACCUUACUAACACAAUGCUAUUACGAUUGCACUUCGUGACUGGGACUUCACAACGAUUUUUGCCUGUAUUAAGACAAUACGACAUCCUCUUUUUUUUACAAUAGAUGAUUCUUUGGUGGUUUUCACUUACCAAUUCCAUUUUUAUUUAUUGCCUUCAUGACCUAUAUGCAUUUAUCUCCUCGAGAGGGAAAUCCUUGUGUAUUCCUACUUACGAACGGUAAAAGAUAAAGUGUAAACAAUACUCAUGACACUCCUUGCAUCAAUGGCUACAAAUCUUCACAUAAGACCAUUCUUGGCGAAUAGUGUCUAUCGCGAGCUAUUAAUAAUAUUUUGUCUUACCGAACUAAGACUCAUAUUAUGAUCGUUUUGGAUCAUUAAGGGAAACACCCUUACGGCAUAAUAUAGAAAGUCUACUCAUUCCUAUCAAAUGGAUAGAUCGGAGAAUACAUCAUCUUACUCUUGUUCCAUAAUCAAGUAGUCCACUCCUGGUGGUUAUCUCUUUGAAAUAGAUAACAUGUAGGCAGAUUCUUAACAGUGAAUCCUCUAUUUGCGGAAUCAUACAUAUGGGACAUUCAUGUGGACUACCGUAUCUUUCAUAUAUAAGUUCUUCAUUUUGGAAGUAUAGGAGAAUACCUUGUAUCGUCCCCAAAAGAAACUAGUGGACUGUCAUAUAUGUAUGAUAUAACUUCUAUACAAUUUGCAUGUACAGUGAGCUUGAGCUUAGGAUUUGCCACUAGCACAUGGAUUCAUUCUUGGCAGACUUGUAAAGUUAAAUUUGAAUCCUCGAAUUCUCCUGCGACUCUUACCAAAGUGAAUUCUAUAACUACUGUAGGUGCAAAUCUGUAAGAAUAAGUCAGUGGACCAUCAUAACUUAUAUCCGCUUCACCUUAUUUGCUAGCAUAUGCAUCAUAGCCUUCUCAUAAUAAUAGAUAACCCAUUUUUUAGACUCAUACCAGUGGACAUAUUGUGGAAUCAUAUUCACAAGAUAGUUUUGGUGAACUUUCCUCACAACAAUAGUCCUAAAGUGCUUUCCCCAUAUUAGAUAGUCCUCAUGGACCUCCAAAAGAUAGUCCUUAUGGACCUCCCACAUUAGAUAGUCUUUAUAGGCUUUCCACAUAUGAUAAUCCUAAUGGACUUUCCACGUUAGGUAGUCCUGAUGAACUUCCCACAUAAGAUAGUCUUGAUGGACUUUCCACAUUAGAUAAUACUGAGGACUUUCUACAUUAGACAGUUCUAACGAACUUCCCACAUAUACGGUAAUGUAAUGGCCAUGGAGUUCCAUUCGUCCCACUAAGGGCUUUCGUACAUCCCUCAUAAGGGGCUCUCAAUCUUCCUAUAAAAGGAUCUCACAUUGGUGCACACCGUUUUUUGUAUAAUUUCAAAUCUCCUUUCUUGGCUUAAUCCAACCGAACCUCCCUCAAAGCCACAUACGUAAAAUGCAUAUGCAACCAUGCAUGACCAUCCGAACCUCUGCAAAACCAUAGAAAUAAAAGGCAUAUCAUACAUACAUUCCGCCUAUAAGAACUAUGAAUCAUAUGACAUAUAUCUCGCCAAAUAUUUCAUUGAUAUGUCAUAAUAAUUCUUACCACCAACCAAUCAUAUCACUUUAAUAUAAAAUAAUACAAUACGCCAAACACUUUAUUUACUCAACAUAACUAGUUCACAACCAUCUGUAUAUUUACAUACUACACUGCUUGCAACCACCAUACACCAUUACUUUGCCAUAACAUUUUCAUAGUUCAACUAUAGAAGAAUUCAUCAUUCACAUAACACUGAAGUAAGCCUAUUCUACUCGUGAAACUGAACAAAACAUUUAUUUACUAGUUGAGUUCUGAAACUCACCUGGAAGUUGAUGCCAAAUCCACCCAUUAAAAUUUUUCCUUUGCUACAUGAGCCUCUAGUAGCUUGAUCAAUACAACUUGAUAAAUCAUCAAUUAUUUGUCCACAAUUGAUCUGUUGUAAUUCAGUGAAGUAGACUAAACUAGUUUUCAUACUUAAGGAGCUUGAAGGCGAGCAAUUUUAUCAUGUUUUAGUUAGUUUUUCUAUCUUAUCUUUAAAUUCAAUAAAAAGUUUAUAUUGAUUCAUUUUAUGACCUUAGGGGCCAAAAGAGGCCGAAAAGUACGCUAACGUACUUAAAUACUGUGCAUGAUAUCAUUCAAAGGCAUAAUAGUUCAAGACUGGUCGCUGUGUUACAACACGGGAAGUGUAAUGUCGUAACAUAGAGAGUAGAAUACAAGAAUUCCAAUACUACCUUUAGUGUCGUAACACAUGCACUGGGUGUCGUGACACCGACUCUAUAUGGGAGAAAUUACAAGUGAAGGGUGUUUUGGUCCGCACAAUAUAUUUUUAUAUAAAAACAUCAGCCAACCUAGGGUUAAGGAUGACAACCAACUCUAACUCUAUAAAUACACUUAUUAGGCACUUGUUUAGGGACAACUUUCAUAGUUUAGAAUUUCUCUGUAAUUAGUUUUUAGUUUUUCUUUUUUUAGGCUUUAGAUUUAUUUUCAUUUAUUCCCGUUCGUGUUCUUUGGAGAAUCUGAUUUGUAGAUUCGAUUAAAAUUUUGUGGAUUAUGCGCUUCAUCAAUCAAUACAAACUCAGGAUUCUUCUUAAACUAUAUUCUUGAUCUGUUAUUAAUUUUUAAUUAUUUUAUCAAGUAUAUGUUGUUUAUGGAUUCCAUGAGGAACUAAUCCUCUUAUGAGGGGUUAGAGAGUGGAAGUGGGAUUAACUAAUUGAUAUUUAAGGUUUUCUUAGACGAUCAACUAUUUAGAGAGGAAGAACUUAAACCCUAAACCUGAAAACCCUAGGAAGUCAUUUAGGUGGGAAUUCACCCAAAAUUGGUAUGACAUAUCCCUAAACACCUUAGCCUCGAAUCGAUCUGGACUAUAAGGUCAAAAGAUAAGUAGUUCUUACAGACUCGUUAGUUUAGUAGAAGAUCGAGAGAUCCUGCUAGGGUGACCAUUAGUUGAUUGAAUAGAAACCCAAAAUAGGAAUUAAUUAUAACCAUCAAAGCGAUCUAAUCACCCAUGUUUAGGUUUGGUUAAGUUUAGAUUUCAGUAUCCGAAGCUAAUUUUAUUUAUGCAGUUUUUAUUUCUUUAUUAUAAAAACCUGAAAUAUUUUAUUUAUGUUUAAAUGUAAUAUAAUUGAUUUAAAGUACUAAUUAGAUCUAUAUUCAUUUAAGUUAAAGUUAAUUUAGUAUUAGCCUCCCUUGGGUUUGACCCUUGGAGUACUCACCUACUUCAUUGUAAAAACUAUAUUCUAACCUGACUCGUAUACUUGCAGACAACAACUCAAUUCCAUUCAUUUAGUUGCAAUAUUUACACUCUUGAUGUUAGUAUGUCCGGAGGCGGUCAAAUAUUUCGUGCCAUUGCCGAGGAGGCAACGCCACUAAAUUGAUUUUAAUUUUUGAGUUUUAUAGGAUAAUUUGGAAAUUUAUAAAUUGUAUAUACAAUUUUUUUAUUGUUACUAACAUAUUUUAUUUUCUUUUUAGUUUCAAUGUAUGACUCGUAGUAGUAGAACAAUUAUAGAGCGAGUCACUGAUCUAGAGAAUAUAAUCUGUAGGAAUCGUCAAUAGCCAUAGCAGAUGCAAAACCAAUCACCUGUUGCAAGCAAUCUACCAUGCGAUAACUCGUUGUUUGAUGAGGUAAACGAACUUAACAUCCAAGACUUACCACCACUACCGCAAUUACCAGCAAACCCUUCGAUGGCAUGAGAAGAGCGAAACCUAAGGGAUUACGCACUACCAAAUCUGGUGAUGGUUCAAGGUAGCAUUACAAGGCCAACCAUUAUGGAAAAUAAUUUUGAAAUAAAAUCGACCAUGAUAUAGAUGAUCCAAAAUAAUCUGUAAUUCAGAGGCACCAUGACGGAUGACCCAAAUCAACAUCUAAAACGGCUCCUUCAAUUUUGUGAUACAUUUAAAUAUAACGGGGUCAUUGAUGAAGCUAUUGAUCUUCGGUUGUUUCCCUUAUCCUUGAUCGAUAUUCGUUUAAGUUAAAGUUAAAGUUAAUUUAGUAUCAGCCUUCCUUGGGUUUGAUCCUUGGAGUACUCACCUACUUCAUUGUAAAAACUAUAUUACAACCUGACUCGUAUACUUGCAGACACCACCUCAAUUCCAUUGAUUUAGUUGCAAUAUUUACACUCUGGAUGUUAGUAUGUCCGGAGGCGGUCAAGUGUUUGGUGCCAUUGCCGAGGAGGCAACGCUACUAAAUUGAUUUUAAUUUUUGAGUUUUAUAGGAUAAUUUUGAAAUUUAUAAAUUGUAGAUACAAUUUUUUUAUUGUUAAUAACAUCUUUUAUUUUCUUUUUAGUUUCAGUGUAUGGCUCGUAGUAGUGGAACAGUUAUAGAGCGAGUCACUGAUCUAAAGAGAAUAAUCUGUAGGAAUCGUCAAUAGCCAUAGCAGAUGCAAAACCAAUCACCUGUACUAAUUAGAUCUAUAUUCGUUGAAGUUCAAGUUAAUUUAGUAUUAGCCUCCAUUGGGUUUGAUCCUUGGAGUACUCACCUACUUCGUUGUAAAAACUAUAUUACAACCAGACUCGUAUACUUGCAGACACCACCUCAAUUCCAUUCAUUUAGUUGCAAUAUUUACACUCUAAAUGUUAGUAUGUCCGGAGGAGGUCAAGUGUUUGGUGCCAUUGCCGAGGAGGCAAUGCUACUAAAUUGAUUUUAAUUUUUGAGUUUUAUAGGAUAAUUUGGAAAUUUAUAAAUUGUAGAUACAAUUUUUUUUAUUGUUACUAACAUCUUUUAUUUUCUUUUUAGUUUCAGUGUAUGUCUUGCAGUAGUGGAACAGUUAUAGAGCGAGUCACUGAUCUAGGGAGAAUAAUCUGUAGGAAUCGUCAAUAGCCAUAGCAGAUGCAAAACCAAUCACUUGUACUAAUUAGAUCUAUAUUCGUUUAAGUUAAAGUUAAUUUAGAAUUAGCCUCCCUUGGGUUUGAUCCUUCGAGUACUCACCUACUUCGUUGUAAAAACUAUAUUACAACCUGACUCAUCAACUUGCAGACACCACCUCAAUUCCAUUCAUUUAGUUGCAAUAUUUACGCUCUGGAUGUUAGUAUGUUCGGAGGCGGUCAAGUGUUUGGAGCCAUUGCCGAGGAGGCAACGCUACUAAAUUGAUUUUAAUUUUUGAGUUUUAUAGGAUAAUUUGGAAAUUUAUAAAUUGUAGAUACAAUUUUUUUAUUGUUACUAACAUCUUUUAUUUUCUUUUUAGUUUCAGUGUAGGACUCGUAGUAGUGGAACAAUUAUAGAGCGAGUCACUGAUCUAGAGAGAAUAAUCUGUAGGAAUCGUCGAUAGCCAUAGCAGAUGCAAAACCAAUCACCUGUUGCAAGCAAUCUACCAUGCGAUAACGCGUUGUUUGAUGAGGAAAACGAACUUAACAUCCAAGACUUACCACCACCACCGCAAUUACCAGCAAACCCUUCGAUGGCAUGAGAAGAGCGAAACCUAAGGGAUUACGCACUACCAAAUCUGGUGAUGGUUCAAGGUAGCAUUACAAGGCCAACCAUUAUGGAAAAUAAUUUUGAAAUAAAAUUGACCAUGAUCUAGAUGAUCCAAAAUAAUCAUCAAUUCAGAGGAACCAUGACGGAUGACACAAAUCAACAUCUAAAACAGGACCUUCAAUUUUGUGAUACAUUCUAAUAUAACGGGGUUAUUGAUGAAGCUAUUCAUCUUCGGUUGUUUCCCUUAUCCUUAAUCCAUAUUCGUUUAAGUUAAAGUUAAAGUUAACUUAGUAUUAGCCUUCCUUGGGUUUGAUCCUUGGAGUACUCACCUACUUCGUUGUAAAAACUAUAUUACAACCUGACUCGUAUACUUGCAGACACCACCUCAAUUCCAUUGAUUUAGUUGCCAUAUUUACACUCUAGAUGUUAGUAUGUCUGGAGGCGGUCAAGUGUUUGGUGCCAUUGCCGAGGAGGCACCGCUACUAAAUUGAUUUUAAUUUUUGAGUUUUAUAGGAUAAUUUGGAAAUUUAAAAAUUGUAGGUACAAUUUUUUUAUUGUUACUAACAUAUUUUAUUUUCCUUUUAGUUUCAGUGUAUGUCUUGCAGUAGUGGAACAGUUAUAGAGUGAGUCACUGAUCUAGAGAGAAUAAUCUGUAGGAAUCGUCAAUAGCCAUAGCAGAUGCAAAACCAAUCACUUGUACUAAUUAGAUCUAUAUUCGUUUAAGUUAAAGUUAAUUUAGUAUUAGCCUCCCUUGGGUUUGAUCCUUGGAGUACUCACCUACUUUGUUGUAAAAAGUAUAUUACAACCUGACUCGUCUACUUGCAGACACCACCUCAAUUCCAUUCAUUUAGUUUCAAUAUUUACACUCUGGAUGGUAGUAUGUCCGGAGGCGGUCAAGUGAUUGGAGCCAUUGCCGAGGAGGCAACGCUACUAAAUUGAUUUUAACUUUUGAGUUUUAUAGGAUAAUUUGGAAAUUUAUAAAUUGUAGAUACAAUUUUUUUUAUUGUUACUAACAUAUUUUAUUUUCUUUUUAGUUUCAGUGUAUGUCUUGCAGUAGUGGAACAGUUAUAGAGCGUGUCACUGAUCUAGGGAGAAUAAUCUGUAGGAAUCGUCAAUAGCCAUAGCAGAUGCAAAACCAAUCACCUGUUGCAAGCAAUCUACCAUGCGAUAACUCGUUGUUUGAUGAGGAAAACGAACUUAACAUCCAAGACUUACCACCACCACCGCAAUUACCAGCAAACCCUUCGAUGGCAUGAGAAGAGCGAAACCUAAGGGAUUACGCACUACCAAAUCUGGUGAUGGUUCAAGGUAGCAUUACAAGGCCAACCAUUAUGGAAAAUAAUUUUGAAAUAAAAUCGACCAUGAUCUAGAUGAUCCAAAAUAAUUAUCAAUUCAGAGGAACCAUGACGGAUGACACAAAUCAACAUCUAAAACGGGACCUUCAAUUUUGUGAUACAUUCUAAUAUAACGGGGUUAUUGAUGAAGCUAUUCAUCUUCGGUUGUUUCCCUUAUCCUUGAUCGAUAUUCGUUUAAGUUAAAGUUAAAGUUAACUUAGUAUUAGCCUUCCUUGGGUUUGAUCCUUGGAGUACUCACCUACUUCGUUGUAAAAACUAUAUUACAACCUGACUCGUAUUCUUGCAGACACCACCUCAAUUCCAUUGAUUUAGUUGCAAUAUUUACACUCUGGAUGUUAGUAUGUCCGGAGGCGGUCAAGUGUUUGGUGCCAUAGCCGAGGAGGCAACGCUAGUAAAUUGAUUUUAAUUUUUGAGUUUUAUAGGAUAAUUUGGAAAUUUAUAAAUUGUAGAUACAAUUUUUUUUAUUGUUACUAACAUCUUUUAUUUUCCUUUUAGUUUCAGUGUAUGUCUUGCAGUAGUGGAACAGUUAUAGAGCGAGUCACUGAUCUAGAGAGAAUAAUCUGUAGGAAUUGUCAAUAGCCAUAGCAGAUGCAAAACCAAUCACUUGUACUAAUUAGAUCUAUAUUCGUUUAAGUUAAAGUUAAUUUAGUAUUAGCCUCCCUUGGGUUUGAUCCUUGGAGUACUCACCUACUUUGUUGUAAAAACUAUAUUACAACCUGACUCGUCCACUUGCAGACACCACCUCAAUUCCAUUCAUUUAGUUUCAAUAUUUACACUCUGGAUGUUAGUAUGUCCGGAGGCGGUCAAGUGAUUGGAGCCAUUGCCGAGGAGGCAACGCUACUAAAUUGAUUUUAACUUUUGAGUUUUAUAGGAUAAUUUGGAAAUUUAUAAAUUGUAGAUACAAUUUUUUUAUUGUUACUAACAUCUUUAUUUUCUUUUUAGUUUCAGUGUAGGACUCGUAGUAGUGGAACAAUUAUAGAGCGAGUCACGGAUCUAGAGAGAAUAAUCUGUAGGAAUCGUCACUAGCCAUAGCAGAUGCAAAACCAAUCACCUGUUGCAAGCAAUCUACCAUGCGAUAACUCGUUGUUUGAUGAGGAAAACGAACUUAACAUCCAAGACUUACCACCACCACCGCAAUUACCAGCAAACCCUUCGAUGGCAUGAGAAGAGCGAAACCUAAGGGAUUACGCACUACCAAAUCUGGUGAUGGUUCAACGUAGCAUUACAAGGCCAACCAUAAUGGAAAAUAAUUUUGAAAUAAAAUCGACCAUGAUCUAGAUGAUCCAAAAUAAUCAUCAAUUCAGAGGAACCAUGACGGAUGACACAAAUCAACAUCUAAAAUGGGACCUUCAAUUUUGUGAUACAUUCUAAUAUAACGGGGUUAUUGAUGAAGCUAUUCAUCUUCGGUUGUUUCCCUUAUCCUUGAUCGAUAUUCGUUAAAGUUAAAGUUAAAGUUAACUUAGUAUUAGCCUUCCUUGGGUUUGAUCCUUGGAGUACUCACCUACUUCGUUGUAAAAACUAUAUUACAACCUGACUCGUAUACUUGCAGACACCACCUCAAUUCUAUUGAUUUAGGUGCCAUAUUUACACUCUAGAUGUUAGUAUGUCUGGAGGCGGUCAAGUGUUUGGUGCCAUUUUCGAGUAGGCAACGCUACUAAAUUGAUUUUAAUUUUUGAGUUUUAUAGGAUAAUUUUGAAAUUUAAAAAUUGUAGGUACAAUUUUUUUUAUUGUUACUAACAUCUUUUAUUUUCCUUUUAGUUUCAGUGUAUGUCUUGCAGAAGUGGAACUGUUAUAGAGCGAGUCACUGAUCGAGAGAGAAUAAUCUGUAGGAAUCGUCAAUAGCCAUAGCAGAUGCAAAACCAAUCACUUGUACUAAUUAGAUCUAUAUUCGUUUAAGUUAAAGUUAAUUUAGUAUUAGCCUCCCUUGGGUUUGAUCCUUGGAGUACUCAACUACUUUGUUGUAAAAACUAUUUUACAACCUGACUCGUCUACUUGCAGACACCACCUCAAUUCCAUUCAUUUAGUUUCAAUAUUUACACUCUGGAUGUUAGUAUGUCCGGAGGCGGUCAAGUGAUUGGAGCCAUUGCCGAGGAGGCAACGCUACUAAAUUGAUUUUAACUUUUGAGUUUUGUAGGAUAAUUUGGAAAUUUAUAAAUUGUAGAUACAAUUUUUUUAUUGUUACUAACGUCUUUAUUUUCUUUUUAGUUUCAGUGUAGGACUCGUAGUAGUGGAACAAUUAUAGAGCGAGUCACUGAUCUAGAGAGAAUAAUCUCUAGGAAUCGUCAAUAGCCAUAGCAGAUGCAAAACCAAUCAUCUGUUGCAAGCAAUCUACCAUGCAAUAAAUCGUUGUUUGAUGAGGUAAACGAACUUAACAUCCAAGACAUACCACCACCACCGCAAUUACCAGCAAACCCUUCGAUGGCAUUAGAAGAGCGAAACCUAAGGGAUUACGCACUACCAAAUCUGGUGAUGGUUCAAGGUAGCAUUACAAGGCCAACCAUUAUGGAAAAUUAUUUUGAAAUAAAAUAGACCAUGAUCUAAAUGAUCCAAAAUAAUCUGCAAUUCAGAGACACCAUGACGGAUGUCCCAAAUCAACAUCUAAAACGGGUCCUUCAAUUUUGGGAUACAUUUAAAUAUAACGGGGUCAUUGAUGAAGCUAUUAAUCUUCGAUUGUUUCCCUUAUCCUUGAUCGAUAUUCAUUUAAGUUAAAGUUAAAGUUAAUUUAGUAUUAGCCUUCCUUGGGUUUGAUCCUUGGAGUACUCACCUACUUUGUUGUAAAAACUAUAUUACAACCUGACUCGUAUACUUGCAGACACCACCUCAAUUCCAUUCAUUUAGUUUCAAUAUUUACACUCUGGAUGUUAGUAUGUCCGGAGGCGGUCAAGUGAUUGGAGCCAUUGCCGAGGAGGCAACGCUACUAAAUUGAUUUUAACUUUUGAGUUUUGUAGGAUAAUUUGGAAAUUUAUAAAUUGUAGAUACAAUUUUUUUGUUGUUACUAACAUCUUUAUUUUCUUUUUAGUUUCAGUGUAGGACUCGUAGUAGUGGAACAAUUAUAGAGUGAGUCACUGAUCUAGAGAGAAUAAUCUGUAGGAAUCGUCAAUAGCCAUAGCAGAUGCAAAACUAUUCACCUGUUGCAAGCAAUCUACCAUGCGAUAACUCGUUGUUUGAUGGGGAAAACGAACUUAACAUCCAAGACUUACCACCACCACCGCAAUUACCAGCAAACCCUUCGAUGGCAUGAGAAGAGCGAAACCUAAGGGAUUACGCACUACCAAAUCUGGUGAUGGUUCAAGGUAGCAUUACAAGGCCAACCAUUAUGGAAAAUAAUUUUGAAAUAAAAUCGACCAUGAUCUAGAUGAUCCAAAAUAAUCAUCAAUUCAGAGGAACCAUGACGGAUGACACAAAUCAACAUCUAAAACGGGACCUUCAAUUUUGUGAUACAUUCUAAUAUAACGGGGUUAUUGAUGAAGCUAUUCAUCUUCGGUUGUUUCCCUUAUCCUUGAUCGAUAUUCGUUUAAGUUAAAGUUAAAGUUAACUUAAUAUUAGCCUUCCUUGGGUUUGAUCCUUGGAGUACUCACCUACUUCGUUGUAAAAACUAUAUUACAACCUGACUCGUAUACUUGCAGACACCACCUCAAUUCCAUUCAUUUAGUUGCAAUAUUUACACUCUGGAUGUUAGUAUGUCCGGAGGCGGUCAAGUGUUUGGUGCCAUUGCCGAGGAGGCAACGCUACUAAAUUGAUUUUAAUUUUUGAGUUUUAUAGGAUAAUUUGGUAAUUUAUAAAUUGUAGAUACAAUUUUUUUAUUGUUACUAACAUCUUUUAUUUUCCUUUUAGUUUCAGUGUAUGUCUUGUAGUAGUGGAACUGUUAUAGAGCGAGUCGCUGAUCUAGAGAGAAUAAUCUGUAGGAAUCGUCAAUAGCCAUAGCAGAUGCAAAACCAAUCACUUGUACUAAUUAGAUCUAUAUUCGUUUAAGUUAAAGUUAAUUUAGUAUUAGCCUCCCUUGGGUUUGAUCCUUGGAGUACUCACCUACUUUGUUGUAAAAAGUAUAUUACAACCUGACUCGUCUACUUGCAGACACCACCUCAAUUCCAUUCAUUUAGUUUCAAUAUUUACACUCUGGAUGUUAGUAUGUCCGGAGGCGGUCAAGUGAUUGGAGCCAUUGCCGAGGAGGCAACGCUACUAAAUUGAUUUUAACUUUUGAGUUUUAUAGGAUAAUUUGGAAAUUUAUAAAUUGUAGAUAGAAUUUUUUUAUUGUCACUAACAUCUUUUAUUUUCUUUUUAGUUUAAGUGUAGGACUCGUAGUAGUGGAACAAUUAUAGAGCGAGUCACUGAUCUAGAGAGAAUAAUCUGUAGGAAUCGUCAAUAGCCAUAGCAGAUGCAAAACCAAUCACCUGUUGCAAGCAAUCUACCAUGCGAUAACUCGUUGUUUGAUGAGGAAAACGAACUUAACAUCCAAGACUUACCACCACCACCGCAAUUACCAGCAAACCCUUCGAUGGCAUGAGAAGAGCGAAACCUAAGGGAUUACGCACUACCAAAUCUGGUGAUGGUUCAAGGUAGCAUUACAAGGCCAACCAUUAUGGAAAAUAAUUUUGAAAUAAAAUCGACCAUGAUCUAGAUGAUCCAAAAUAAUCAUCAAUUCAGAGGAACCAUGACGGAUGACACAAAUCAACAUCUAAAACGGGACCUUCAAUUUUGUGAUACAUUCUAAUAUAACGGGGUUAUUGAUGAAGCUAUUCAUCUUCGGUUGUUUCCCUUAUCCUUGAUCGAUAUUCGUUUAAGUUAAAGUUAAAGUUAACUUAGUAUUAGCCUUCCUUGGGUUUGAUCCUUGGAGUACUCACCUACUUCGUUGUAAAAACUAUAUUACAACCUGACUCGUAUACUUGCAGACACCACCUCAAUUCCAUUGAUUUAGUUGCAAUAUUUACACUCUGGAUGUUAGUAUGUCCGGAGGCGGUCAAGUGUUUGGUGCCAUAGCCGAGGAGGCAACGCUAGUAAAUUGAUUUUAAUUUUUGAGUUUUAUAGGAUAAUUUGGAAAUUUAUAGAUUGUAGAUACAAUUUUUUUUAUUGUUACUAACAUCUUUUAUUUUCCUUUUAGUUUCAGUGUAUGUCUUGCAGUAGUGGAACAGUUAUAGAGCGAGUCACUGAUCUGGAGAGAAUAAUCUGUAGGAAUCGUCAAUAGCCAUAGCAGAUGCAAAACCAAUCACUUGUACUAAUUAGAUCUAUAUUCGUUUAAGUUAAAGUUAAUUUAGUAUUAGCCUCCCUUGGGUUUGAUCCUUGGAGUACUCACCUACUUUGUUGUAAAAACUAUAUUACAACCUGACUCGUCUACUUGCAGACACCACCUCAAUUCCAUUCAUUUAGUUUCAAUAUUUACACUCUGGAUGUUAGUAUGUCCGGAGGCGGUCAAGUGAUUGGAGCCAUUGCCGAGGAGGCAACGCUACUAAAUUGAUUUUAACUUUUGAGUUUUAUAGGAUAAUUUGGAAAUUUAUAAAUUGUAGAUACAAUUUUUUUAUUGUUACUAACAUCUUUAUUUUCUUUUUAGUUUCAGUGUAGGACUCGUAGUAGUGGAACAAUUAUAGAGCGAGUCACGGAUCUAGAGAGAAUAAUCUGUAGGAAUCGUCACUAGCCAUAGCAGAUGCAAAACCAAUCACCUGUUGCAAGCAAUCUACCAUGCGAUAACUCGUUGUUUGAUGAGGAAAACGAACUUAACAUCCAAGACUUACCACCACCACCGCAAUUACCAGCAAACCCUUCGAUGGCAUGAGAAGAGCGAAACCUAAGGGAUUACGCACUACCAAAUCUGGUGAUGGUUCAAGGUAGCAUUACAAGGCCAACCAUAAUGGAAAAUAAUUUUGAAAUAAAAUCGACCAUGAUCUAGAUGAUCCAAAAUAAUCAUCAAUUCAGAGGAACCAUGACGGAUGACACAAAUCAACAUCUAAAAUGGGACCUUCAAUUUUGUGAUACAUUCUAAUAUAACGGGGUUAUUGAUGAAGCUAUUCAUCUUCGGUUGUUUCCCUUAUCCUUGAUCGAUAUUCGUUAAAGUUAAAGUUAAAGUUAACUUAGUAUUAGCCUUCCUUGGGUUUGAUCCUUGGAGUACUCACCUACUUCGUUGUAAAAACUAUAUUACAACCUGACUCGUAUACUUGCAGACACCACCUCAAUUCUAUUGAUUUAGGUGCCAUAUUUACACUCUAGAUGUUAGUAUGUCUGGAGGCGGUCAAGUGUUUGGUGCCAUUUUCGAGUAGGCAACGCUACUAAAUUGAUUUUAAUUUUUGAGUUUUAUAGGAUAAUUUGGAAAUUUAAAAAUUGUAGGUACAAUUUUUUUUAUUGUUACUAACAUAUUUUAUUUUCCUUUUAGUUUCAGUGUAUGUCUUGCAGUAGUGGAACAGUUAUAGAGCGAGUCACUGAUCUAGAGAGAAUAAUCUGUAGGAAUCGUCAAUAGCCAUAGCAGAUGCAAAACCAAUCACUUGUACUAAUUAGAUCUAUAUUCGUUUAAGUUAAAGUUAAUUUAGUAUUAGCCUCCCUUGGGUUUGAUCCUUGGAGUACUCACCUACUUUGUUGUAAAAACUAUAUUACAACCUGACUCGUCUACUUGCAGACACCACCUCAAUUCCAUUCAUUUACUUUCAAUAUUUACACUCUGGAUGUUAGUAUGUCCGGAGGCGGUCAAGUGAUUGGAGCCAUUGCCGAGGAGGCAACGCUACUAAAUUGAUUUUAACUUUUGAGUUUUGUAGGAUAAUUUGGAAAUUUAUAAAUUGUAGAUACAAUUUUUUUAUUGUUACUAACAUCUUUAUUUUCUUUUUAGUUUCAGUGUAGGACUCGUAGUAGUGGAACAAUUAUAGAGCGAGUCACUGAUCUAGAGAGAAUAAUCUGUAGGAAUCGUCAAUAGCCAUAGCAGAUGCAAAACCAAUCAUCUGUUGCAAGCAAUCUACCAUGCGAUAAAUCGUUGUUUGAUGAGGUAAACGAACUUAACAUCCAAGACAUACCACCACCACCGCAAUUACCAGCAAACCCUUCGAUGGCAUUAGAAGAGCGAAACCUAAGGGAUUACGCACUACCAAAUCUGGUGAUGGUUCAAGGUAGCAUUACAAGGCCAACCAUUAUGGAAAAUUAUUUUGAAAUAAAAUAGACCAUGAUCUAAAUGAUCCAAAAUAAUCUGCAAUUCAGAGACACCAUGACGGAUGUCCCAAAUCAACAUCUAAAACGGGUCCUUCAAUUUUGGGAUACAUUUAAAUAUAACGGGGUCAUUGAUGAAGCUAUUAAUCUUCGGUUGUUUCCCUUAUCCUUGAUCGAUAUUCAUUUAAGUUAAAGUUAAAGUUAAUUUAGUAUUAGCCUUCCUUGGGUUUGAUCCUUGGAGUACUCACCUACUUUGUUGUAAAAACUAUAUUACAACCUGACUCGUAUACUUGCAGACACCACCUCAAUUCCAUUCAUUUAGUUUCAAUAUUUACACUCUGGAUGUUAGUAUGUCCGGAGGCGGUCAAGUGAUUGGAGCCAUUGCCGAGGAGGCAACGCUACUAAAUUGAUUUUAACUUUUGAGUUUUGUAGGAUAAUUUGGAAAUUUAUAAAUUGUAGAUACAAUUUUUUUGUUGUUACUAACAUCUUUAUUUUCUUUUUAGUUUCAGUGUAGGACUCGUAGUACUGGAACAAUUAUAGAGUGAGUCACGGAUCUAGAGAGAAUAAUCUGUAGGAAUCGUCAAUAGCCAUAGCAGAUGCAAAACUAUUCACCUGUUGCAAGCAAUCUACCAUGCGAUAACUCGUUGUUUGAUGGGGAAAACGAACUUAACAUCCAAGACUUACCACCACCACCGCAAUUACCAGCAAACCCUUCGAUGGCAUGAGAAGAGCGAAACCUAAGGGAUUACGCACUACCAAAUCUGGUGAUGGUUCAAGGUAGCAUUACAAGGCCAACCAUUAUGGAAAAUAAUUUUGAAAUAAAAUCGACCAUGAUCUAGAUGAUCCAAAAUAAUCAUCAAUUCAGAGGAACCAUGACGGAUGACACAAAUCAACAUCUAAAACGGGACCUUCAAUUUUGUGAUACAUUCUAAUAUAACGGGGUUAUUGAUGAAGCUAUUCAUCUUCGGUUGUUUCCCUUAUCCUUGAUCGAUAUUCGUUUAAGUUAAAGUUAAAGUUAACUUAAUAUUAGCCUUCCUUGGGUUUGAUCCUUGGAGUACUCACCUACUUCGUUGUAAAAACUAUAUUACAACCUGACUCGUAUACUUGCAGACACCACCUCAAUUCCAUUCAUUUAGUUGCAAUAUUUACACUCUGGAUGUUAGUAUGUCCGGAGGCGGUCAAGUGUUUGGUGCCAUUGCCGAGGAGGCAACGCUACUAAAUUGAUUUUAAUUUUUGAGUUUUAUAGGAUAAUUUGGUAAUUUAUAAAUUGUAGAUACAAUUUUUUUAUUGUUACUAACAUCUUUUAUUUUCCUUUUAGUUUCAGUGUAUGUCUUGUAGUAGUGGAACUGUUAUAGAGCGAGUCGCUGAUCUAGAAAGAAUAAUCUGUAGGAAUCGUCAAUAGCCAUAGCAGAUGCAAAACCAAUCACUUGUACUAAUUAGAUCUAUAUUCGUUUAAGUUAAAGUUAAUUUAGUAUUAGCCUCCCUUGGGUUUGAUCCUUGGAGUACUCACCUACUUUGUUGUAAAAAGUAUAUUACAACCUGACUCGUCUACUUGCAGACACCACCUCAAUUCCAUUCAUUUAGUUUCAAUAUUUACACUCUGGAUGUUAGUAUGUCCGGAGGCGGUCAAGUGAUUGGAGCCAUUGCCGAGGAGGCAACGCUACUAAAUUGAUUUUAACUUUUGAGUUUUAUAGGAUAAUUUGGAAAUUUAUAAAUUGUAGAUAGAAUUUUUUUAUUGUCACUAACAUCUUUUAUUUUCUUUUUAGUUUAAGUGUAGGACUCGUAGUAGUGGAACAAUUAUAGAGCGAGUCACUGAUCUAGAGAGAAUAAUCUGUAGGAAUCGUCAAUAGCCAUAGCAGAUGCAAAACCAAUCACCUGUUGCAAGCAAUCUACCAUGCGAUAACUCGUUGUUUGAUGAGGAAAACGAACUUAACAUCCAAGACUUACCACCACCACCGCAAUUACCAGCAAACCCUUCGAUGGCAUGAGAAGAGCGAAACCUAAGGGAUUACACACUACCAAAUCUGGUGAUGGUUCAAGGUAGCAUUACAAGGCCAACCAUUAUGGAAAAUAAUUUUGAAAUAAAAUCGACCAUGAUCUAGAUGAUCCAAAAUAAUCAUCAAUUCAGAGGAACCAUGACGGAUGACACAAAUCAACAUCUAAAACGGGACCUUCAAUUUUGUGAUACAUUCUAAUAUAACGGGGUUAUUGAUGAAGCUAUUCAUCUUCGGUUGUUUCCCUUAUCCUUGAUCGAUAUUCGUUUAAGUUAAAGUUAAAGUUAACUUAGUAUUAGCCUUCCUUGGGUUUGAUCCUUGGAGUACUCACCUACUUCGUUGUAAAAACUAUAUUACAACCUGACUCGUAUACUUGCAGACACCACCUCAAUUCCAUUGAUUUAGUUGCAAUAUUUACACUCUGGAUGUUAGUAUGUCCGGAGGCGGUCAAGUGUUUGGUGCCAUAGCCGAGGAGGCAACGCUAGUAAAUUGAUUUUAAUUUUUGAGUUUUAUAGGAUAAUUUGGAAAUUUAUAAAUUGUAGAUACAAUUUUUUUAUUGUUACUAACAUCUUUUAUUUUCCUUUUAGUUUCAGUGUAUGUCUUGCAGUAGUGGAACAGUUAUAGAGCGAGUCACUGAUCUAGAGAGAAUAAUCUGUAGGAAUCGUCAAUAGCCAUAGCAGAUGCAAAACCAAUCACUUGUACUAAUUAGAUCUAUAUUCGUUUAAGUUAAAGUUAAUUUAGUAUUAGCCUCCCUUGGGUUUGAUCCUUGGAGUACUCACCUACUUUGUUGUAAAAACUAUAUUACAACCUGACUCGUCUACUUGCAGACACCACCUCAAUUCCAUUCAUUUAGUUUCAAUAUUUACACUCUGGAUGUUAGUAUGUCCGGAGGCGGUCAAGUGAUUGGAGCCAUUGCCGAGGAGGCAACGCUACUAAAUUGAUUUUAACUUUUGAGUUUUAUAGGAUAAUUUGGAAAUUUAUAAAUUGUAGAUACAAUUUUUUUAUUGUUACUAACAUCUUUAUUUUCUUUUUAGUUUCAGUGUAGGACUCGUAGUAGUGGAACAAUUAUAGAGCGAGUCACGGAUCUAGAGAGAAUAAUCUGUAGGAAUCGUCACUAGCCAUAGCAGAUGCAAAACCAAUCACCUGUUGCAAGCAAUCUACCAUGCGAUAACUCGUUGUUUGAUGAGGAAAACGAACUUAACUUCCAAGACUUACCACCACCACCGCAAUUACCAGCAAACCCUUCGAUGGCAUGAGAAGAGCGAAACCUAAGGGAUUACGCACUACCAAAUCUGGUGAUGGUUCAAGGUAGCAUUACAAGGCCAACCAUAAUGGAAAAUAAUUUUGAAAUAAAAUCGACCAUGAUCUAGAUGAUCCAAAAUAAUCAUCAAUUCAGAGGAACCAUGACGGAUGACACAAAUCAACAUCUAAAAUGGGACCUUCAAUUUUGUGAUACAUUCUAAUAUAACGGGGUUAUUGAUGAAGCUAUUCAUCUUCGGUUGUUUCCCUUAUCCUUGAUCGAUAUUCGUUUAAGUUAAAGUUAAAGUUAACUUAGUAUUAGCCUUCCUUAGGUUUGAUCCUUGGAGUACUCACCUACUUCGUUGUAAAAACUAUAUUACAACCUGACUCGUAUACUUGCAGACACCACCUCAAUUCCAUUCAUUAAGUUGCAAUAUUUACACUCUGGAUGUUAGUAUGUCCGGAGGCGGUCAAAUGUUUGGUGCCAUUGCCAAGGAGGCAACACUACUAAAUUGAUUUUAAUUUUUGAGUUUUAUAGGAUAAUUUGGAAAUUUAUAAAUUGUAGAUACAAUUUUUUUAUUGUUACUAACAUCUUUAUUUUCUUUUUAGUUUCAGUGUAGGACUCGUAGUAGUGGAACAAUUAUAGAGCGAGUCACGGAUCUAGAGAGAAUAAUUUGUAGGAAUCGUCACUAGCCAUAGCAGAUGCAAAACCAAUCAUCUGUUGCAAGCAAUCUACCAUGCGAUAAAUCGUUGUUUGAUGAGGUAAACGAACUUAACAUCCAAGACAUACCACCACCACCGCAAUUACCAGCAAACCCUUCGAUGGCAUUAGAAGAGCGAAACCUAAGGGAUUACGCACUACCAAAUCUGGUGAUGGUUCAAGGUAGCAUUACAAGGCCAACCAUUAUGGAAAAUUAUUUUGAAAUAAAAUAGACCAUGAUCUAAAUGAUCCAAAAUAAUCUGCAAUUCAGAGGACACCAUGACGGAUGUACCCAAAUCAACAUCUAAAACGAGUCCUUCAAUUUUGGGAUACAUUUAAAUAUAACGGGGUCAUUGAUGAAGCUAUUCAUCUUCGGUUGUUUCCCUUAUCCUUGAUCGAUAUUCAUUUAAGUUAAAGUUAAAGUUAAUUUAGUAUUAGCCUUCCUUGGGUUUGAUCCUUGGAGUACUCACCUACUUUGUUGUAAAAACUAUAUUACAACCUGACUCGUAUACUUGCAGACACCACCUCAAUUCCAUUACAUUUAGUUUCAAUAUUUACACUCUGGAUGUUAGUAUGUCCGGAGGCGGUCAAGUGAUUUGGUAGCCAUUGCCGAAGGAGGCAACGCUACUAAAUUGAUUUUAACUUUUGAGUUUUAUAGGAUAAUUUAGAAAUUUAUAAAUUGUAGAUACAAUUUUUUUAGUUGUUACUAACAUCUUUUAUUUUCUUUUUAGUUUCAGUGUAUGGACUCGUAGUAGUGGAACAGUUAUAGAGCGAGUCACUGAUCUAGAGAGAAUAAUCUGUAGGAAUCGUCAAUAGCCAUAGCAGAUGCAAAACAAUCACCUGUUGCAAGCAAUCUACCAUGCAAUAACUCGUUGUUUGAUGAGGUAAACGAACUUAACAUCCAAGACUUACCACCACCACCGCAAUUACCAGCAAACCCUUCGAUGGCAUGAGAAGAGCGAAACCUAAGGGAUUACGCACUACCAAAUAUGGUGAUGGUUCAAGGUAGCAUUACAAGGCCAACCAUUAUGGAAAAUAAUUUUGAAAUAAAAUCGACCAUGAUCUAGAUGAUCCAAAAUAAUCAUCAAUUUAGAGGAACCAUGACGGAUGACACCAAAUCAACAUCUAAAACGGGACCUUCAAUUUUGUGAUACAUUCUAAUAUAACGGGGUUAUUGAUGAAGCUAUUCAUCUUCGGUUGUUUCCCUUAUCCUUGAUCGAUAUUCGUUUAAGUUAAAGUUAAAGUUAAUUAAGUAUUAGCCUUCCUUGGGUUUGAUCCUUGGAGUACUCACCUACUUCGUUGUAAAAACUAUAUUACAACCUGACCUCGUAUACUUGCAGACACCACCUCAAUUCCAUUCAUUUAGUUGCAAUAUUUACACUCUGGAUGUUAGUAUGUCCGGAGGCGGUCAAGUGUUUGGUGCCAUUGCCGAGGAGGCAACGCUACUAAAUUGAUUUUAAUUUUUGAGUUUUAUAGGAUAAUUUGGAAAUUUAUAAAUUGUAGAUACAAUUUUUUUAUUGUUACUAACAUCUUUUAUUUUCCUUUUAGUUUCAGUGUAUGUCUUGUAGUAGUGGAACAUGUUAUAGAGCGAGUCACUGAUCUAGAGAGAAUAAUCUGUAGGAAUCGUCAAUAGCCAUAGCAGAUGCAAAACCAAUCACCUGUACUAAUUAGAUCUAUAUUCGUUUAAGUUCAAGUUAAUUUAGUAUUAGCCUCCCUGGGUUUGAUCCUUGGAGUACUCACCUACUUUGUUGUAAAAACUAUAUUACAACCUGACUCGUCUACUUGCAGACACCACCUCAAUUCCAUUCAUUUAGUUUCAAUAUUUACACUCUGGAUGUUAGUAUGUUCGGAGGCGGUCAAGUGUUUGGAGCCAUUGCCGAGGAGGCAACGCUACUAAAUUGAUUUUAAUUUUUGAGUUUUAUAGGAUAAUUUGGAAAUUUAUAAAUUGUAGAUACAAUUUUUUUAUUGUUACUAACAUCUUUUAUUUUCUUUUUAGUUUCAGUGUAGGACUCGUAGUAGUGGAACAAUUAUAGAGCGAGUCACUGAUCUAGAGAGAAUAAUCUGUAGGAAUCGUCAAUAGCCAUAGCAGAUGCAAAACCAAUCACCUGUUGCAAGCAAUCUACCAUGCGAUAACCCGUUGUUUGAUGAGGUAAACGAACUUAACAUCCAAGACAUUACCACCACCACCGCAAUUACCAGCAAACCCUUCGAUGGCAUGAGAAGAGCGAAACCUAAGGGAUUACGCACUACCAAAUAUGGUGAUGGUUCAAGGUAGCAUUACAAGGCCAACCAUUAUGGAAAAUUAUUUUGAAAUAAAAUCGACCAUGAUCUAGAUGAUCCAAAAUAAUCUGCAAUUCAGAGGACACCAUGACGGAUGUCCCAAAUCAACAUCUAAAACGGGUCCUUCAAUUUUGUGAUACAUUUAAAUAUAACGGGGUCAUUGAUGAAGCUAUUGAUCUUCGGUUGUUUCCCUUAUCCUUGAUCGAUAUUCAGUUUAAGUUAAAGUUAAAGUUAAUUUAGUAUUAGCCUUCCUUGGGUUUGAUCCUUGGAGUACUCACCUACUUUAUUGUAAAAACUAUAUUACAACCUGACUCGUAUACUUGCAGACACCACCUCAAUUCCAUUCAUUUAGUUGACAAUAUUUACACUCUGGAUGUUAGUAUGUCCUGGAGGCAGGUCAAGUGUUUGGUGCCAUUACCGAGGAGGCAGCGCUACUAAAUUGAUUUUAAUUUUUGAGUUUUAUAGGAUAAUUUGGAAAUUUAUAAAUUGUAGAUACAAUUUUUUUAUUGUUACUAACAUCUUUUAUUUCUUUUUAGUUUCAGUGUAGGACUCGUAGUAGUGGAACCAGUUAUAGAGCGAGUCAUUGAUCUAAAGAGAAUAAUCUGUAGGAAUCAUCAAUAGCCAUAGCAGAUGCAAAACCAAUCACCUGUACCAAUUAGAUCUAUAUUCGUUGAAUUUCAAGUUAAUUUAGUAUUAGCCUCCAUUGGGUUUGAUCCUUGGAGUACUCACCUACUUCGUUGUAAAAACUACAUUACAACCUGACUCGUAUACUUGCAGACACCACCUCAAUUCCAUUCAUUUAGUUGCAAUAUUUACACUCUAAAUGUUAGUAUGUCCGGAGGAGGUCAAGUGUUUGGUGCCAUUGCUGAGGAGGCAACGCUACUAAAUUGAUUAUAAUUUUUGAGUUUUAUAGGAUAAUUUGGAAAUUUAUAAAUUGUAGAUACAAUUUUUUUAUUGUUACUAACAUCUUUUAUUUUCUUUUUAGUUUCAGUGUAUGGCUCGUAGUAGUGAACAGUUAUAGAGCGAGUCACUGAUCUAAAGAGAAUAAUCUGUAGGAAUCGUCAAUAGCCAUAGCAGAUGAAAACCAAUCACUUGUACUAAUUAGAUCUAUAUUCGUUUAAGUUAAAGUUAAUUUAGUAUUAGCCUUCCUUGGGUUGAUCCCUGGAGUACUCACCUACUUCGUUAUAAAAACUAUAUUACAAACUGACUCGUCUACUUGCAGACACCACCUCAAUUCCAUUCAUUUAGUUGCAAUAUUUACACUCUGGUUGUUAGUAUGUCGGAGGCGGUCAAGUGUUUGGAGCCAUUGCCGAGGAGGCAACGCUACUAAAUUGAUUUAAUUUUUGAGUUUUAUAGGAUAAUUUGGAAAUUUAUAAAUUGUAGAUACAAUUUUUUUAUUGUUACUAACAUCUUUUAUUUUCUUUUUAUUUUCAGUGUAGGACUCGUAGUAGUGGAACAAUUAUAGAGCGAGUCACUGAUCUGAGAGAAUAAUCUGUAGGAAUCGUCAAUAGCCAUAGCAGUUGCAAAACCAAUCACCUAUUGCAAGCAAUCUACCAUGCGAUAACUCGUUGUUUGAUGAGGUAAACGAACUUAACAUCCAAGACUUACCACCCCCACCGCAAUUGCCAGCAAACCCUUCGAUGGCAUGAGAAGGGCGAAACCUAAGGGAUUACGCACUACCAAAUAUGGUGAUGGUUCAAGGUAGCAUUACAAGGCCAACCAUUACGGAAAAUAAUUUUGAAAUAAAAUCGACCAUGAUCUAGAUGAUCCAAAAUAAUCUGCAAUUCAGAGGCACCAUGACGGAUGACCCAAAUCAACAUCUAAAACGGGUCCUUCAAUUUUGUGAAUCAUUUAAAUAUAACGGGGUUAUUGAUGAAGCUAUUCAUCUUCGGUUGUUUCCCUUACCUUGAUCGAUAUUUAGUUUAAGUUAAAGUUAAAGUUAAUUUAGUAUUAGCCUUCCUUGGGUUUGAUCCUUGGAGUACUCACCUACUUCAUUGUAAAAACUAUAUUUCAACCUGACUCGUAUACUUGUAGACACCACCUCAAUUCCAUUCAUUUAGUUGCAAUAUUUACACUCUGGAUGUUAGUAUGUCCGGAGGCGGUGAAGUGUUUGGUGCCAUUGCCGAGGAGGCAAUGCUACUAAAUUGAUUUUAAUUUUUGAGUUUUAUAGGAUAAGUUGGAAAUUUAUAAAUUGUAGAUACAAUUUUUUUAUUGUUACUAACAUCUUUUAUUUUCUUUUUAGUUUCAGUGUAUGGCUCGUAGUAGUGGAACAGUGAUAGAGCGAGUCACUGAUCUAGAGAGAAUAAUCUCUAGGAAUCGUCAAUAGCCAUAGCAGAUGCAAAACCAAUCACCUGUACUAAUUAGAUCUAUAUUCGUUUAAGUUCAAGUUAAUUUAGUAUUAGCCUCCCUUGGGUUUGAUCCUUGGAGUACUCACCUACUUCAGUUGUAAAAACUAUAUUACAACCUGACUCGUGUACUUGCAGACACCACCUCAAUUCCAUUCAUUUAGUUUCAAUAUUUACACUCUGGAUGUUAGUAUGUUCGGAGGCGGUCAAGUGUUUGGAGCCAUUGCCGAGGAGGCAACACUACUAAAUUGAUUUUAAUUUUUGAGUUUUAUAGGAUAAUUUGGAAAUUUAUAAAUUGUAGAUACAAUUUUUUUAUUGUUACUAACAUCUUUUAUUUUCUUUUUAGUUUCAGUGUAGGACUCGUAGUAGUGGAACAAUUAUAAAGCGAGUCACUGAUCUAGAGAGAAUAAUCUGUAGGAAUCGUCAAUAGCCAUAGCAGUUGCAAAACCAAUCACCUGUUGCAAGCAAUCUACCAUGCGAUAACCCGUUGUUUGAUGAGGUAAACGAACUUAAUAUCCAAGACUUACCACCACCACCGUAAAUUACCAGCAAACCCUUCGAUGGCAUGAGAAGGGCGAAACCUAAGGGAUUACGCACUACCAAAUAUGGUGAUGGUUCAAGGUAGCAUUACAAGGCCAACCAUUAUGGAAAAUAAUUUUGAAAUAAAAUCGACCAUGAUCUAGAUGAUCCAAAAUAAUCUGCAAUUCAGAGGAACCAUGACGGAUGACACAAAUCAACAUCUAAAAUGGGGCCUUCAAUUUUGUGAUACAUUCUAAUAUAACGGGGUCAUUGAUGAAGCUAUUCAUCUUCGGUUGUUUCCCUUAUCCUGAUCGAUAUUCGUUAAGUUAAAGUUAAAGUUAAUUUAGUAUUAGCCUUCCUUGGGUUUGAUCCUUGGAGUACUCACCUACUUCGUUGUAAAAACUAUAUUACAACCUGACUCGUAUACUUGCAGACACCACCUCAAUUCCAUUCAUUAGUUGCAAUAUUUACACUCUGGAUGUUAGUAUGUCCGGAGGCGGUCAAUUGUUUGGUGCCAUUGCCGAGGACGCAACGCUACUGAAUUGAUUUUAAUUUUUAGUUUAUAGGAUAAUUUGGAAAUUUAUGAAUUGUAGAUACAAUUUUUUUAUUGUUACUAACAUCUUUUAUUUUCUUUUUAGUUUUCAGUGUAUGGCUCGUAGUAGUGGAACAGUUAUAGAGUGAGUCACUGAUCUAAAGAGAAUAAUCUGUAGGAAUCGUCAAUAGCCAUAGCAGAUGCAAAACCAAUCACCUGUACUAAUUAGAUAUAUAUUCGUUAAGUUCAAGUUAAUUUAGUAUUAGCCUUCCUUGGGUUUGAUCCUUGGAGUACUCACCUACUUCGUAAAAACUAUAUUACAACCUGACGUUAUACUUGCAGACACCACCUCAAUUCCAUUCAUUUAGUUGCAAUAUUUACACUCUGGAUGUUAGUAUGUCCGGAGGCGGUCAAGUGUUUGGUGCCAUUGCGAGGAGGCAACGCUACUAAAUGAUUUUAAUUUUUGAGUUUUAUAGGAUAAGUUGGAAAUUUAUUAAAUUGUAGAUACACUUUUUUUAUUGUUACUAACAUCUUUAUUUUCUUUUUAGUUUCAGUGUNNNNNNNNNNNNNNNNNNNNNNNNNNNNNNNNNNNNNNNNNNNNNNNNNNNNNNNNNNNNNNNNNNNNNNNNNNNNNNNNNNNNNNNNNNNNNNNNNNNNNNNNNNNNNNNNNNNNNNNNNNNNNNNNNNNNNNNNNNNNNNNNNNNNNNNNNNNNNNNNNNNNNNNNNNNNNNNNNNNNNNNNNNNNNNNNNNNNNNNNNNNNNNNNNNNNNNNNNNNNNNNNNNNNNNNNNNNNNNNNNNNNNNNNNNNNNNNNNNNNNNNNNNNNNNNNNNNNNNNNNNNNNNNNNNNNNNNNNNNNNNNNNNNNNNNNNNNNNNNNNNNNNNNNNNNNNNNNNNNNNNNNNNNNNNNNNNNNNNNNNNNNNNNNNNNNNNNNNNNNNNNNNNNNNNNNNNNNNNNNNNNNNNNNNNNNNNNNNNNNNNNNNNNNNNNNNNNNNNNNNNNNNNNNNNNNNNNNNNNNNNNNNNNNNNNNNNNNNNNNNNNNNNNNNNNNNNNNNNNNUUCCAUUCAUUUAGUUGCAAUACUUACACUCUGGAUGUUAGUAUGCCCGGAGGCGGUCAAGAGUUUGGUGCCAUUGCCGAGGAGGCAACGCUACUAAAUUGAUUUUAAUUUUUGAGUUUUAUAGGAUAAUUUGGAAAUUUAUAAAUUGUAGAUACAAUUUUUUUAUUGUUACUAACAUCUUUUAUUUUCUUUUUAGUUUCAGUGUAUGACUCGUAGUAGUGGAACAGUUAUAGAGCGAGUCACUGAUCUAGAGAGAAUAAUCUGUAGGAAUCGUCAAUAGCCAUAGCAGAUGCAAAACCAAUCACCUGUUGCAAGCAAUCUACUAUGCGAUAACCCGUUGUUUGGUGAGGUAAACGAACUUAACAUCCAAGACUUACCACCACCACCGCUAUUACCAGCAAACCCUUCGAUGGCAUGAGAAGGGCGAAACCUAAGGGAUUCCGCACUACCAAAUAUGGUGAUGGUUCAAGGUAGCAUUACAAGGCAAACCAUUAUGGAAAAUAAUUUUGAAAUAAAAUCGACCAUGAUCUAGAUGAUCCAAACUAAUCUUCAAUUCAGAGGAACCAUGACGGAUGACCCAAAUCAACAUCUAAAACGGGUCCUUCAAUUUUGUGAUGCAUUUAAAUAUAACGGGGUCAUUAAUGAAGCUAUUCAUCUUCAGUUGUUUCCCAUAUCCUUGAUCGAUAUUCGUUUAAGUUAAAGUUAAAGUUAAUUUAGUAUUAGCCUUCCUUGUGUUUGAUCCUUGGAGUACUCACCUACUUCAUUGUAAAAACUAUAUUACAACCUGACUCGUAUACUUGCAGACACCACCUCAAUUCCAUUCAUUUAGUUGCAAUAUUUACACUCUGGAUGUUAGUAUGUCCGGAGGCGGUCAAGUGUUUGGUGCCAUUGCCGAGGAGGCAACGCUACUGAAUUGAUUUUAAUUUUUUAGUUUUAUAGAAUAAUUUGGAAAUUUAUAAAUUGUAGAUACAAUUUUCUUAUUGUUACUAGCAUCUUUUAUUUUCUUUUUAGUUUCAGUGUAUGGCUCGUAGCAGUGGAACAGUUAUAGAGCGAGUCACUGAUCUAAAGAGAAUAAUCUGUAGGAAUCGUCAAUAGCCAUAGCAGAUGCAAAACCAAUCACCUGUACUAAUUAGAUCUAUAUUCAUUUAAGUUCAAGUUAAUUUAGUAUUAGCCUCCCUUGGGUUUGAUCCUUGGAGUACUCACCUACUUCGUUGUAAAAACUAUAUUACAACCUGACUCUUGUACUUGCAGACACCACCACAAUUCCAUUCAUUUAGUUUCAAUAUUUACACUCUGGAUGUUAGUAUGUUCGGAGGCGGUCAAGUGUUUGGAGCCAUUGCCGAGGAGGCAACACUACUAAAUUGAUUUUAAUUUUUGAGUUUAAAAGGAUAAUUUGGAAAUUUAUAAAUUGUAGAUAAAUUUUUUUAUUGUUACUAACAUCUUUUAUUUUCUUUUUAGUUUCAGUGUAGGACUCGUAGUAGUGGAACAAUUAUAAAGCGAGUCACUGAUCUAGAGAGAAUAAUCUGUAGGAAUCGUCAAUAGCCAUAGCAGUUGCAAAACCAAUCACCUGUUGCAAGCAAUCUACCAUGCGAUAACCCGUUGUUUGAUGAGGUAAACGAAUUUAAUAUCCAAGACUUACCACCACCACCGCAAUUACCAGCAAACCCUUCGAUGGCAUGAGAAGGGCGAAACCUAAGGGAUUACGCACUACCAAAUAUGUUGAUGGUUCAAGGUAGCAUUACAAGGCCAGCCAUUAUGGAAAAUAAUUUUGAAAUAAAAUCGACCAUGAUCUAGAUGAUCCAAAAUAAUCUGCAAUUCAGAGGCACCAUGACGGAUGACCCAAAUCAACAUCUAAAACGGGUCCUUCAAUUUUGUGAUGCAUUUAAAUAUAACAGGGUCAUUAAUGAAGCUAUUCAUCUUCGGUUGUUUCCCUUAUCCUUGAUCGAUAUUCGUUUAAGUUAAAGUUAAAGUUAAUUUAGUAUUAGCCUUCCUUGGGUUUGAUCCUUGGAGUACUCACCUACUUCAUUGUAAAAACUAUAUUACAACCUGACUCGUAUACUUGUAGACACCACCUCAAUUCCAUUCAUUUAGUUGCAAUAUUUACACUCUGGAUGUUAGUAUGUCCGGAGGCGGUCAAGUGUUUGGUGCCAUUGCCGAGGAGGCAACGCUACUAAAUUGAUUUUAAUUUUUGAGUUUUAUAGGAUAGUUUGGAAAUUUAUAAAUUGUAGAUACAAUUUUUUUAUUGUUACUAACAUCUUUCAUUUUCUUUUUAGUUUCAGUGUAUGACUCGUAGUAGUGGAAGAGUUAUAGUGCGAGUCACUGAUCUAGAGAGAAUAAUCUGUAGGAAUCGUCAAUAGCCAUAGCAGAUGCAAAACCAAUCACCUGUUGCAAGCAAUCUACCAUGCGAUAACCCGUUGUUUGAUGAGGUAAACGAACUUAAUAUCCAAGACUUACCACCACCACCGCAAUUACCAGCAAACCCUUCGAUGGCAUGAGAAGGGCGAAACCUAAGGGAUUACGCACUACCAAAUAUGGUGAUGGUUCAAGGUAGCAUUACAAGGCCAACCAUUAUGGAAAAUAAUUUUGAAAUAAAAUCGACCAUGAUCUAGAUGAUCCAAACUAAUCUUCAAUUCAGAGGCACCAUGACGGAUGACCCAAAUCAACAUCUAAAACGGGUCCUUCAAUUUUGUGAUGCAUUUAAAUAUAACGGGGUUAUUGAUGAAGCUAUUCAUCUUCGGUUGUUUCCCUUAUCCUUGAUCGAUAUUCGAUUAAGUUAAAGUUAAAGUUAAUUUAGUAUUAGCCUUCCUUGGGUUUGAGCCUUGGAGUACUCACCUACUUCAUUGUAAAAACUAUAUUACAACCUGACUCGUAUACUUGCAGACACCACCUCAAUUCCAUUCAUUUAGUUGCAAUAUUUACACUCUGGAUGUUAGUAUGCCCGGAGGCGGUCAAGAGUUUGGUGCCAUUGCCGAGGAGGCAACGCUACUAAAUUGAUUUUAAUUUUUGAGUUUUAUAGGAUAAUUUGGAAAUUUAUAAAUUGUAGAUACAAUUUUUUUUAUUGUUACUAACAUCUUUUAUUUUCUUUUUAGUUUCAGUGUAUGACUCGUAGUAGUGGAACAGUUAUAGAGCGAGUCACUGAUCUAGAGAGAAUAAUCUGUAGGAAUCGUCAAUAGCCAUAGCAGAUGCAAAACCAAUCACCUGUUGCAAGCAAUCUACUAUGCGAUAACCCGUUGUUUGAUGAGGUAAACGAACUUAACAUCCAAGACUUACCACCACCACCGCUAUUACCAGCAAACCCUUCGAUGGGAUGAGAAGGGUGAAACCUAAGGGAUUACGCACUACCAAAUAUGGUGAUGGUUCAAGGUAGCAUUACAAGGCAAACCAUUAUGGAAAAUAAUUUUGAAAUAAAAUCGACCAUGAUCUAGAUGAUCCAAACUAAUCUUCAAUUCAGAGGAACCAUGACGGAUGACCCAAAUCAACAUCUAAAACGGGUCCUUCAAUUUUGUGAUGCAUUUAAAUAUAACGGGGUCAUUAAUGAAGCUAUUCAUCUUCAGUUGUUUCCCAUAUCCUUGAUCGAUAUUCGUUUAAGUUAAAGUUAAUGUUAAUUUAGUAUUAGCCUUCCUUGUGUUUGAUCCUUGGAGUACUCACCUACUUCAUUGUAAAAACUAUAUUACAACCUGACUCGUAUACUUGCAGACACUACCUCAAUUCCAUUCAUUUAGUUGCAAUAUUUACACUCUGGAUGUUAGUAUGUCCGGAGGCGGUCAAGUGUUUGGUGCCAUUGCCGAGGAGGCAACGCUACUGAAUUGAUUUUAAUAUUUUAGUUUUAUAUAAUAAUUUGGAAAUUUAUAAAUUGUAGAUACAAUUUUCUUAUUGUUACUAGCAUCUUUUAUUUUCUUUUUAGUUUCAGUGUAUGGCUCGUAGCAGUGGAACAGUUAUAGAGCGAGUCACUGAUCUAAAGAGAAUAAUCUGUAGGAAUCGUCAAUAGCCAUAGCAGAUGCAAAACCAAUCACCUGUACUAAUUAGAUCUAUAUUCAUUUAAGUUCAAGUUAAUUUAGUAUUAGCCUCCCUUGGGUUUGAUCCUUGGAGUACUCACCUACUUCGUUGUAAAAACUAUAUUACAACCUGACUCUUGUACUUGCAGACACCACCACAAUUCCAUUCAUUUAGUUUCAAUAUUUACACUCUGGAUGUUAGUAUGUUCGGAGGCGGUCAAGUGUUUGGAGCCAUUGCCGAGGAGGCAACACUACUAAAUUGAUUUUAAUUUUUGAGUUUAAAAGGAUAAUUUGGAAAUUUAUAAAUUGUAGAUAAAAUUUUUUUAUUGUUACUAACAUCUUUUAUUUUCUUUUUAGUUUCAGUGUAGGACUCGUAGUAGUGGAACAAUUAUAAAGCGAGUCACUGAUCUAGAGAGAAUAAUCUGUAGGAAUCGUCAAUAGCCAUAGCAGUUGCAAAACCAAUCACCUGUUGCAAGCAAUCUACCAUGCGAUAACCCGUUGUUUGAUGAGGUAAACGAAUUUAAUAUCCAAGACUUACCACCACCACCGUAAUUACCAGCAAACCCUUCGAUGGCAUGAGAAGGGCGAAACCUAAGGGAUUACGCACUACCAAAUAUGUUGAUGGUUCAAGGUAGCAUUACAAGGCCAGCCAUUAUGGAAAAUAAUUUUGAAAUAAAAUCGACCAUGAUCUAGAUGAUCCAAACUAAUCUUCAAUUCAGAGGCACCAUGACGGAUGACCCAAAUCAACAUCUAAAACGGGUCCUUCAAUUUUGUGAUGCAUUUAAAUAUAACGGGGUUAUUGAUGAAGCUAUUCAUCUUCGGUUGUUUCCCUUAUCCUUGAUCGAUAUUCGAUUAAGUUAAAGUUAAAGUUAAUUUAGUAUUAGCCUUCCUUGGGUUUGAGCCUUGGAGUACUCACCUACUUCAUUGUAAAAACUAUAUUACAACCUGACUCGUAUACUUGUAGACACCACCUCAAUUCCAUUCAUUUAGUUGCAAUAUUUACACUCUGGAUGUUAGUAUGUCCGGAGGCGGUCAAGUGUUUGGUGCCAUUGCCGAGGAGGCAACGCUACUAAAUUGAUUUUAAUUUUUGAGUUUUAUAGGAUAGUUUGGAAAUUUAUAAAUUGUAGAUACAAUUUUUUUAUUGUUACUAACAUCUUUCAUUUUUUUUUUAGUUUCAGUGUAUGACUCGUAGUAGUGGAACAGUUAUAGUGCGAGUCACUGAUCUUGAGAGAAUAAUCUAUAGGAAUCGUCAAUAGCCAUAGCAGAUGCAAAACGAAUCACCUGUUGCAAGCAAUCUACUAUGCGAUAACCCGUUGUUUGAUGAGGUAAACGAACUUAACAUCCAAGACUUACCACCACCACCGCUAUUACCAGCAAACCCUUCGAUGGCAUGAGAAGAGCGAAACCUAAGGGAUUAUGCACUACCAAAUCUGGUGAUGGUUCAAGGUAGCAUUACAAGGCCAACCAUUAUGGAAAAUAAUUUUGAAAUAAAAUCGACCAUGAUCUAGAUGAUCCAAAAUAAUCUGCAAUUCAGAGGAACCAUGACGGAUGACACAAAUCAACAUCUAAAACGGGGCCUUCAAUUUUGUGAUACAUUCUAAUAUAACGGGGUCAUUGAUGAAGCUAUUCAUCUUCGGUUGUUUCCCUUAUCCUUGAUCGAUAUUCGUUUAAGUUAAAGUUAAAGUUAAUUUAGUAUUAUCCUUCCUUGGGUUUGAUCCUUGGAGUACUCACCUACUUCGUUGUAAAAAGUAUAUUACAACCUGACUCGUAUACUUGCAGACACCACCUCAAUUCCAUUCAUUUAGUUGCAAUAUUUACACUCUGGAUGUUAGUAUGUCCGGAGGCGGUCAAGUGUUUGGUGCCAUUGCCGAGGAGGCAACGCUACUGAAUUGAUUUUAAUUUUUUAGUUUUAUAGGAUAAUUUGGAAAUUUAUAAAUUGUAGAUACAAUUUUUUUAUUGUUACUAACAUCUUUUAUUUUCUUUUUAGUUUCAGUGUAUGGCUCGUAGUAGUGGAAUAGUUAUAGAGCGAGUCACUGAUCUAAAGAGAAUAAUCUGUAGGAAUCGUCAAUAGCCAUAGCAGAUGAAAAAACCAAUCACCUGUACUAAUUAGAUAUAUAUUCGUUUAAGUUCAAGUUAAUUUAGUAUUAGCCUUCCUUGGGUUUGAUCCUUGGAGUACUCACCUACUUCGUUGUAAAAACUAUAUUACAACCUGACUCGUAUACUUGCAGACACCACCUCAAUUCCAUUCAUUAAGUUUCAAUAUUUACACUCUGGAUGUUAGUAUGUCCGGAGGCGGUCAAAUGUUUGGUGCCAUUGCCGAGGAGGCAACGCUACUAAAUUGAUUUUAAUUUUUGAGUUUUAUAGGAUAAUUUGGAAAUUUAUAAAUUGUAGAUACAAUUUUUUUAUUGUUACUAACAUCUUUUAUUUUCUUUUUAGUUUCAGUGUAUGUCUUGCAGUAGUGGAACAAUUAUAGAGUGAGUCACUGAUCUAGAGAGAAUAAUCUGUAGGAAUCGUCAAUAGCCAUAGCAGAUGCAAAACCAAUCACCUGUACUAAUUAGAUCUAUAUUCGUUUAAGUUCAAGUUAAUUUAGUAUUAGCCUCCCUUGGGUUUGAUCCUUGGAGUACUCACCUACUUCGUUGUUAAAACUAUAUUACAACCUGACUCGUAUACUUGCAGACACCACCUCAAUUCCAUUCAUUUAGUUGCAAUAUUUACACUCUGGAUGUUAGUAUGUCCGGAGGCGGUCAAGUGUUUGGUGCCAUUGCCGAGAAGGCAACGCUACUGAAUUGAUUUUAAUUUUUUAGUUUUAUAGGAUAAUUUGGAAAUUUAUAAAUUGCAGAUACAAUUUUUUUAUUGUUACUAACAUCUUUUAUUUUCUUUUUAGUUUCAGUGUAUGUCUUGCAGUAGUGGAACAAUUAUAGAGCGAGUCACUGAUCUAGAGAGAAUAAUCUGUAGGAAUCGUCAAUAGCCAUAGCAGAUGCAGAACCAAUCACCUGUACUAAUUAGAUCUAUAUUCGUUUAAGUUCAAGUUAAUUUAGUAUUAGCCUCCCUUGGGUUUGAUCCUUGUAGUACUCACCUACUUUGUUGUAAAAACUAUAUUACAACCUGACUCGUGUACUUGCAGACACCACCUCAAUUCCAUUCAUUUAGUUUCAAUAUUUACACUCUGGAUGUUAGUAUGUUCGGAGGCGGUCAAGUGUUUGGAGCCAUUGCCGAGGAGGCAACACUACUAAAUUGAUUUUAAUUUUUGAGUUUUAUAGGAUAAUUUGGAAAUUUAUAAAUUGUAGAUACAAUUUUUUUAUUGUUACUAACAUCUUUUAUUUUUUUUUUAGUUUCAGUGUAUGACUCGUAGUAGUGGAACAGUUAUAGAGCGAGUCACUGAUCUAGAGAGAAUAAUCUGUAGGAAUCGUCAAUAGCCAUAGCAGAUGCAAAACCAAUCACCUGUUACAAGCAAUCUACUAUGCGAUAACCCGUUGUUUGAUGAGGUAAACGAACUUAACAUCCAAGACAUACCACCACCACCGCCAUUACCAGCAAACCCUUCGAUGGCAUGAGAAGAGCGAAACCUAAGGGAUUAUGCACUACCAAAUCUGGUGAUGGUUCAAGGUAGCAUUACAAGGCCAACCAUUAUGGAAAAUAAUUUUGAAAUAAAAUCGACCAUGAUCUAGAUGAUCCAAAAUAAUCUGCAAUUCAGAGGAACCAUGACGGAUGACACAAAUCAACAUCUAAAACAGGGCCUUCAAUUUUGUGAUACAUUCUAAUAUAACGGGGUCAUUGAUGAAGCUAUUCAUCUUCGGUUGUUUCCCUUAUCUUUGAUCGAUAUUCGUUUAAGUUAAAGUUAAAGUUAAUUUAGUAUUAGCCUUCUUUGGGUUUGAUCCUUGGAGUACUCACCUACUUCGUUUUAAAAACUAUAUCACAACCUGACUCGUAUACUUGCACACACCACCUCAAUUCCAUUCAUUUAGUUGCAAUAUUUACACUCUGGAUGUUAGUAUGUCUGGAGGCGGUUAAGUGUUUGGUGCCAUUGCCGAGGAGGCAACGCUACUGAAUUGAUUUUAAUUUUUUAGUUUUAUAGGAUAAUUUGGAAAUUUAUAAAUUGUAGAUACAAUUUUCUUAUUGUUACUAACAUCUUUUAUUUUCUUUUUAGUUUCAGUGUAUGGCUCGUAGUAGUGGAAUAGUUAUAGAGCGAGUCACUGAUCUAAAGAGAAUAAUCUGUAGGAAUCGUCAAUAGCCAUAGCAGAUGCAAAACCAAUCACCUGUACUAAUUAGAUCUAUAUUCGUUUAAGUUCAAGUUAAUUUAGUAUUAGCAUUCCUUGGGUUUGAUCCUUGGAGUACUCACCUACUUCGUUGUAAAAACUAUAUUACAACCUGACUCGUGUACUUGCAGACACCACCUCAAUUCCAUUCAUUUAGUUGCAAUAUUUACACUCUAGAUGUUAGUAUGUCCGGAGGCGGUCAAAUGUUUGGUGCCAUUGCCGUGGAGGCAACGCUACUAAAUUGAUUUUAAUUUUUGAGUUUUAUAGGAUAAUUUGGAAUUUAUAAAUUGUAGAUACAAUUUUUUUAUUGUUACUAACACCUUUUAUUUUCUUUUUAGUUUCAGUGUAUGUCUUGCAGUAGUGGAACAAUUAUAGAGCGAGUCACUGAUCUAGAGAGAAUAAUCUGUAGGAAUCGUCAAUAGCCAUAGCAGAUGCAAAACCAAUCACCUGUACUAAUUAGAUCUAUAUUCGUUUAAGUUCAAGUUAAUUUAGUAUUUGCCUUCCUUGGGUUUGAUCCUUGGAGUACUCACCUACUUCGUUGUAAAAACUAUAUUACAACCUGACUCGUGUACUUGCAGACACCACCUCAAUUCCAUUCAUUUAGUUGCAAUAUUUACACUCUAGAUGUUAGUAUGUCUGGAGGCGGUCAAAUGUUUGGUGCCAUUGCCGAGGAGGCAACGCUACUAAAUUGAUUUUAAUUUUUGAGUUUUAUAGGAUAAUUUGGAAAUUUAUAAAUUGUAGAUACAAUUUUUUUAUUGUUACUAACACCUUUUAUUUUCUUUUUAGUUUCAGUGUAUGUCUUGCAGUAGUGGAACAAUUAUAGAGCGAGUCACUGAUCUGGAGAGAAUAAUCUGUAGGAAUCGUCAAUAGCCAUAGCAGAUGCAAAACCAAUCACCUGUACUAAUUAGAUCUAUAUUCGUUUAAGUUCAAGUUAAUUUAGUAUUAUCCCUCCUUGGGUUUGAUCCUUGGAGUACUCACCUACUUCGUUGUAAAAACUAUAUUACAACCUGACUCGUGUACUUGCAGACACCACCUCAAUUCCAUUCAUUUAGUUGCAAUAUUUACACUCUAGAUGUUAGUAUGUCCGGAGGCGGUCAAAUGUUUGGUGCCAUUGCCGUGGAGGCAACGCUACUAAAUUGAUUUUAAUUUUUGAGUUUUAUAGGAUAAUUUGGAAAUUUAUAAAUUGUAGAUACAAUUUUUUUAUUGUUACUAACACCUUUUAUUUUCUUUUUAGUUUCAGUGUAUGUCUUGCAGUAGUGGAACAAUUAUAGAGCGAGUCACUGAUCUAGAGAGAAUAAUCUGUAGGAAUCGUCAAUAGCCAUAGCAGAUGCAAAACCAAUCACCUGUACUAAUUAGAUCUAUAUUCGUUUAAGUUCAAGUUAAUUUAGUAUUAGCCUCCCUUGGGUUUGAUCCUUGGAGUACGCACCUACUUCGUUGUAAAAACUAUAUUACAACCUGACUCGUGUACUUGCAGACACCACCUCAAUUCCAUUCAUUUAGUUGCAAUAUUUACACUCUGGAUGUUAGUAUGUCCGGAGGCGGUCAAGUGUUUGGUGCCAUUGCCGAGGAGGCAACGCUACUAAAUUGAUUUUAAUUUUUGAGUUUUAUAGGAUAAUUUGGAAAUUUAUAAAUUGUAGAUACAAUUUUUUUAUUGUUACUAACAUCUUUUAUUUUCUUUUUAGUUUCAGUGUAUGACUCGUAGUAGUGGAGCAGUUAUAGAGCGAGUCACUGAUCUAGAGAGAAUAAUCUGUAGGAAUCGUCAAUAGCCAUAGCAGAUGCAAAACCAAUCACCUGUUGCAAGCAAUCUACUAUGCGAUAACCCGUUGUUUGAUGAGGUAAACGAACUUAACAUCCAAGACUUACCACCACCACCGCUAUUACCAGCAAACCCUUCGAUGGCAUGAGAAGAGCGAAACCUAAGGGAUUAUGCACUACCAAAUCAGGUGAUGGUUCAAGGUAGCAUUACAAGGCCAACCAUUAUGGAAAAUAAUUUUGAAAUAAAAUCGACCAUGAUCUAGAUGAUCCAAAAUAAUCUGCAAUUCAGGGGAACCAUGACGGAUGACCCAAAUCAACAUCUAAAACGGGUCCUUCAAUUUUCUGAUGCAUUUAAAUAAAACGGGGUCAUUAAUGAAGCUAUUCAUCUUCGGUUGUUUCCCGUAUCCUUGAUCGAUAUUCGUUUAAGUUAAAGUUAAAGUUAAUUUAGUAUUAGCCUUCCUUGGGUUUGAUCCUUGGAGUACUCACCUACUUCGUUGUAAAAACUAUAUUACAACCUGACUCGUAUACUUGCAGACACCACCUCAAUUCCAUUCAUUUAGUUGCAAUAUUUACACUCUGGAUGUUAGUAUGUCCGGAGGCGGUCAAAUGUUUGGUGCCAUUGCCGAGGAGGCAACGCUACUAAAUUGAUUUUAAUUUUUGAUUUUUAUAGGAUAAUUUGGAAAUUUAUAAAUUGUAGAUACAAUUUUUUUAUUGUUACUAACAUCUUUUAUUUUUUUUUAGUUUCAGUGUAUGACUCGUAGUAGUGGAACAGUUAUAGAGCGAGUCACUGAUCUAGAGAGAAUAAUCUGUAGGAAUCGUCAAUAGCCAUAGCAGAUGCAAAACCAAUCACCUGUUACAAGCAAUCUACUAUGCGAUAACCCGUUGUUUGAUGAGGUAAACGAACUUAACAUCCAAGACAUACCACCACCAUCGCCAUUACCAGCAAACCCUUCGAUGGCAUGAGAAGAGCGAAACCUAAGGGAUUAUGCACUACCAAAUCUGGUGAUGGUUCAAGGUAGCAUUACAAGGCCAACCAUUAUGGAAAAUAAUUUUGAAAUAAAAUCGACCAUGAUCUAGAUGAUCCAAAAUAAUCUGCAAUUCAGAGGAACCAUGACGGAUGACACAAAUCAACAUCUAAAACAGGGCCUUCAAUUUUGUGAUACAUUCUAAUAUAACGGGGUCAUUGAUGAAGCUAUUCAUCUUCGGUUGUUUCCCUUAUCUUUGAUCGAUAUUCGUUUAAGUUAAAGUUAAAGUUAAUUUAGUAUUAGCCUUCUUUGGGUUUGAUCCUUGGAGUACUCACCUACUUCGUUUUAAAAACUAUAUCACAACCUGACUCGUAUACUUGCAGACACCACCUCAAUUCCAUUCAUUUAGUUGCAAUAUUUACACUCUGGAUGUUAGUAUGUCUGGAGGCGGUCAAGUGUUUGGUGCCAUUGCCGAGGAGGCAACGCUACUGAAUUGAUUUUAAUUUUUUAGUUUUAUAGGAUAAUUUGGAAAUUUAUAAAUUGUAGAUACAAUUUUCUUAUUGUUACUAACAUCUUUUAUUUUCUUUUUAGUUUCAGUGUAUGGCUCGUAGUAGUGGAACAGUUAUAGAGCGAGUCACUGAUCUAAAGAGAAUAAUCUGUAGGAAUCGUCAAUAGCCAUAGCAGAUGCAAAACCAAUCACCUGUACUAAUUAGAUCUAUAUUCGUUUAAGUUCAAGUUAAUUUAGUAUUAGCAUUCCUUGGGUUUGAUCCUUGGAGUACUCACCUACUUCGUUGUAAAAACUAUAUUACAACCUGACUCGUGUACUUGCAGACACCACCUCAAUUCCAUUCAUUUAGUUGCAAUAUUUACACUCUAGAUGUUAGUAUGUCCGGAGGCGGUCAAAUGUUUGGUGCCAUUGCCGUGGAGGCAACGCUACUAAAUUGAUUUUAAUUUUUGAGUUUUAUAGGAUAAUUUGGAAUUUAUAAAUUGUAGAUACAAUUUUUUUAUUGUUACUAACACCUUUUAUUUUCUUUUUAGUUUCAGUGUAUGUCUUGCAGUAGUGGAACAAUUAUAGAGCGAGUCACUGAUCUAGAGAGAAUAAUCUGUAGGAAUCGUCAAUAGCCAUAGCAGAUGCAAAACCAAUCACCUGUACUAAUUAGAUCUAUAUUCGUUUAAGUUCAAGUUAAUUUAGUAUUAGCCUUCCUUGGGUUUGAUCCUUGGAGUACUCACCUACUUCGUUGUAAAAACUAUAUUACAACCUGACUCGUGUACUUGCAGACACCACCUCAAUUCCAUUCAUUUAGUUGCAAUAUUUACACUCUAGAUGUUAGUAUGUCUGGAGGCGGUCAAAUGUUUGGUGCCAUUGCCGAGGAGGCAACGCUACUAAAUUGAUUUUAAUUUUUGAGUUUUAUAGGAUAAUUUGGAAAUUUAUAAAUUGUAGAUACAAUUUUUUUAUUGUUACUAACACCUUUUAUUUUCUUUUUAGUUUCAGUGUAUGUCUUGCAGUAGUGGAACAAUUAUAGAGCGAGUCACUGAUCUGGAGAGAAUAAUCUGUAGGAAUCGUCAAUAGCCAUAGCAGAUGCAAAACCAAUCACCUGUACUAAUUAGAUCUAUAUUCGUUUAAGUUCAAGUUAAUUUAGUAUUAUCCCUCCUUGGGUUUGAUCCUUGGAGUACUCACCUACUUCGUUGUAAAAACUAUAUUACAACCUGACUCGUGUACUUGCAGACACCACCUCAAUUCCAUUCAUUUAGUUGCAAUAUUUACACUCUAGAUGUUAGUAUGUCCGGAGGCGGUCAAAUGUUUGGUGCCAUUGCCGUGGAGGCAACGCUACUAAAUUGAUUUUAAUUUUUGAGUUUUAUAGGAUAAUUUGGAAAUUUAUAAAUUGUAGAUACAAUUUUUUUAUUGUUACUAACACCUUUUAUUUUCUUUUUAGUUUCAGUGUAUGUCUUGCAGUAGUGGAACAAUUAUAGAGCGAGUCACUGAUCUAGAGAGAAUAAUCUGUAGGAAUCGUCAAUAGCCAUAGCAGAUGCAAAACCAAUCACCUGUACUAAUUAGAUCUAUAUUCGUUUAAGUUCAAGUUAAUUUAGUAUUAGCCUCCCUUGGGUUUGAUCCUUGGAGUACGCACCUACUUCGUUGUAAAAACUAUAUUACAACCUGACUCGUGUACUUGCAGACACCACCUCAAUUCCAUUCAUUUAGUUGCAAUAUUUACACUCUGGAUGUUAGUAUGUCCGGAGGCGGUCAAGUGUUUGGUGCCAUUGCCGAGGAGGCAACGCUACUAAAUUGAUUUUAAUUUUUGAGUUUUAUAGGAUAAUUUGGAAAUUUAUAAAUUGUAGAUACAAUUUUUUUAUUGUUACUAACAUCUUUUAUUUUCUUUUUAGUUUCAGUGUAUGACUCGUAGUAGUGGAGCAGUUAUAGAGCGAGUCACUGAUCUAGAGAGAAUAAUCUGUAGGAAUCGUCAAUAGCCAUAGCAGAUGCAAAACCAAUCACCUGUUGCAAGCAAUCUACUAUGCGAUAACCCGUUGUUUGAUGAGGUAAACGAACUUAACAUCCAAGACUUACCACCACCACCGCUAUUACCAGCAAACCCUUCGAUGGCAUGAGAAGAGCGAAACCUAAGGGAUUAUGCACUACCAAAUCAGGUGAUGGUUCAAGGUAGCAUUACAAGGCCAACCAUUAUGGAAAAUAAUUUUGAAAUAAAAUCGACCAUGAUCUAGAUGAUCCAAAAUAAUCUGCAAUUCAGGGGAACCAUGACGGAUGACCCAAAUCAACAUCUAAAACGGGUCCUUCAAUUUUCUGAUGCAUUUAAAUAAAACGGGGUCAUUAAUGAAGCUAUUCAUCUUCGGUUGUUUCCCGUAUCCUUGAUCGAUAUUCGUUUAAGUUAAAGUUAAAGUUAAUUUAGUAUUAGCCUUCCUUGGGUUUGAUCCUUGGAGUACUCACCUACUUCGUUGUAAAAACUAUAUUACAACCUGACUCGUAUACUUGCAGACACCACCUCAAUUCCAUUCAUUUAGUUGCAAUAUUUACACUCUGGAUGUUAGUAUGUCCGGAGGCGGUCAAAUGUUUGGUGCCAUUGCCGAGGAGGCAACGCUACUAAAUUGAUUUUAAUUUUUGAUUUUUAUAGGAUAAUUUGGAAAUUUAUAAAUUGUAGAUACAAUUUUUUUAUUGUUACUAACAUCUUUUAUUUUCUUUUUAGUUUCAGUGUAUGUCUUGCAGUAGUGGAACAAUUAUAGAGUGAGUCACUGAUCUAGAGAGAAUAAUCUGUAGGAAUCGUCAAUAGCCAUAGCAGAUGCAAAACCAAUCACCUGUACUAAUUAGAUCUAUAUUCGUGUAAGUUCAAGUUAAUUUAGUAUUGGCCUCCCUUGGGUUUGAUCCUUGGAGUACUCACCUACUUCGUUGUAAAAACUAUAUUACAACCUGAGUCGUAUACUUGCAGACACCACCUCAAUUCCAUUCAUUUAGUUGCAAUAUUUACACUCUGGAUGUUAGUAUGUCCGGAGGCGGUCAAGUGUUUGGUGCCAUUGCCGAGGAGGCAACGCUACUAAAUUGAUUUUAAUUUUUGAGUUUUAUAGGAUAAUUUGGAAAUUUAUAAAUUGUAGAUACAAUUUUUUUAUUGUUACUAAAAUCUUUUAUUUUCUUUUUAGUUUCAGUGUAUGUCUUGUAGUAGUGGAACAGUUAUAGAGCGGGUCACUGAUCUAGAGAGAAUAAUCUCUAGGAAUCGUCAAUAGCCAUAGCAGAUGCAAAACCAAUCACCUGUACUAAUUAGAUCUAUAUUCGUUUAAGUUAAAGUUAAUUUAGUAUUAGCCUUCCUUGGGUUUGUUCCUUGGAGUACUCACCUACUUCGUUGUAAAAACUAUAUUACAACCUGACUCGUGUACUUGCAGACACCACCUCAAUUCCAUUCAUUUAGUUGCAAUAUUUACACUCUGGAUGUUAGUAUGUCCGGAGGCGGUCAAGUGUUUGGAGCCAUUGCCGAGGAGAGAACGCUACUAAAUUGAUUUUAAUUUUUGAGUUUUAUAGGAUAAUUUGGAAAUUUAUAAAUUGUAGAUACAAUUUUUUUAUUGUUACUAACAUCUUUUAUUUUCUUUUUAGUUUCAGUGUAGGACUCGUAGUAGUGGAACAAUUAUAGAGCGAGUCACUGAUCUGGAGAGAAUAAUCUGUAGGAAUCGUCAAUAGCCAUAGCAGAUGCAAAACCAAUCACCUGUUGCAAGCAAUCUACCAUGCGAUAACUCAUUGUUAGAUGAGGUAAACUAACUUAACAUCCAAGACUUACCACCACCACCGCAAUUACCAGCAAACCCUUCGAUGGCAUGAGAAGAGCGAAACCUAAGGGAUUACGCACUACCAAAUCUGGUGAUGGUUCAAGGUAGCAUUACAAGGCCAACCAUUAUGGAAAAUAAUUUUGAAAUAAAAUCGACCAUGAUCUAGAUGAUCCAAAAUAAUCUGCAAUUCAGAGGAACCAUGACGGAUGACACAAAUCAACAUCUAAAACGGGGCCUUCAAUUUUGUGAUGCAUUUAAAUAUAACGGGGUCAUUGAUGAAGCUAUUCAUCUUCGGUUGUUUCCCUUAUCCUUGAUCGAUAUUCGUUUAAGUUAAAGUUAAAGUUAAUUUAGUAUUAGCCUUCCUUGGGUUUGAUCCUUGGAGUACUCACCUACUUCGUUGUAAAAACUAUAUUACAGCCUGACUCGUAUACUUGCAGACACCACCUCAAUUCCAUUCAUUUAGUUGCAAUAUUUACACUCUGGAUGUUAGUAUGUCCGGAGGCGGUCAAGUGUUUGGUGCCAUUGCCGAGGAGGCAACGCUACUGAAUUGAUUUUAAUUUUUUAGUUUUAUAGGAUAAUUUGGAAAUUUAUAAAUUGUAGAUACAAUUUUUUUAUUGUUACUAACAUCUUUUAUUUUCUUUUUAGUUUCAGUGUAUGGCUCGUAGUAGUGGAACAGUUAUAGAGCGAGUCACUGAUCUAAAGAGAAUAAUCUGUAGGAAUCGUCAAUAGCCAUAGCAGAUGCAAAACCAAUCUCCUGUACUAAUUAGAUAUAUAUUCGUUUAUGUUCAAGUUAAUUUAGUAUUAGCCUUCCUUGGGUUUGAUCCUUGGAUUACUCACCUACUUCGUUGUAAAAACUAUAUUACAACCUGACUAGUAUACUUGCAGACACCACCUCAAUUCCAUUCAUUUAGUUGCAAUAUUUACACUCUGGAUGUUAGUAUGUCCGGAGGCGGUCAAAUGUUUGGUGCCAUUGCCCUGGUGGCAACGCUACUAAAUUGAUUUUAAUUUUUGAUUUUUAUAGGAUAAUUUGGAAAAUUAUAAAUUGUAGAUACAAUUUUUUUAUUGUUACUAACAUCUUUUAUUUUCUUUUUAGUUUCAGUGUAUGUCUUGCAGUAGUGGAACAAUUAUAGAGUGAGUCACUGAUCUAGAGAGAAUAAUCUGUAGGAAUCGUCAAUAGCCAUAGCAGAUGCAAAACCAAUCACCUGUACUAAUUAGAUCUAUAUUCGUUUAAGUUCAAGUUAAUUUAGUAUUGGCCUCCCUUGGGUUUGAUCCUUGGAGUACUCACCUACUUCGUUGUAAAAACUAUAUUACAACCUGACUCGUAUACUUGCAGACACCACCUCAAUUCCAUUCAUUUAGUUGCAAUAUUUACACUCUGGAUGUUAGUAUGUCCGGAGGCGGUCAAGUGUUUGGUGCCAUUGCCGAGGAGGCAACGCUACUAAAUUGAUUUUAAUUUUUGAGUUUUAUAGGAUAAUUUGGAAAUUUAUAAAUUGUAGAUACAAUUUUUUUAUUGUUACUAACAUCUUUUAUUUUCUUUUUAGUUUCAGUGUAUGUCUUGUAGUAGUGGAACAGUUAUAGAGCGAGUCACUGAUCUAGAGAGAAUAAUCUCUAGGAAUCGUCAAUAGCCAUAGCAGAUGCAAAACGAAUCACUUGUACUAAUUAGAUCUAUAUUCGUUUAAGUUAAAGUUAAUUUAGUAUUAGCGCAAGCAAUCUACCAUGCGAUAACUCGUUAUUAGAUGAGGUAAACUAACUUAACAUCCAAGACUUACCACCACCACCGCAAUUACCAGCAAACCCUUCGAUGGCAUGAGAAGAGCGAAACCUAAGGGAUUACGCACUACCAAAUCUGGUGAUGGUUCAAGGUAGCAUUACAAGGCCAACCAUUAUGGAAAAUAAUUUUGAAAUAAAAUCGACCAUGAUCUAGAUGAUCCAAAAUAAUUUGCAAUUCAGAGGCACCAUGACGGAUGACCCAAAUCAACAUCUAAAAUGGGUCCUUCAAUUUUGUGAUACAUUUAAAUAUAACGGGGUCAUUGAUGAAGCUAUUCAUCUUUGGUUGUUUCCCUUUUCCUUGAUCAAUAAAAUUUUUUCUUGGUUAGAUUCGUAGGCUUUAGGAUCAAUCACGACAGGGAACGAACUUGCGAAAAAAUUUCUACAAAAGUUCUUUCCUAUUAGCAAAACUGUCCUACUAAGAAGAGAGAUCGCCACAUUCAAAAUAUUAGAAGGAGAAAGCUUUCACGAAGCUUAGGAACGCUUUAAAAUUUUGAUACAAAGAUGCCUACAUCAUGGUCUACCUGAAUGGUUAAAGCUGCAGAUAUUUUACAAUGAGUUGGAUGCACACACACGCUCAAGACUUGGUGGAGCCACAUGAGUAGCCUUAAUGAAUAAAAUAGAUGAAGACACGUAUAACCAGAUAGAAAACAUGGCGAUGGAUUCCUGCUAGUGGCUAAAUGAAAGAUAUACUUAUGACCAGAUACCAUCUAUGGUAAAAGUUGUCCAAGAGGAUGACUAAUAUCAAAAGAUUUUUGACAGACUCAACUAUAUAAAGUCCUCAUCUAGUAUGUCUUCAAUAUUUGGUAGAGAUAAACCUCAUAGCCAUUAUCUAAAUAAUCCAACCUAGGACGUGAACUAUAUUGAAAAUAGGGUCGAAACCCUUAUUCAAAUACUUAUAACCCCGAUGGAGAGAUCACCCAAACUUGAGAUGGGGUGGAAACCAGGGAGAAUGUAAUAGUUCUAACCUUGUUAAAAAUACUAAUUAUCAACCUAUAUAUCUAUAGAAGCCUCAAGAACGGGCUAGCUUGAAUGACCAUACUGUAUGUGGUCAAUGCCUGGAUCGAAUUGAGGGGGAGAUGCAAUCAAUGAAGAUAGAAGUAAAACUAGUGCAAUAUGAGUACACCAAUAAAAAAAACAUUGACCAAGCUUGAAGAUCAAAUGAGUGAAUUAAUGAGCAUGAUGGGAGACAUCAAAAAGUAAAUUGGCACCGACAUCCCAAGCAACACUGAGAAUAAUCUUAAGAGGGAAGGGAAAUAACACGUGAAAGUAAUUAUGCUCUAAUCGGGAAAAAUACUGAGUAGCCUAGAGAAUCCAAGUCAAAAGGAAAAUGAAGGGGGUAUCGAUGAUCUUCAAAAGGAAAGCCAUCAAGGAGCUAAUAAUGAGCCUGAACCAGAGAACGUAGCUGAGUCGGAAGCUCAGCCAACCAAAGAACACGAACUAACCAAGGUACCAUUCCUCUCAAGGUUAGAAGAUAAGCAAAAACAAGAUGACACAGAGUUUGUAAGUUUUCUAAACUUAUUCAAAUCUCUAAAUUUUAAUUUGUCCCUAAUUGAAUUGAUUGAAAAAGUUCCUAAAUAUGCUAAGCAUCUAAAAAAAUUAUGUCUAAGCGUAGGAAAAUUAAAAUAGGAGAGCAGGUUAACAUAGACGCAUCUUGUAGUGCGAUAAUAUCUAAACAUAUUCCGCCAAAACUAAAAGACCCAAGGAGUUUUACGAUUCUUGUAGAGAUAGGGGACAUUCACUUUAGUAAAGCUUUAUUUGAUUUAGGAGCUAGCAUCAAUUUAUGACCUUAUCAAUAUAUGAAAAACUCGGGUCAUGAGAACUUAAAAAUACACAAAUAACACUACAAUUAGCCAACAGGUCUUUAGUACAACCAGAGGGAGUACUCGAAUAUGUGUUGGUUAAGGUGCGUAACUUCAUCAUCCUAGCUGAUUUCGAUAUUUUAAAUUUUAAAGAGGACCGUGCCCAUUCUGUUGGGUAGACCGCUUUUAGAUACAUCGAGAUCCACCAUUGACUUAAAAAAUAAUGAGUUAAUAAUGAUGAUUAAUUGUGAGACUGAAAUUUUCAAAUGUGGUCACCAAAAUAAUGAGGUAAAUAGGGAAAGAUUAGGAAAGAAAUAUUUUGAAGUAUCUAAAAAAAUCCCUAACUACCUUGAGCCAGAAAAUGUGUUUUCUAUUAUAAAUGCAGGUUGAAAGUACAAAUUUAAAGAGUGUGAAAAACAUAGCAAGGUGGAGUGGCACGACGGAUGCUGGAUGAAUACCGAUAGAACAUGAACCAAAUAUGCAUCCAUAUAUAACUUGACGGAGCUGACGAAUGAAUCCGGCAGCAAAGCCUCACAUCUCUAGAACUGAUAUAAAUUUUGUAUAUUAUUGUACUUUAUUAGACCAACAAUUAGUUUAGAAUUUAAUUUGAUUCAAAUUAUCUUUAAUCUUAAACUGAGCACUUUGAAAAUUGAGAAGAGAGGUCAAAAUAGAUUCAGUGUUGUAACACGAAACCUUCAUGUCGCAACACUGAAACAAGAUUCAAUAAAUCGAGCAGUUCAGCUUGAUGUCGCAACACAACACCUCUGUGUCACAACAAAGAAGUCAGUAUAAGGCAAGAUAAAAAAUUUCAAAAAGCGUCGCAAUAUCGAACCCCGAUGCCACGACUUUGGCAUCUUGCCAGAGGUGUCGCGACAUGAAACCCCUAUGUAGCGACAUCGCUACAAUUUUUUGCAGGGUCAAACUUGACCCAUUACGCGACCUAGUAGCUUAAACUUAGUUUUAACCUAGAAUUUAACCUUAAAAUACCCUGAUUUUAAAACCUAAAAACACUUUUUGAAACCCUAAACCUCCUCUAAUUCCUAAACCUUUCAAAAACUUAAAAAUCUCUUAAACCCUAAAACCCUCUAUUCAGUAAUUUUUAUAUCUCUUCUUCUUUUUGUGAUUUCAUUUGGGUGCAAGAAAUAAAAAUAAAGUACCGACAAGACAAUCGCAACAAAAUCCCUUCGAGGAUUUUGAAAUUCUUUAUUAGGUUCAAGGUUCCAAACCAUAUUUUUACUGUUCUAUUGAAUUGUUCCAAUUUAUUGUGAAAUAAAUUGCUUGAUAGUAGUUGUCUAGUUAGGAAAUUUAUUGAAAAUGCCUCCAAGAAAAACUAGGAGAACUAACAAACUUGAAUAAUCAACGGUUACAAAGCCCUCUAAUUUCCUAAAUCAAAACGUUGAAAAAUAUUUUCUAGAACUUCGAGGGAAGACAUUUCUUCAAGAAUGGGAGUUUGAAUUAUCGAUGAGUCUAUGUCAGGAAAUAAAACCUCUGAUCUGAUAUCAUAGAUAGGAAAAAUUUUGCGUAAUCCCUAAAGACUCUGUUGUGGUUCUGGUAGUGCAAGAAUUUAAUGCAUAUUUAAAGGACCAAUAUUCUAGGAGACCAGAGGGUGCCACAUGGGAAACGAUCUCUGUACGUAGGAAGAAGGUAAGAGUCACCCUCGACCUACUUGUGAAUUUUAUAACGCUCUAUAUUACGAAAAUGAUUUUGUGGAAGAAAAUGAUUUAGAAUAUUUUAAAUAUAUAAAUAUGGAUAAUGCUAUAAAUCACUUAAUAUAGGGUAGGGGUGAAUGUAAAUGUUGCCUCGGUACUGAGAUUCCCACAUCCUUUAAUUAGGAAAUAAUGUUUCCUAUUGCAAAAAUAUGGAUACAGUUCUUAUGCACUCGAAUUGCUCGUGCACUAAAUGUCUUUAAUGUCAAUACCUUUCGAGCAGUUUUCUUGUAUGUUGUUUUGUAGAAGAAACAAGUGUUUAUUGGGACAUGGAUCUAUCAUUGCAUGAAACGAUGCAUUAGUGGUAAAAAGUCAGGGUUUUCUUCCCUAAUUAGUGACAACCUUGUGCAAGAGAGUCGACGUUCCAAUGACGACCAUUGAACAAUUUAUGAAUCCAUCCAGAAGUAUUAUAGGAGACACCUUUUACAUGCAGUACACAAAGCUUCAACAAAACCAGAUAAGGGAUUGGAACAAAAGAGAAGAUGGAUGUCCUGGCUUUGCUUAAAUGGUAAGAAAAAUUGACAUCUCAAUAAUAAAUUAGCGAGAGUAGCAAUUCAAAAUUGGAUUAGAUGAUAAAAUGGAUGCAAGAGACAAACCUAGUUUUUCAAGAAUUUGCGUGGCAGAAUAACAUGAGAGUACCAAACUACCCAUUGGAUAUGUUCGGCCCAAAGCACCCCAAGCCGGAAGGAAAUGAGGAAAGGGAAGAAAGUAAGGAUGAGGAAGGAGAAGAGGAAGGAAAUGAGAUGGAUUUUAGGAGGAGAAUGAUUGAACUCAAAACUUUUAAUUUCAUUUUUUUGGAUUGUAAUUAAAUUUGGAUAAUUUUUAGUUUAUUGUUUUAGGAGUAGGAUUAACAAUAGAUUUUUUUAUACUUGUUUUCUUUUUUGUUUCAAGUUUUCUUUGUAGGAACCCCACAUGAAAGAAGCACGACAAUUUCGAGCUUUUAAUGAACGAGGAAGGAAGCAACCCACCAUUAGACUACAAUAAUGUCACGAUCAAUCAAGUAACUUCUUUCCUUAUCAAUUCAGGGUUGCACAUUAGGGACAAUGUGCUAUCUAAAGUGUAAAGAAUAACAUAGGAAAUUUGUUUUUGAGUUUGAUGCUUUUCUUUUAAUUUUUCUUGUCAAAGUGUGCUUUAGCUUGUCAAAAUACAAGUGAUUGGUUAGGAGCAUGGACAUAAGUUGAUUGUGUUUACAAUAAAUUAGGCAUGAUAGUGGAUGAUUUUAAAAUUUCAAUUAUUAGACUACUAAGUUCUAUAUAUUACACUGUAAAUAGGGAUUGAGUAAUUGAAUAUACCAAAUUAUAUAGAAAAUACAAGAAAAUGAGCAUGUUAGUAUGUAUGAUAAAUAGUUGAAAUUUUGAUUGCUUGAUUGAUUAAAUUUAUGAAUAUUGAGAUAUUUAGGAUGAGCUAAGGCAUUCUUUGGUAUAAAUUCAGAGCCAAAAAACUAACCAUGUUUAUCAAUCCUUAGUACCUAUGCUGAGUUAGUAAACACUUCUUCAUGAACCUUAAUGCAAAACCUGAGCAAAAAGUAUUAAUUUGUAUUUACUCAUUUUAUUUGGUCUUGAAAUGCACGAAUUUAGACAUCCAAGCAUACGUAUUAAGGGUUAAGUAGAUAUAUCACGGUGGAUUUUGUAAAAACAGAGUGAAAUAGGAAAAACAAAUAUGAUAUAGUGACUAUAGGUUAGCCUAUAUGUGUGAAACAAAAGAAAAAAUUAGAAAGAAAAUCAUUACGAGUAGAAAAAAGUAUGUGAAAAACAAAAGCAUUUUGAGUGAGAUGUAUUGAAAAGGAUCAAAGGUGACAAAGUAACAAAAGUAGAAAAUCUCAAUCAUUAGUGCAUAAAAACUUGUGAGCUAGUUCUAGUGCUAUUAUGUUGUAACUUCCUAUGUGGAGAAAUAAGGAAGGUGAGAGAAGGAGAAAUAAGGUGAAAAAUGGGAAAAGGUUACUAAAGGAGGAGAAUAGGGAACAAUAUGAUGUCCCAAACUACUUUCGUGCUUGAAACUAUUUUGAUGCUUCCUGUUCUUGAAUUCCAUACCUACCCUAAGCCUCAGAAUGUUACAAGCCAAAAAUCUCUAUGUGACCUAGGUAAACCUAUUCAUGAAUUGACAUUGUAUUAAAUAAUUUGAAUAACGACUGUUUGUAUUUUGCUAGGAUAAUCAAAUUACUUGUAUGAUUUAUUGAUGGAUCCUUAUAUUUGAGGACCUUAUUGUUUGCAUACUUUGUAAUAUACUGAACUUAGGUGUUUGAUAUUGAAAGUGGUAAGUCCUUUACAUAUCGUGCCAGGAUUAUGUGUAGAUAUGAAUAUGCCUAAUUAUGUAAUCCAAAACCAAUCUUUGUAUCAUUUUUAGUUUUCCUUACUUGAGGACAAACGAUGAUUUAAGUGUUGGGGAGUUUGAUCUACUGUAAUUCGGUGUAGCAGAUUAAACUAGUUUUCAUGCUUAAGGAGCUUGAAGGUGAACAACUUUAUUAUGUUUUUAUUUAGUUUUUCUAUCUUAGCUUUAAAUUCAAUAAAAAAGUGCAUUUUGAGUCAUUUUAUGACAUUAGGGGCUGAAAGAGUCCUAAGGGUGGGCUAAUGUACUUAGUGAGUGUGUACUGUAGGACAUCAUUCAAAGGCAUAAUAGUUCAAGGUUGUUCGUCGUGCUACAGCAGGGGAAGUCUAAUGUCACAACAUAGGGAGCAGAAUACAAGAUUUCCAAUACUACCAUCGGUGUAGUGACACAACCAGAGUAUGUCGUGACACGUCCCUGAAGCCAAACCUAAAGCCCAAAGUAUACUGCCUUUAGUGUCUCAACACUAGCUCUGUUUGGGAGAAAUUACAAGUGAAGGCUGUUUUGGUCCAUACAACAUAUUUUUAUGUAAAAAUGGCAGUCAACCUACGGUAAGGAUGACGACCAACCCUAACUCUAUAAAUAGGCUAUUAGGCACUUGUUUAGGGAAAAAAUUCAUGGUUCAGAAUUUUCUCUGUAAUUAGUUUUCAGUUUUUCUUUCUUUUAGGCUUUAGAUUUAUUUUCAGUUAUUUUUGUUCGUGUUCUUCAAAGAAUCUAAUUUGUAGAUUCGACCAAACUCUUGUGGAUUUUGUGCUUCAUCAAUCAAUACAGAUUCAAGAUUCUUCUUAAACUAUAUUCUUGAUCUGUUAUUAAUGUUUAUUUAUUUUAUCAAGUAUAUGUUGUUUAUUGAUUUCAUGGGGAACUAACCCUUUUAUGGGAGGUUAGUGCGUGGAAGUGAGAUUAACUAAUUAUUAUAUAGGGUUUUCUUAGUGGGUUAGAUAUUUGGGAGAAGAAGAACUUAAACCCUGAGCCUGACUGUAACACCCCUAACCAAUAUUCGUCUCCAAAAUAGGGUUACAGAGCAUUACCGAAAGUUUACAUAUCAAACAAUCAAUUAUUCAAAAGAUUCAAAUCAUAUCAGAAAUUAUUGCGAAAUCAAUCAAUCAAUCUCAUACAUAUUGUCCCUUAUACAAUCCUUCGAGGCCCUAAAAACACUUUAGAAAUUAAUCAGGACUAAAUCGGGCACAUGUAGAAUUUUUGGGAAAAAGUUGAAAAUUUUCCAUACUGCAGGGGUCACACGGCCUUGUGGCCAAGCCGUGUGACUCACACGGCUGAGAGACACUCCCGUGUCUUAAGCUGUGUGGACAUUCGAAGUAGGGACACAUGGCCGUGUCCUAACCAGUGUAACUCUCUAGCUUGGGUCACACGGCCAAGCCACACGCCCGUGUGUCGGGCCGUGUAGCUCUCGAGAAAUUACACCAUGAGUAUUUCACAUUUUCCAAUUUAAUCCCUAAUUGACAUUUUCAACAAAAUUCACUUUACAAAAGUUGUUUAUCUAACUACAAAAGUUCAUUUUUUCCCAUUAAACAUCAAAACAACAUGUAUUCAUUCAUGGAAAAACCCUAGACCUUUAAUAGUUUUGCAAACUAGUCCCUGAGCUAGCUAGAUUAAGUUACAACGACUCUAAAAACAUAGAAAUCAUUACAAACGAGACGAAAAAUCAUACCAUGCAAGCUAUCAGAGAUGGCCGAAUGUUAAAGCUUAUUCAAUGGCUUUUCUUAAGCCUAAUUUCAGUUCAAGAUGAAAAUAGAAAGAUGAUGAUGACCUUUGUUUUUUUAAUUAUUUUACUAACAUGUAUUUAUUAAUUUACUAAAAUAACCUUAUAAUUAAACCUUUAAAAUUUCAUUUUUAAUGGCCAUAAUUGUCCACUAAAAAUAUAAAUGGUCUAGUUACAACAUAAACCAUUUAAACAUAUAAUUUCAUAGCUAUUAAAUCAUUUUAGCUUAUAGAACUGACGUUUUGCAACUUUUGCAAAUUAGUCCUUUUUACCGAAUUAAGCAUGCAAAUGGUAAAAUUUCUUAACGAAAUUUUUAUACAAUAAUACUAGCAUGUUGUAGACAUUAAAAUAAUAAUAAAGUAAAUAUUUUCACGUUGUAUUUGUGAUCUCGAAACCACUAUUCUAAUUUCACUAAAAACAGGCUGUUACAACUAUCCCCCUAAAGGAAUUUUCAUCCUCGAAAAUCUUACCAGAAAAGAGGUUCGGAUAUUGUUUUCUCAUAGCUUCUUUCGGUUCCCAGGUGGCCUCCUCUAUACUGUAUCGUUGCCAAAGAACCUUUACGAAAGCUACUUUUUAGUUAUCAAUUCUUUAAUCUCUCGAGCUAAGAUUCUGAUCGGUUCUUCACUAUACAACAAAUCAGGCUAAAUCUAAUAUCUACUGGUGAAAUAACAUGCGAAGGGUUUGAUCGAUAUUGUCGUAACAUUGAUACGUGAAACACAUUAUGAAUCUUUUCUAAAUCCGACGGAAAAGUUAAAUCAUAAGCUUCUGGAUCGAUUAUUUCAAUAAUCUCAUACGACCUGAUAAAUCACAGACUUAACUUUUCUUUACGAUCGAAAUAAAGAACUUUCUUCUAAGGCGAUACUUUCAAGAACACUUUACCGCCGACUUGAAAUUUAAAUUCUUUACAUUUUAAAUCCUCAUUUAAUCGAUCUGAAGUUGCUUUCAAACUAUCACAGAUUACUUUAAAUUUUUCUUCCGUCUCUCGAAUCAAAUCAACCCAGUGAAUCUUUUUCUCAGUGAGCUUAGUCCAAUACAAUGAAGUUCAACACUUACGACCAUACAAAGCUUCUUAUGGUGCCAUCUUUAUGCUUGAUUGAUAAUUGUUAUUGUAUGCAAAUUCAAUUAGCAAUAAAUAUUUUUCCCAAUUACCUUCCAAUUCUAACACAGAACAUUGAAACAUAUCAUUGAGUAUCUGAAUUACUCGCUCGGACUGAGCAUCGGUCUGGGAUAAAAUGAAAUGCUAAAAUGUAAACACGUACCUAGAGCCUUCUGUAACUUGCUCUAGAAUCGUGAAGUAAAACACAUAUCUUUUUUUGAAAUAAUGAAAACUAGCACCUCGUGCAAUCUGAUAAUCUCAGCAACAUAUAGUUCGACUAAUCUCUCAAGAGAAUGAUCUGUAGAAUCGAAAUAAAAUGUGCAGACUUCAUCAGACAGUCAACAACAACCCAAAUUGCAUCUUUCUUUCUCAGAGAUAAGGGUAAUCCAGAUACAAAAUCUAUCGUGACUAGCUCCCAUUUCCAUUCCAGUAUCAUCACAGGCUGUAACAAACUAGAAGGUACCUAGUGUUCAGCGUUAACUUGCUGACAGAUUAAACAUCUCAAUACAAAGUUAGAAAUCUCUCAUUUUAUACCCAGCCACCAGUACAUUAGUUUCAAAUAACUGUACAUCUUAUUGAUACUAGGAUGAACAGACAAGUUAACACUAUGAGCUUCAUGCAAAAUCUUCUGAGCGAUCUCUGAAUUCCUCGGUACGCAAAUUCUACCUUUGAAAAGUAAAUAAUCAUCGGAUCCAAUCUGAAAAUAUUAAUCAGGAGUUGACUCAAUCUGUUUCGAUUUAGUUAAUAACACAUCAUCACAUUUCUGAGCCUCACAAAACUAUUGUAAAAACAUCGAUGUAGCUUUCAACUCAGGUAAAAUCGAACCAUCAUCGGACAACAUUAAUGGCAUAUUCAAUACUGGCAAAGCAAAUAAAAAAUUUCUACUCAGAGCAUCAGCAACUACAUUCGCUUUACUCGGAUGAUAAUCAAUGAUCAAGUCAUAGUUUUCAAUAGCUCGAGCCACCUGCGUUGUCUUAGGUUCAAAUCUCUUUGCGACAGUAAAUACUUCAAACUUUUAUGAUCUGGAAAGAUGUGACAUUUUUCGCCAUAGAAAUGGUGUUGCCAAAUCUUCAACGCAAACACAAUAGCUGCCAAUUCUAAAUCGUACGUCGGAUAAUUCUUUUCGUACGGCUUUAACUGUCUAGAAGCAUAAGCUAUCACUUUGCCUUCCUGCAUCAAAACACAGCCUAAACCUUUAAAAGAUGCACUGCUGAAAAUCACAAAUUCUUUACCUGAUUCAGGUUGAACUAACACCGGUGCCUCGAUCAACAAUGAUUUUAACUGAUUGAAACUUGUCUGGCAUUUCUCAGACCACUCAAAUUUCAUAUCUUUUUGCAAUAAUCUCUUCAUUAGCGUAGCAAUCAUUGAGAAGUCCUUGACGAAUUUUCUGUAAUACCCGACUAAUCCUAGAAAACUUCUAACUCCAGACGCGUUUCUUGGAGGUUUUUAGUCAACAAUAGUUGAAAUUUUUCUCGGAUCGACUCUGAUGCACUCAAUUGAUACAAUAUAUCCCAGAAAACUGACUUUCCGAAGCCGAAAUUCACAUUUGCUAAACUUGGCAAAUAACUGUUUUUCACACAAGGUUUGUAAUACAAUUCUCAAAUGCUCAGCAUGCUCAAUCUCAUCUCUAGAGUAAAUCAAGAUAUUACAAAAAUUCAAAAUGUUUGUACCUGGUCGUGAAUACAGUUUUCGACAUAGCAAAGUCUUUAACUCGCAGCUGAUGAUAACCAGAACGAAGAUCAAUUUUCGAAAAUACUGUUGCACCUUUCAAUUGAUAAAAUAGAUUAUCAAUUCGCGGUAAUGUAUACUUAUUCUUGAUCGUAACUUUCUUGAGCUGGCGGUAGUCAAUACAUAAUCUCAUUGAUCUGUCGUUUUUUUUAACGAAUAAAACAGGUGCACCCUAAGGUGAAAAACUAGGUCAAGCAAAACCCUUAUCUGGCAACUCUUGCAACUACACUUUCAACUCUUUCAACUCAGUAGGAGCCAUUUUGUAAGGAGCUAUUGAUAUCGGUGAGGUUCCUGGUACUAACUCAAUGGAAAAUUCAAUUUCUCUAAUCGGUGAUAACUCGGGUAACUCCUCUGGAAACAUAUCUAGAUACUUGCAUACCACUAGAACCGAUUCUAUCUUCAACUUAGAAACUCUAGAACCAAAUACAUAUGCAAGGUAUGCAUCACAGCCUUCUCUUAGGCAUCUUUGUGUUGAUAUAGCCAAAAUAAUAAUAGGCAACCCACUCAAACUAUUCGAUUCAAGCUGAAGCUUUUCACCGUUCUGACACUUUAAUACAAUAAGCUUUCGUCUACAGUUCACAAUAUCAUCAUGCAGAGUUAGCCAAUCAAUGCCAAAAAUCACCUCAAACUCAUCAAAUGGUAAUAGCAUCAAAUUAGCCAGAAAUUUAUAACCUCGAAUCAUCAAAGGACAAUUCUUGCAAACCACAAAUUUAGUGGACUCAAUAGGUAAAUUCUUACUUGAUACUACAUUCGUGCAUAUAUACGAAUGGGUUGAUCCCGGAUCAAUCAAAGCAGUAACAUCAAUAUCAAAGAUAGAAAAAGUAUCAGUAAUAAAUCUGACGCUGAAGCUUCCUCUCGUGCACAGAUAGCGUAAGCUCUAGUUGGUGCUCGUGCCUCAGAUCUCACAGUAGAGUCUUUUAUUCCAACAUGCCUAUUACUCGUAUUUCAAGGAUUACGAGGUGGUCUACCUCUCGUAGCAGUGUUACUCGGUCAAUUAGUUUGAACCUUUUCUUUCUCUGACUUCUCUAGACAAUCUCUUAGAUAAUGUUUAAAUGAACCACGCCUGAAACAUGCCCCGUUCUUCAAUCUACAAUCACUGAAGUGUCAUGCAUUACAUUGCUUACAUUCAGGCCUGUUGUCCUUGACACUACCCACACUCACUAUAGACUAGCCUGAGCUUUGGACUCGAAUGCUAUUUACCUCUAUCACUUGUAGAACACACCACUGAAGGUGUGGAAUGGUUGUGAUGUUCCUUCGAUCUCUUUGAUGAUGACUGAUAUUACUUUCCAGUUGAUAUCUUUCUCAAAUCUCUAGCUUCAAAAUCAGCUUUUCUCUUUUCUUUGCUAAGCUCAUCGGCUUUAUGUGCUCGAUCAACUAAAAACAACAAUUUCUUUCAAUUCAAGUAUCCUGACUAAAAGCUUUGUAUCUUCAUUUAACCCUUCCUUGAACCGCUUACACAUAGCAACCUCGGUUGGAAUACAUUCUCGGGCAUAUUUGCUCAAUCUGACAAAUUCUCUUUUGUAUUCAGAAACUAACAUACGACCUUAUUUAAGCUCAAGAAAUUCUUUGCGUUUCUGAUCAAGAAAUCUUUGACUCAUAUAUUUCUUUUGGAACUUGAUUUGGAAGAAUUCCAAACCAUACGCUCUCUGGGCACAAUUGAAAUCAAUGUGCUCCACCAUUGGUAAGCUGAGUCUUUAAAUAGAGAUAAAACACAUUUAACACACUCUGCUGGUGAAUAAGAUAACUUGUCAAAAACCUGAAUCGUAUUUUCUAACCAAAAUUUUCCUCUCUCAGGAUCAUCUUCAGCGGUAGCUUUAAAUUCUUUAGCCCCAUAUUUACAAAUUUUUUGUCCAUACAAACUCGGUAAACCAUUCGUUCAUCAUCUAGAAGAAGGCUUUCUUAGCCUCUCCUCCUUAGCCCUCAAAUAAGGGCCUUGUACCGUUCGACGCUGCUCUAUGAACGGAGGCUAGUGCAUUACUCUCAACUUCAUCGGAGUCAGUUCGGUUGGAUGACAUUACUAUAUGAAAACAUAUUUCAAAACGAGUUAGGAGUUAUCACACUAUCACAAGUUAUAUAAUGACAUGUAUUUCUAGACUCACACACGCUAUGUUCAGUUUGAGAAUCGACUAAAUCGUAGCUCUGAUAGCAAUAAAUGUAACACCCCUAACCCGUAUCUGUCGCCAAAAUAGGGUUACAGAGCAUUACUGAAAGUUUACAUAUCAAAACAAUAAAUUAUUGAAAAUAUUCAAAUCAUAUAAGAAAUUAUUGCAAAAUUAAUCAAUCCCAUAUUCAAAAGAUUCAAAUCAUAUAAUAAAUUAUUGCAAAAUCAAUCAAUCUCAUGCAUAUUUUACCUUAUAUGAGCCUUCAAGGCCCUAAAAACACUUUAAAAAUGAAUCAGGACUAAAUAAAAAACAUAUAGAAUUUCUGGGAAAAAGUUGAAAAUUUUUCAUACUGUAGGGGUCACAUGGCUGAGACACAUGCCUGUGUCUUAGGUCAUGUGGACAUUCAAAGUAGGGACACACGGCUGUGUCCUAGCCCGUGUUUGUCCCCAUGUAACUCUCUAACUUGGGUCACAUGGCCAAGCCAAACGCUCAUGUACCUCUCAAAAUGGCCUCACACGCCCGAGUGCUAGGCUGUGUAACAGCCUGGCUUACAACCCUUUGUAACCUACAAGGGACACACGGCCAUGCCGCAUGGCCGUGUGUCAUACGCGACUGAGACACAUGCCCGUAUCUUAGGCUGUGUGAACGAAAAAUAGGCCAUUUUCAAGCCAUUUUCCUCACCCAAAACAUGACCACUUAUACAAGCCAUAAGCAUCUAUUUUCAAGCAUCCAAAAUGCUAAAAUAUCAACAAUUAUAAGACCACAUAUACAUGACAACAUAACAACUAAUCCAUUACCUAAAAUACCUUAUUUACAAACUAAACAUAAUGGCUAUUUCAUCAAGCACAAAACACAUAUACACACAAUUAUAACCAUGACUUAAAAACAUCAAAAGCUAUCGAUAUAGCUGAUGGAUAGUGUGAUAGGUCUCCGACAAGUUUCCAACCCGAACGAGCUUCUGAUUCACUAUAAGACAUGUAAAGUAACACGAAGUAAGCAUACAAUGCUUAGUAAGUUUGUAUAUCAUAAAACUUAACUUUCCAUGUCUUAACAUAACAUUAAAAUUUUGCAUGGCAGAACCCAACCAAAAGCUUGCUCGAAGCCUAAGCAUCAACACAAACAUGUUAGCAUACUUGAACAUAAAUCAUAGGAAAUUUAACAUGGAUGACCAUUAAACUUAAACAUGAAUCAAUUGGAUUUUUCAUCCAUCUCAACAUAACAUAAUUUCCAUGUAUCACCAUUUCAGUGAAUUUCAUUUAUACAUGCUUUAGUUCAUAUUGAACUCUUACCAUUUCCUUUCAAACUCAUGCCCGUUGAACUGAUUAGAAUACCAUUGGGUAGAUGGGAUAGCUCACACAAAGUGUGCAAACAUAUAACCGUAGUUCGUACUUUCCUUUACAUGCUUACACGAGCUAUGAAAAGAGUAUGCUCACACGAGUCAUCACACGAGCUGUGAAAAUGGGUCUACUGACUCGAGUCAGAAUAUAGCUACAUGGUGCUGCUUCACAAGCUUUCGAGUAUUCGCAAAAAAUGCCGAAACUUAGCCACCGAUAGGACAUUCAAGACCAACAAGAAACAUGUAAACCUUUAUGACAUGUCAUUUGUAUCCUAUGAAUUCUUAAGGUUCAAACGGGGCUCAAUAAUCAUCGUAACAUCGUUGGAUAUGCAAAAAUUAUUUACAUGGCAGUCCACAGCACAUAUAUAUUUCAAUAAUAAGCAUAUAAGCAUUAUGCAUUACAUGAAAUUACCUCGACGAUAAAAUGUAGAUACGGAGUCAAUUAGUUCGAAACUUUAUCUUUGGCCCGAUCGUUGCCAAAGAACCUGUACUAAAGCUAUGUUUUUAUUUCACAAUUCUUUAACCUCUCGAGCUAAGAUUCUGAUCAGUUCUUUGCUAUACGACAUAUCAGGCUGAAUUUAAACAUCUACUGGUGAAAUAACAUGUGAAGGGUCUGAUCGGUAUCGUUGUAACAUCGAUAUGCGAAAUACAUUAUGAAUCAUUUCUAACUCUGGCGACAAAGUUAAACGAUAAGCUACUGGCUUGAUUCUUUCAAUAAUCUCAUGCGAUCAAAUAAAUCAUGGACUUAGCUUUCCUUUACUACCGAAACGAAGAACUUUCUUCCAGGGCAAUACUUUCAAGAACACUUUAUCGCCGACUUGAAAUUCAAUGUCUUUACAUUUUAAAUUCAUAUACGAUUUCUGUCGAUCUGAAGCUGCUUUCAAACUAUCAUAGAUUACUUUAACUUUUUCUUCCAUAUCUCAAAUCAAAUCGACCCCGUGAAUCUUUUUCUCACUGAGCUCAGUAAAGUACAAUGGAGUUCAGCACUUACGACCAUACAAAGCUUCAUACGGUGCCAUCUUUAUGCUUGAUUGAUAACUGUUAUUGUACGUGAAUUCAACUAGUGAUAAAUAUUUUUCCCAGUUACCCUCCAAUUAUAACACACAACAUCAAAGCAUAUCCUCUAGUAUCUAAAUUACUCGCUUAGACUGACCAUCGUUCUGUGGAUGAAAUGUAGUGCUAAAAUGUAUAUGCGUACCUAGAGCCUCCUGUAACUUGCUCCAGAAUAGUGAUGUAAAAUGUAGAUCUCUAUUUGAAAUAAUGGAAACUAGCACCCCGUGCAAUCUAACAAUCACAGCAACAUAUAGUUCGGCUAAUCUCUCAAGAGAAUGAUCUGUAGGAAUUGGGAAUAAAAUAUGCAGACUUCGUCAGACGACUAGAAACAACUCAAAUUGCAUCUUUCCUUCUCGGAGACAAGGGUAAACCCGAUACAAAAUCCGUCAUGACUCGCUCUGAUUUUCAUUCCGGUAUCAUCACUGGCUAUAACAAACCAGAAGGUACUUGAUGUUCAAUUUUAACUUGCUGACAUAUUAAACAUCUAGAUACAAAGUAAAAAAUCUCUCGUUUCAUACCCGGCCACCAAUGCAUUAGUUUCAAAUCACUAUACAUCUUAUUGCUAUCAGGAUGAACAGACAAGUUACCACUACGAGAUUCAUGCAUAAUCUUCCGAACAAUCUCUGAAUUCCUCGGUACGCAAAUUCUGCCUCUAAAAAGUAAACAAUCAUCGAAUCCAAUUUGAAAAUUUGAAUUAGGAGUCUACUCACUCUAUUUGAAAGACUAAUAUGUUGUCUAUCAAGUACAAUUGAGGAGAUUCUUUUUCAUGGGCAUCAGAGUGGAUGACUCCUAGAAAAUAGAGACAUAGAUGUGACUGACUGGACUUAUAAUACAAUGGCCUAGACCGAAGAAGGAUAGAUUCUGAUUUUGUUUAUGGAUUUAUUCACUUGUGACAUUUAUAGUGUGACAUACCUAAAUUUUGAGUAGAUGAAGGAUUAUGUACAUGUGACUUGUACACUUUAAUGUAAGGAAAAGUUUGAGUUCGAAUAGAUAAGGAACCAAAAGUUGAUGUGUUGGGUGUAAAAAUUCUUUAGUAUGUAGCGUAAAUCAUAACAGUGGAAUUCAUAGCCCAAAACAUGUGUCAAUGAUAUCCUUUCAUUAGCAUUACAUGGUUUAUGAAAAGUAAAUGUGGCCACGGGUCAUCUGUCUUUAUGAUGGAUGACUUGAUCAAUAUUUGAUGGUGAUUGACUUUUCAUGAAAGAAGAUGUAAUGGUUAAUUACCAUGAGAUAAAAUAGGAUCAUAUUGGUAGAUUGGAUAUUAUCCCAAAGAGAUCAAGGAUAUCCUACGAGGGUAACAUACUUAUGACAAGGUUAUUAGACAAGCAAUGAGUAGAUGAUUUCGUAAUGAUAUGUCGUUAGGGAGAGUUCAGUCACAAUACUAUAGUGGGAUGACUUCGUGACUAAAUGAGUUUAUAAUUAAUAGGUGAAAAGUCAGAACUUAAUUAUAAAUAAUUUGAAACCUAAUUACAUAUGUCCUAUUGGUCCCUCUGCAAGCUCGUUGGAACUAGAAAUGAAUUGAGAGUUUGAAUAGAAAUGAACAAAAUGAAUAAGAAAAGAAAAGAAGAAAACGUUUAGGAAUGAUUAUAGUUUUUUCCAAAAUGAAAAAUGGAAUCAUAUUGAAAUGAAUGUAGGUUUUCAAAAAUAGAAAUGGAAAUAAAAAUGAUCCAUUUGUAAUUCUCUAUGAAUUACUUAAAACUGAUCGAAAGAAUGAGUUUAUGUUUUAGAGUUGUUUUGAAGCCCAAAAAUAAAAAUAAAUUAUUCAGUCAUAGUGAACAUGUUGAGUUUUGAAAUAUUAAACAUAUUUUCUCAAAAUUUUACCAGGGGUAAAAUCAUCAAAAUUUUACUGGGGGUAAAAUCGUCAAAAUUUACCGAGGGUAAAAUUGUCAAAAUAUUAUUGGGGGUAAAAUAGGGAUGAAAAAAUUGUUUAAUAUAGAAUAGUAAUGUUUAUUUUAGAAAAUAGAUAAAUAUGUAUUGGGUUAGAUUAAAUUUUAAAGUAUCGGGUUGAAAGUCCAUAAAUCACAUAUAAUUAGGCCCAAUACAAUGAGAGGCCCGAAUCCCAUCAUAAUACAUACAAUGAGAGGCCCGAAUCCCCACUCCCUCUCUUAGUUGGACUAGGAAGUUGGUUUUCUAUUUGAAAUAGACCUUUACAAUUCAAGAAGGGUUCUAUAUUCACUCCUUAUAAAUAGAUGACAUUGGUAGAGCUAUUUAAAUAAUUUUGAGAGAUUGUUAAUCUGCCGAAAAAUAGAGAGAAUUUAUUCUCAACUAUUAAAAUUAUUUGUUGAAAAUAACAAUUCUACCAAUUUCUAUUAAAGAAGAGAGAAUUUCAUUUUCACCCCAGAUAAAAGAGAGAAAACUUUUUCUAGUUCUGUUUUCAAUUCAAUUGGUUCGAAUCCACACUUAAAGCAGUUCAUGGUACGAGAAUAGUGGAGAAUAUCGUUUGGUUGAAAUUCGGGAAUGAAUGUCCGCCUAGCUGAAAACACAUGUAUGAAUUAAAUUAUGGUUUAUUGCUAUAAAUAUCACAAACCCGGUCGAUUUUUAAAAUUUUAAUUUUUCAAUGUGUAAGAAAACCAUUUUCAAACUGGAUUUUUUUUCCAAAAUUUGGUAUCAGAGUCAGGUUGUGCUAUGUUUAUGGUGUAAACCGAGACCAAAUUUCUCUUUUAAUCUUAUUUGAUUAAUAUUUGAUAAGAUGUGACAUUCUUGUAAUUAUUCACAUGUUUAGGAGAAUGUAUGUGAAUGAAUGUGAUUAUAUAUAUUUUUAUAUAAUAAUUAUUUUUUUGCCAAGGUUGUGGUUAUUAGGAAAUAGACUAUGGACUAUCAUUUCUAUGUAGGAUUAUUUUUUUAUAUAGAUUUUUUGUGAGCCGAAAAUGGACAUAGGAUAUAAAUGUUUUUUUUUUCAAAAAAGAGUCAAUGACGAGAAAAAGAUGGAGUGAUGGCGGUUGAAGACCCAAGAAAUUUCUUGUGGUGAAAAAUUGUGUAAUCUUGUUUUUCAUUUAUUUUCUAUAAAUAGAACUGUGGAAACCUUUGCUGGCAAUUUUAUUUUAUUACUCAUCUCCUUAUAUAUCUACUUAAUAAUUGUUAAUUUGUAUGAGCUGAUCCACAAUUGAUCAAUUAAAGAUAAGAAGUAUGGUAAUUAGAAGAUGGAUGUCUAGGAUUAGAUUUGGCAAUGAAAGGCUUGACUUUUAAGCGGUCGAAUACGAUUCACCUCCCUUUGUUGGGACCCAACCUAGUGCACGAUUCACAUUCACUUCUUCAUUUUUUCCCUUAAAAGGAAAAUUAUGGAAAAUCAAAAUUGUUAAUUCUUAUGAAAAAAUAAAUGUGCAUAUAUUGUAAAAUUGUCAUAACAUGUCAUAUAUGAGAUAAUCAUGCCAUAUAGUUUAGGAAAGAAUGCCACAUAUACUUGUCAUGCAUAUAUUGAUCAUUCAUGAUUGAAACAGGAAAUAAAAAAUCUUGCAUGUUUUUAAAAUAUUGAGUGGGAGAAGGUCCCUAAACAAGAACCACGACCUUCUUCAAUGGUCUCUUGUGAUGACAUGAAAUGGACCUACCUUAAUGUAGACAUUGUCAUGCGAAUUUCACUAAGGAGACUUCCUGAAAGUAAGAGAAAUUUUCUUAUCAUCAUAUGAUAAUUGGAUCGACCCCUGUGGUAGGUAUUAUCAUGUAAUACAUUAAGAAAUUCAUUUUUCAAAGAGGACUGCUAGUCACAGCAUGCUACUCAGUGAGGUUGUCCCGAGAGGACUCAUUUGUGGUGCAUGAUGCGAUAGGUGUUGAGUUGAUGGUUAUACACUCAAGAUCAUCUAGUUAAGUAACUCCGCAAAGAGCUAUGCUUAGGUUAGAAUGAUGGCCAAACAUUACAUGAUUAUUAGUACGUAUGAAUGCCUAAGGAAUUAGGUUCAUGUACUAAUUGGAUGAAAAGUCAUGUUCUUACUAGUUGAUCAUGAUCACUCCAAGGUGGCCUGAUUCAAUGGGUGUAGGGAUUAUCGUUGCAAGGACUUACAAAUGUUUUCAAGGUUUAAUGUAAGACGCAUACAUCAUCUUAAUACAUAUCGUAAUGUUGGAAAACAUUUUCAAACAUUUGUUUAAUACAAAGAUAUUAACAUAUGAAUGUUUUAUUUCCAGUUCAUAAAUGACACCAACUCCCUUAUUGAACAUACUCACCAAAAACAAACUGAAUGGAAACAAAUAUAGGAAUGGAAAAGGAACUUGAUAAUUGUCCUGAGCUAUGACAAACUUAAAACAAUUCUUGAUAAUAAGUGUCCACCGACCACUCAAGCUGAGGCUAGAAAAUGUCAGGAGGAGUCUAAUGAGAUAACUCAUUGCUAUAUGUUGACAAGCCUGACCAACACCCUAUAUAAGUAACUAGAGAGUUGUAAGACUACCGAAGUGAUUCUGGAUAAGCUAGAAGACAUGUUCAGAGGCCAAGUUGCCUUGGCUCAAUAUUCUGCUAUAACUAGCUUGAUGAAUACCCAACAAAAUCCUGACAUUCCAGUCAAAGACCAUAUGAUUACUCUUAUGGGAUACUUUGUCGAGCCCGCGGAUAAUGAGGCCAAUUUGGACUAAAACACUUAGAUUGAGAUGGUGUUUGACUGUUUCUAGAUGUACUAAUGUCUAAAGUGUUAAUACUACUACCAAAUAUAUAAGUUAGGCAACUUCCGCAAUUAUACGGGGUAUGUUGUAAUAUAGUUUGUUUACAACGAAACCUUUGGUAAGUAUUUCAAGGAUCAUACCCUAAGGAUUGCAGUUUGGGGAAAACGGCUAUUAAGUCAAUUACCGAAAAUAACUACUAAUCUACCCGAGUCACAAAUUAGUAGUGUUAAUCUGGAAGCAAGAUGAUAAUAAUAACACUAAAUUAAAUGAAUUGAACUAAACCUAAAUCUACUCCUAAGUUCAUGUAUCGGUUUCGCCUAUUCCUUUUUUCGACUAUACGAGUUCCUUUAGCCUAGAUCCAAGUGUUUUACCCAAUUAACUAUUGAUGAAAGGUUCAAAAUAAUUGGUAACUUAUUAACCUAGCAGGGCGUCUCAGCCUUCUACUAACCUAACUAGUCGAUAAGAACUACUCACGUCUUGAUGACACAGUUUAGACUAAGGAAGGGUAAGCUUUUCACGGAUAGACAAUAACGAUUUUAGGUUAAUUCCCACGUAUAUGAUUUCUUAGGGUUGUCAAGCCUAUGGUUUAAGUUCGUCAUUCCUUAACCAUUGAUCUACUAAGUGAUGCUUGGUAGGAAAUACUGAUUUCGGGUUAAUUCCUACAUAGAUGACUUCCUAGGGUCAUCAGUUCUAGGGUUUAAUUACUCUCAACUAGAUCCAACCAAUCCAAAUUGAACUCUAAUUGUCAAUCAAUUAAUUAGAUAAAAAUAGUUGAAACAUGCAAAAUAUGUAUAAAGCAUCAAUUGAUUCUAAUCUUUACACAAACAUUAAAUUACAAUGUUAAAGAAAGAAAUAUAAAUAAUAGAAUAAAUGAAAGAGAUGCUCAUGGAUUUAUCGAUGAAAGCGUGGCUUCGAAACAAUCUUCGCUCACGAAAGUCUCACUUCAGAAUGGAAUCUUCCAAUUAUAAGAACAUAUAAUAAACUAAGUAAAAACUAAAAACGAAAUAAAAAAUUAAGAAUCAAUCCCUCAAAAAAUGUGUGCUUAAUCUGAUUACAAUAGCCAUUAUAUAGGCUAUCCUUGGAAUAUUAAAGUGCCUAAAAUAUUCUUGAAGUACUUAGAUUUCAACUAGGAAAAAGAUUCCUAAUUGGUCUAAAAACGCAGAUUUCAUGUGCAACAUAGGUCUGUGGUGUUGCAACAUCAGACCUAGUGUCGUGAUAUAGCAGGGACAUGUAGUGACAUAGUAGGGACAUGUCACGACAUAGCAUGCAGUUCUGCUCUAGAACUUGUUUUUGCUUCUGUCUUUGAUGUUGCGACAUCGAUGUCUUGGUGCCGUGACAUAGGUAGUAGUUUUGGCCUGAAUAUGCGUCUUUAACUUCUGAUUUUUCCUACAAGACCAUGUAACCUUAUUUAGAUAUCUAAGAUGUAACAAAAACUACUUUAAGCAUGAAAACCUAAAUAUAUACUAAGAUGCUUUGAUUUACUAUUAAACAAGCUACAAUUAUGUGUAAAAGGGGAUAUAAAUAAUUGUGUAAUUCAUGGCAGAUCAGUGUUCAAGAGCUUGUCCAAUGAGUUUCCAAGCUUUUAGGCCGCAUAUAACCUUGGGAACAAGAACUUGACACUUACACAACUCAUGAAAGAGAUAUAAUCCUAUGAGUUGAUGUUCAAUUGUGGUCAGCUCAUCUAAAAAGUAGAAGCGAACAUAUCCAUCACUUUUUCCUCAAAAGGCAAGGGAAAGUGUGCUAAGGAAGGAAAUGUUAAGGUCUCUAGGCCACCACAAGUGAAAAGGAAAGAACUAGGAAGCCUAAAUACUUAUCUAAAUCCAAAUGCUUCUUUUUUAGUAAGAAAGGGCACUUCAAGGUGAAUUGCAAAGAGUGGAAAGAAUACCUAGCAACCAAAGGCAAAUAUUUGGAACUCUUUAUGAUAGAAGCUUGUUUAGUGGAGGAUUCAAUAGACCACUAGGUCAUUGAUUUAGGAGACACUUAUCAUGUUGUUGUUUCUCUACAGGGGUUCGAGGGGAAAAAAAAUCUUAGACAUAAAAGCUUAUUGUUACAGACUAGGAAUGGGACAAGCGUGGCUGUAACCCCUAUACUUGGCAUGGUCGCCAAGCCCAAAUAGGGGAUGCCACACCACCAUCUUAUAUCAUAUACAACAACUAAAUGUUCAUUUUAAACGAAGCAUCUUCUAUUUUAGUAUUCGUGAAGGUUUUAAGCCACUCAAACUUGAUAGUUAUCAUUGUUUCAUGCAAAUCUUACAAUAAUUAAUCUUAUAAAAAUUUUAUAAUAUGCACAAGGUCCAUUUAGUAGAAUUUCCAAAACAUGUUCGUAGGUAUCGGUACUGGCACUAGGGUAUUCUUUAUUUUCUCUAAGUGGUAUUGAUACCACCUAGAAAAACGAUACCAAACUUGUGUUCUAUUUGUCGAUUAAAAAUCCAAAGUCUCAAAAAUUAUCGAUACCUAUCAUGAAAUAUCAAUAUUUUAACCCUGAGUAUCGAUACUCGAGCAUAUGUGUCAAUAUCAAAUCUCUAUUCUAACUUCCUACAUGUUUCAAGCAUAAAAGUAUCAAUUUUUAAAACUCGAUUAUCGAUACCUCUGCUUCAGACUUCAAAAAUGCAGAAUAAAUAUGCAAUUAAUCCAUUCCACUUUAGUUCCUAAACAUCAUACAUCAAUUACUUCAACAAAUAAUCAUUUAAUGACCUAAUUAACAUUUCAAUAUCACAGAAUUAUGUUUGAGCAAGAAACAUCAGUCCAUCCUCAUAUUCAUGAACCCAAGCAUAUCAAUAACAUGUAAUCCUUAUAAACUGAACCAAAAACCAGUAUAAUGUCUAAAAGUUAACAUGUAAUAAAUAAGUCUACCACAUUGCCUUUUUCCCAAAAUGUAAAUAAAUAAAGAACACCUACAGAAUAAUACCAACUGGGUUGGAUCACCUCUCAAAAAACCACACCGCUCAUACCAGUACUUUACUACUCUCCAAAGGUUUUAAGAAAGGAGUUGGUGAGCUUAACAAGCUCAGUGAAUUCCUAGAACAAACUACCAUGCAAACAAUUCAUCAAGCAUCAACGAAACAAUCAUAUAGCACAACCUCAUCAGUUCCAGCUCUAGUGUCAUAUUAUACUUACUUAUGCAUUAUUUACUAGUUCAUUUACGUAGUAAUCAUAUUCACUUUUAAACAUGUAUCACAUUACACAUAUAAUUACAUAACAUUUAAAAAUAUAUCACAAUACUAAAAAAUGUGUUUAUAGAUAAAUUGCAUAAUGGUCGCGUAUCAUAUAAACAUAUAACACAAUACAUACAUAUUCAUAAUUGAAGUUAAUUUGGCAUUUGAGCUAUGACACAUAAAAGUGAGCUCUACCAUCACUCGUCUAAUACACAGAUCUCUAGCACACCACAUAAACUCAUAAAGUCAAACAUGUCCCAAAAGUGAAGCAUAAAGCUAACACUCUUCCAUUGAAUGGAGCUUAGCUCCCAUUCCCUUAUCCUUCCAACAUGUCCCAGGGCCUCAACACCCAAAACCACUGUACAUAUAGAUGAGUACUCAUAAUUCUAUGGCAUGUCAACUAUAUCCAACGGUUUUAAGAUCACAAGGCUAAAAUAUUCGAAAUCAAACACGUCAUUUAUCGAUUAUCCGUGCACUUUCACUGUAGAUUUGCAUCUUUAGCAAAACACUGUCAUUGACAUUUAAAAUAUACAUAACAUGUACAUAUUUGCACUUUCACAACGGUUAUUAUAACCACAUAUAACAUGUUAUAACAUCUCAUCUCAAUUCAUAUAUUCACAAUCAUAUAAGCAUAUAGUUCACAAGAUAACAUAGGUAUGAGAAAGCUUGCACUCGAAAUUUAGAGUAGGGAUUUAGGCUACUACCAAAUUCUCUAAUAACACAUUAAAUCAUGUCUACAAGAAAUUAUUCCAAAAACUCACCAAUUACGCUUUCGUCGAAAAGUCAAAAGCUCAAACUAGUAUUUCCUUACCUUUAUCUAUACUUGUAGAAGGUCCUAUCGAAUUUGGAACUUCAACACAAUAAUUCACACAAUAAUUUAUUUGAUAAUCAGCUAAGAACUCACUACAAGCAAUCAAAAACAUAAGUCUAAGCUAUGUUCCCAUGUAACUGAAACUUAUAACAUAGCAAACUUUAAAUUCAAAUAUCUCGAUCUAUACUCAUUCUUUUCGCCUAUAACUAAUUUAGUUCAUCUUAUAAUUCACAUACGACUAAUUCUCAACCUUUAAACUAUACUAAAAUACUCAAUUCAUAGUAUCGACUUUUUUGACAUGUUUUAUGGCUAUUUUCCAAAAAAUUAUUAAAACGUGAGAAAUCUUUAAUGAACUUAAAAGUAAGUUUAGAAAACUUCCAAUCACAUAAAAAUUAAUUGAAAACUCUUUGAAACAUCAUUUUUAUGCAAAAUCUCGAAUUUCACCAUUAAGGACCAAAGUUUCAACUUUUACUUAAAACAUGUGAUUUAAUGGCUAAAAACUUAGUUUUAAAGACUAAAUAACAUUUAAAACUAAUUAGAAGUUGGAUCCUUACCUUAGAUGAUGAAAAAAAGCGUUUGAUAAAAAACCUAAAAGCUUGACAAUUGAGAAAACUAUGGUAUUUUUGGAUGUUUCUCUUAACUUCUAUGGAGGUUUAUGACUAGGAGGAUGAUAGAAAUCAAUGGAAUAGAGUUUAGGAAUCAAAAUCGAUUGUAAUGGGCCUAGAGAAGCAAGGACAACAACAACAAUAAAAGGUGAAAAAGACUAACGUGAAAUUUAUAGGUGGGGGAUGAUAUUAGGGUGUUUUUUAAAUUUUAGUUUAAUUGCCUUUUAAAAAUUCACAAUUUUGACUCUAUUACAAAUCAUUCCAAUUGUCAAAAUUAAAUGUAUUUAAAAAUAAUUUCAAAAAUUGAUUUAAUUUUCUAAAAACCAUAGUAAACAUUCUAAGGCUAAAAUCUCUAAAAUACCCCUAAAACUCCUAGGCCUUAUUUUGGGUGUUAUAGUGACAACUAAAGCAGUGGGAGAUGUACAUCUUUAUUUUGAUAAUUUUAGGAAGAUUAUUUUAAGAGAUAUUUUAUGUGUACCAAGUUUCAAAAGAAACUUAAUUUCUGUUGCAUGUUUUUUUAUAUAAAGCGACUUAACCGAUAAAGAAUCACUAGACUUGUGAAAGACGACAUCUUAAGUUCACUUAAAGAAGUUAAUCUUCCACAAUAUGAAUCUUUCUUGGAAGGUAAGAUGAAUAAGAAAUCUUUUAAUUGAAAAGGAUCGGGGGACGGAAAACCCCUAGAACUUGUGCAGACUGACGUAUGUGACCUUAUAAGUGUUAGUGCAAGAGGUGAUUAUGAGUAUUAUGUAAACUUUAUUCAUGGCUAUUGCAGAUAUAAGUAUCUAUACCUAAUGCACUACAAGAGUGAAACCUUUGUUAAAUUCAAAGAGUUUCGUGUGGAAGUGGAGAAACAAUUAGGUUUACCCAUAAAGGCACAUCGGUCAAAUCGAGUUGGGGAAUAUUUAUCUAAUGAGUUCUUAGGGAACCUCAUAGAGAAUAGGAUUCUAUCCCAAUUAACCACAUCGGGCACUCCACAACAGAAUGGCAUGGAAGAUAGAAGGAAUUGAUUGUUUUUAUACAUGGUACGUUCGAUGUUAAGUUAUUCAAAGCUAUCAAUCUCUUUUUGGGGAUGUUGUACAAACAGCUUGCUCUAUUCUAAAUAAUGUGCCAAUUAAGGCAGCAUCGAAAAACCUAUACGAAUUGUGGCGUGGUAAGAAGUCAGUUCUUAAUCAUUUUAGGAUUUGGGGAUGCCAAACCCACGUAUUAGACAAAGAUGUGAGGAAGCUGGAGUGAUAGACAUAAUCAUGCAUGUUUUUAGGAUAUCCAAAAGGAACAAAGGGUGGUUUGUUUUAUAACCCGAAAGAGCAAACUGUUAUAGUGUCAACUCAUGCUACUUUCCUUGAAGAAAGUUACAUGAAUGACUUUAAACCUCGGAGUAAGGAGAAGGAAAUUUUAGGAAAUAUACAAAACCCUAAUAAAAUGAUUCUAGAACCAACUCUUAAUAGUAGACCUGCAAACGAUCAGAAGUCUAGGGUGCUUCGUCGUAGUGGGAGGGUCUCUCAUAUUCCUAAGUUUUUUCAAUUUGGUGGAAGCUUUUUUAACAAUGAGUUUGUCGAAGAGGAAGAUAAUGAUCAACUCAAAUAUGAUGAAACAAUGCAGAGUGUUGAUUCCAAGCUCUGGUAAAUAGCUAUGAGAGAUUAUAUGGACUCUAUGUAUUCCAACUUAGUGUGGGAACUUAUAGACUUACCGAAGGGAUAAAACUCAUAGGGUGUAAGUGGAUCUACAAGCGGUUCCUAAUUACGUAUGUCCAAUCUGUCCUUCCGCUAGCUUGUUGAAACCAGAAUUGAAUUGCAAGCUUGAAUAGAAAUGAAUAGAAUGAAUAGGAAAAGAAAAAUGAAAAUUAUUUAGGAAUGCUUAUGGUUUUCUCUGAAAUGGAAAAAAUGGAAUCAUUUUGAAAUGAAUGUAGAUAUCCAAAAAUGGGAGUAGAAAUUGAAAUAAUCCAUUUGCAAUUCUAUAUGGAUUACUUAAAAAUGAUCAGAAGAAUGAGUUUAUGUUUUUGAGAUAUUUUGAAGCCUGGAAAUGAAAAUAAAUCAUUCGAUCAUAGUGAACAUAUUGAGUUUUGAAAUAUUAUACACAUUUUCUUGAAAUUUUAUUAAGGAUAAAAUUGUCAAAAUUUUACCGAGGUAAAAGUAAAAUAGGGAUGAGAAAAUUAUUUAAUAUAGAAUAUGAAUGUUUAUCUUGGAAAAUAGAAUAAAAUGCAUUGGGUUGGAUUACAUUAUAAAGUGUUGGGUUAAGGAAACACGAAAAUUUAUGUGUUUUUACAUGCCCUUUUUAACUUAAAAUCAUUCUAUUUCGGUUAAAUUCUUGUCGAAAAAUAAUUAAAUAUUAUAGAAUAAUUAAAUUAUGUUAAAAAUAUGAACAUGAUGAAUUUUUAAUUAAUUUUAUAGUUAAUUUUGAUUAAUUUUGACUAUUUUCGACAGAUUCGCGUAAAGGGCGAAAAUUGGCUCGACAGACAAAGCUCGAAGAAUAAAACCGAGAAGCAAUUUGAAGCAUCGAGGAAAAUUUAUUUCCAGCCUAAUAUGGUCCAAAAAUUUGUGUUAAUUCAUAAUAUAAUUAAUUUUAAUUUAUUCCCAAUUUAAUUUGGGCUAAAUAAAUUAUUAUUAAUUAAUUAUGGAAAAAAGGGUCUAGUUGAACCGCAUUGGUUGAACCGAAUCUAGUGAACCGAACCAGCCACCAAUUGGGCUGCCCAGAACCAUCCAUAUGCUGACCCAAAUCAGCAUUUUAACUGACUAAAUAAGCUUGCAAAGAAGCCCUUGAAGAACUUUGAACUUUGCAUUCAAACCCCUCUAAAAAAUGUGGCUUUAUGGAUUUGCCCCAGGCUAUUUUUAGCAAAGUUGAAUCUCUCAACUUUGCCAUGUGUGUGGCCAGCCAAGGGGGGUCUCUUUGGCUGAUGGAAUUUUCUAUUUAUAGCAGCCACAAUCAUCUAUAAAAGCCACCCCUUGCUGGUCAUUCAACUCAUCCCUCACACUCUCAUUCUCUUCUCCUCUCUCACUUUCUCUCAACUUUCCUUCCCAUUUUCCCUUUUGUUCAAGUGCCAAUUUCUUCUCUUGGGAAAGAUGUCCUCAUCAGCCAUUUUUGAGUAGCAAUUAAAUUAUUCAUAAGCCACCUUUAUAGCCAAGGACAACAAAGAACGAAGAACAGAGAAAUCAGUCAAGCCACGGAGAAACAUCAGAUUUGCUUCUUGUUCCCUAUCUCUUUAAAGUUCGUUGUUGUUUUGAAAAACAUGUUUAUGAAUAUUUAUCUUAUUUAAAUGGUUAUUUUAAUCAAUCUAGCUUGAAUUUAAUCCGUGUUGGGUUGAUUAUAUUUUGCUUGCUUGAAUUAUUGAAAUUGUGUUUCUGCUGUUACAGGCCUCGGUAAGAUGCUUGAUUAAGUAAAAUCAUGCCUAAGUUAUUCUUGCAAUAUUAAUUGUUAGAUAAAUAAUGAAUUAAUUAUUAAAUCAUAUUGAAAUUGUAAUUAAUCGACACAAUACUUAAUCAGUGCAUGUUUAUUCUUCUAAGGUAGCUGAAGUUAAUUUAGCAUUGUAUUUGGUGAUACAUAUGCCUUGCAUAACUUGAAAGAUUAUUGUGAUUAAACUGUUUCAAGGUAGAAAUACUCUGUUACCUCACUUGAUCUUUUAUAUGCUUGUGAAGAUUGAUUAAUCGCUUGGAUUGACAUUAAAAAAUGUUCAAGAGAUUGAUUAAUUUAAUAAGUAUGUAUGAGUAGUAGUUAGCAAAUUACAUAGUUGCCGUGAAUUUGUUCGUAGCAGUAUAAACAUAAGUUUAAUAAUUCUAGGUUAAAGGAAUGUAAUUAAUCCAACACAAUUAUAUCAUCUUGGUUAAAACUUAUUUGAAAUUGUGCAUUAGAAUAUUUUUAUUUUUAAUUUUUUUUACUUAGUUUUUAACCCUUAGUUUUUAAUCAUCUUUAAACCAAAAUAUUUUCCAUCACCAAAGUGUUUUAACAUUAAUUUCAUAAAUAUUCUUUUUUACAGUCCCUGUGGGUUUGAUAACUCGACAUUUACUUGUCACUUUAUUACUUGUUGCGAUUGUGUACACUUGCACGUUUUCGUCAUUCCAGGUUAAAAGUCCAUAAAGCACAUAUAAUUGGGCCCAAUACAAUGAGAGGCCCGAAUCCCUAUCAUAAUACAUAUGAGGGGAAACACACCCUAUUAGCCCCCCUCUCUCUCCUAGUUGGACUAGGAAUUUGUGUUUGUAUUUGAAAUAAACUUCUACAAUUCAAAAAUGAUUCUACAUUAUCUCCUUAUAAAUAGAUGGCACCGGUAGAGCUAUUUACAUAACUUUGAGAGAUUGUUACUCUGUCGAAAAAUAGAGAAAAUUUAUUCUCAACUAUUAAAUAUAUUUCUCUAGAAUAACAAUUCUACCUGUUUCUAUUAAAGAAGAGAGAAUUUUCAUUUUCACCCCAAAUAAAAGAGAAAAAUUUUUCUAGUUCUGUGUUUCAAUUUAAUUGGUUCGAGCCCACACUCAAAGCAUUUUGUGGUACGAUAAUAGCAAAGAUCAUCAUUUUGUUGAAAGUCGAGAACAAUGAACGUGCGCUAAGCUAAAAAAUAGGUAUGAAUUCGUUUAGGGUUUAUUACUGUAAAUAUCACAAACCGGGUCAAUUUUCAAAAUUUUAAUUUUUUAUUGUGAAAGAAAACCAUCUUCAAACCAGAUUUUUCCAACGGUAAUAAUGGGUGGUGUACUACAUGCUAAUGAUACAAAUACAAUUAAUUAUGUGAAAUGCUUGUAAUGCAUAUAAUGUAUGGGGUACAGAGGGAAGUACCAUGAUGGUGGUAGUUGAAGAUAGGAAUACUGGGUGAAAAUGAGGAAUGAGUGGAUUAAAAUGGGGAUUCAAGGGAGAUUGAAUGACAUUACAGAAUGUUAUCGACUGGCUCACUAGAGCGAUAUUGUGACCACGAUCUAUUGAAUCUAUAGAGUGACAUUGUGACGGCGGCUAUCGGCAGGUCCUUCGGGGUGACACCAUGAGAACAAUUUGUAGGUCUUUCAAGGUGACACCUUGGAAGAGGUUUAUUGAUUCUUCGGAAUCGGGAGUCUGCUAGGAAAUUAGAGAUGGGGUAUACUGUAUAAGACCAUAGCUCGGCUAUGGCAACAGGCCAAAUCUGCCAAGUUAAACAUGGGGUAUAUUGUGUAAGACCAUAGCCCGGUUAUGGCAACAUGUGAAGUCUGUCAGGACAUUAAAUAAGGCUAUACUGUGUAAGACCAUAGUUGGGCUAUGGUUUCAGAUAAAUUUUGUCAAGAUGAUGAAUUGAGAAACUAAUAAAGUAAAGAAAUAGGGAUAAUUGUAUGUCUCGUGCAGAAAGUAGUAUAGGUGGAUGAUCACGACGCGUUUGAGAAUGAGGUUAAAUAAGAAGGUAAGAGAAUCCACCAAACAAUAAAGAGGAAAAUAAUUGGUAGAAGUAUCCAAGAAUAUGGAUAAGCUUGCUCUGCCAAAUUUGGUAGAAAGUGGAAUCAGACAAGUUUGUGGUCAUCAAGACCAAAGAAAUAGAAGGGUACCCAUUCCAGUUAAGGGGUACCCAUUAUUAUAAAUCCGCUAGUGGUUAGCGAGUAAUAAAACAUGAAGUAUAAUAAGCAAGUCAACAAGGCAAACUCUAAGCUAAACGAUUGGAGCGGUAAGUCCUCCAAUGAUCUACUGAAAGGGGGAUGAUAGAGUAAGACUAUAUGGGGCUACCGAAGGUUGAGAUUGCCAGGAUUACUUAGGCAGGAAUAGUUCCUUAGGGACAAUCAAUAAAUUGGAGCAUGUAAGAAGGUUGGGCUUAGGAGAAUAAGCACUCUGGGGGUUACAUUCAGGGUAUGAGUCUGCCUAGAAAAAGGGGUGCCAACUCAUUCAACCAACUAACUUAUUGAGUCCAUGGAGAAGAAUGAUAGAAAGAGACCUUAUCUAGAAAAAGGGGGAUUAGGCAUAGGUCAAGUCAAAAGAAGAUUUCUAUUGGAGUAAUGGGAUAAAAUUUUAUGAAGAUCAAGGUCGAUCAAAGGGAUCAAGGAAGAGAUUCACAACUAUAGUGAAAUCUUGAUUAAAAUGCCAGUAAGUUGUCAAACCCGUGAUGGGAUCUACGAGAAUUCCAAGUUGAGGCAUACCUGUAUGAGUUCAAGGGAAGCUUUAAAUAACGACAAACAGGGUUAAGACCCAUAAAAAAAGAAUUUUCGAAGAUUUUUUUGGUGGGUGGAAUGCCCUUUGAUAGUUCAUUUGGAAAGAAUCUAGAAAAUGGCUAUGACAGAGAAAUUGCGGGUCUUCCUACAAGUUUAGGGAGUUUCUCAUCUGUGCUUUAAAUUUUAUAUUCCCUAAUUUCCAAGAAAUCUUGAAUGAAAAAUAAUGUAUAGGAUCUCACUAAGUUCUCCUGAGCUUAAAACAUUUUUUGCUUCCAUGCAAGGUAGGUGGUGUCUUAAAAUUUUAGUGGAGGGACCUAGCCAAACACCACCAGUUUCAAGAGAUGGGUGAGAUAGUUGAUUCAUAUACAUAUAGGGCAUGCCUUAAGGAUUAAAUUGGUUAUAUUCAUAUUGGAGUUUUAAAUUUAAAAUUUAUAAAUAGUUGUUGGAAUCAAAGUUGUAAGAAUUUAACUUUGGUUCUGUACGAUUGUUAAUAUCUUUUGAUCCUUAAUUUAUGUGUUUAAUAAUGUAAUUAGAGUAGAAUCAAAAACAUCGCUAAGAUAUUUAGGUCUUUCUAUCAUCCAGUACCUGGACCUAGCAAACAAAUUGGGUCUAAGGUGUUACAUGAAGUUAUUCCACUAUAGUUUCGUGACUGAGCUCUCCCCAACGACAUACCAUUAUGAAUGCAACUUGAUUAAUGCUUGUCCAAUGACCUUGUCAUAAGUGUGUUACCCUCAUAUGAUAUCCUUAAUCUUAUUUGGAUAAUAUUCAUUCUCCAAAUAUGAUCCUAUUUUAUCUCAUGGUAACAAUUACAUCUUCCUUCAUGAAAAGUCAAUUACUAUCAAAUAGUAGUCAAGUCUUCACCUAAUGUAAUAACAUGUUUAAUUUCCAUCUUCCAUCACGAACAACCUGUGACCAUGUUUAAUUUCCAUCAACCAAGUAAUAACAAUGAGAGGAUAUCAUUUACCCAUUCCUCGAGCUAUGAAUUCCACUAUUGUGAAUGAUGCUACAAACUACAGAAGUCGUACACUCAAUGCACCUGCUUUUGGUUCCUUAUCUAUUCGAACUCAUGCUUUCACUUACAUCAAAGUGUACGAGUCACGCAUACAUAGCCUGUCAUCCACUCAAGAUUUAGGUAUGAAAAUUGCAAUUGAAUAAAGAAUUAAGUGUGGUGUCUACAAGUGUACAUGUCAACUUGUAAUAUAGUUUAUAGUUACAACGUUACACUUUGGACGUAUUUCGAGGAUCUACACAGGGGAGGUUUGUUUAAACUAAAUUAAUAGAAAAAGUCACACAUUAACUAAGUCAAAAUAGCUACUCACGUACUUGUCAUAUUACGUUUAAAAAAAUGAAUCAUUAAACAAAACUAAAUUAUAUAAAAGCUAAACACCAAAAUCACAUUCAAAUUAAGCAGACAGUAGGGUGAAUUACUUCCAUGUUCAUGAUUAACCAAGGUCUAGGGUUUUUACCAAUUAGCUAACAAUCAACCUAAUUUAAUACCUUUUAACUUAUAACUAGAUUAAUUGAUCGAAUUAACUUUCUUAUCUUUCUACCUAAUAAAUUAAACUAGGUUAGAUUAAGUUGGUGCUGAGUAGACUAUCCUUUCGGCCUCAUCUACCUAAGUGACUUCCUAAAGUCGUCAAUUCUAGGGUUUAAUUCACUUAAGGUAAUCCAUCUAACUAGUGUCAAAAUCCUAACCCAAUCCACUCACUCCCACUUUAGCUUGUCAACCUUCCUAGGGUUUGAGUUCAUGGCCAUUCUAGAAGCAACCUCUCCUAACCGAUUAUCAAACAUCCAAACAAAUGUAAAAAUAAAUAAAAAGGGAAAAGAAUGUUAAGAAUCCAAAAAUCUUGAAACAAAACUUCUAUUGUUGAACCCACAAUCGAUGUUGAUAUUUUAUUUGAUGAAGAAGAAAAUAACCAAAAAAUAAUGAAAAGAAAACAAAAAUGAAAUUGCUAUUAAAAUUAACUUAGUGUUUAACAACUAAAAAAUGAAAUUGUAAUCUAUCUAAAACCCUAAUUAAUCCCAUAAAACUAAAUUUAAAAAUAAAAAUCGGCUCUCUAAUCAAGUCUUAUGAGCUAAUAUUUAUAGUGUUUAUGUUAUAUGACCAAAUUAUUUCAAUCACAAGUUGUGUAACAAGUUAAUUAAGAUUAUACGGAUAAAAACACCCAUUACAGUCAUAUUGGCCUCAUUAAACCGGUGUCGGGACAAACUAUAGCUGGUGUUGUGAUUUCGUUGGAAGAAUACUUGGUCUUCAAAACUUGGUGGAAUGUCACGACAUUAGUUUCUUGGGGUCACGAAAUCAUUGGCAGUAUGCUCCCUUUUGGAAUCUGGAUUGAAUGUCGCGACAUCGCCUCGAGUAGCUCACCUCUUGAAAUUGUGUUGGAAUUUCGACUAAGUGUUGAGGCUUGCUUUAAUGUCGCAUAUUCUUUUUGAAUGUUACGACAUCCAGGGUAGUCCAUUGACUUCUUGACCAAAAACAUUGUCCAGCACACUUACUCAACCUGUUAGUUCUUUCUUAGGUCCUAAUUGGCCUAAAAGGUCAUAAAACACCACUAAAAGCUCAAUCAAUUAAACUUAACCUCAAAAUAACUAAUCCUAAAAACAUAAUUAAAAUAUGAAAAAUCACUUGAAUACAAGCUCAUUAAGUGGUGAAAAGAGCCUAAUUUGUGACAGUGAAUUGUGGCAUAUCAUUAACCCUAAGCCCAUUUUAGGCAUGUCUGUAACCACCCAAACCUGACUUAGACGUUAUGGUCAAAUCCUGAAGAUUACAUUGGCCAUUGGAAUGGCAUGGAAAAAUGUUCCUAUUUUAAAUCACUCUUUAAAACAAAUUUCCUUUUUAUUUAAGACUAGUGAUCUCAAUUAUUUGUUUUAUUUCAAGAAAAUCAUAUUAAUUACAAAAUCAUCAAGCAUCUUUAGAGUGUCGCUUGUAAAGAUUAAUCAUUUCGGAAAAAAAACUAAGUUAUAUUUUGUUAAAAACAAACCUUUAAGUAUGGUAGUGAAAAAUUCAAUUAAAAUCAUAUUUCUGUUAAAAAUCGAUUUUUCAUGCAUAGUCAAUAAAACAUUCAGUGAGCAAUUUAAAACUUCAAAUCAUGCAAAAAUAAAGUAGAAAUCCCAAAAUAUAAAGUUCCAUGCCACAAUCUAUAAGAAAAUUAUUACAGUCCCAAAAAUAACCAUAUAAUAAAGUUUAAAGUAUUUAAAAUAAAAACCAUCCGAGAACACCUUCGAUAGCCGUGUCCAAGUCCUAACCUCGGGGAUUAUCUGAAAUCAGAUCAGAAACUAAUGUGUGAACUAAUAAACUUAGUGUGAGUCUUAUUUCAAAUAUACAGUAAUAAUAGUAAAUAUAACACUCAAGUCAAAAAAAUAUAAAGAGUACAAUAAAUAGCGCAAAGCUCACAAUUUGUGUCAUGCAUGAUCAUGUUAAUGUAGAAUUUUUAGAAUAUUCCUACCCAACUCCACUACACAUCAAUAUACGAUUUCUCUAAAACUCAUUCAACCAAUAAGACACCAAUUUGUGGACAAGCCACCAGGAUUGCAGAGAAAUUGUCAAAUUUGUAGACAAGCUACUAGGAAUAUGACCAUGCCACCAAAAUUGCAGGUAAACUACCAGAAUUAUGUGGUUGAACCACCAAAAUUGCAGAUAAACUAUCAAAUCUUCCUUCUUACAUAUUUGUCCCAACUCAAUGCAAAAUUACAUGUUACAACUAAAACAGAGUGCAAAUAAUAGGCAUGAUCAAAAGAGCAUGCAAACAAUGGAAAAAAUAGUAGGCAAGAUUUAAACAUGCAAUCAUAGUAAGAACAGUGGCAUAAAUUCCAUGCAAUGAGUAAAACAGUAUAGUAAACGCAUUUAAUGACACUUUUAGAAUUAUUAGUAUCAAAAUUCACAUUUUUAAUAUGUGACUAAAUUUUAGUUAUAGUGUGCAAGGUUUAUCAUGACAUCAAUCUCAAUAAUAGAUUUGCAACAUGCAUCAAUAGCACAUAUUAUAUGAAUAUCAUCAAGUCAUAAUACAACAGCCAUACAUAUUUAUGACAUCACGGAUUUAACAUAUCAGAGUCACUUACUUGGAAACAAUCCUAUUAAAGGAUUUAUCAAUCACCGUGAAUACUUAGUGUAUUCAAAUAACCAUGUUUCAGAGAAAAUAAUAAAUAUUAAUCAUAAGUAUAUAAUAGUUACUAAAUAAUCAUAUAUAUUUUUAUUUGAUUAAACCCACACCUAAAAAUAUGCCUUGUCACUAAAUCUACACCCACACUCCAAUGAUAACUAAUCUAGACAGUUCUCGCUUGAUCUGAUCAAAUAAUAACGGUAUGAUCCCAAUAGGAAUUCAUUAGUUUCAACCAUAAACCAAAAUAUAAUUCUCUUAUGCAGUCAGAUAAGAAACUUCCUCAAUACCUUUUUUGAAAGGAGAUCCAAACAUUUUUCUUAUGCUCGAGUAAAUUCGAAUGAUCCAGAUUAGAUCCUUCAAGAAACAUGUUACACAAAUAUUGGAACAUAUAUUCAACUCACAUAAGAAAAGAAAUGAUUGUGGUUAGAUUUACUAAUCAUUACUUACGCUAAACCGAUUGGAUUGUGAAGAUUAAUGAUUCACCGAAAGUUUUGAUUUGAUAGAGGAGUAGUGGCUAAGAAAAAACAAAAUAAGGAAUAAAGUGACUAUGUACAUUGUUUAAUAAUUAAAGAAAAAAAGAAGAAGAAUAAGAGAUGUUAAAAUUCAGUUAUGGCCAAGUAGAUGAAAGGAUGAUGAAGAAAGAAGACAAUCAGUGGAAGCUGGCGGUGGUGGUGCAAUGGCGCUACAGCGGCGAUGGCAUAGGAGGUUUGAUAGUGGCAUGAAGAGAGUGGGAGAGGAGGGACAGUGGUGAAGUGGUGGUGUUUAGGUGGUACGAUGGUGGCUAAAGUUGGUGGAGUGGUGGCAAAAUAAAUUUAAAGUAUCGGCUCAAGGUGAUGCAAGAGGAGGAGGAGAGAAAAAGAAAGGGAAGAAAGGAAACAAAGAGAUGAAAUAAAAUGAUUUUGUUUCUCUAGUUGCAAGGGACGGCUAAAGGGUUCAAAGGGGAUGAAAAUAGGAAGGGAGUGAAAAGAGGGGAAGAAAAGGAAAGAAGAGGGAACAUGUAGAGUGGAAAAAGAAGAAAGAAUGGAAAGUAGAGCAAAAUAUGACAGGAAAGAAUGAGAAGGGAAUCAAACUUGGGUUAGUUGGAAAGUUUAGCUUGAUCUUAACCACUAGGCUAGAACUCUCACUUGUUUAAGAAUUAAUGAUAACUUGGGUUACUUGGAAUGUUUAGCUUGCUCUUAACCACUAGGCUAGAACUCUUACUUGUUCAAGAAUUAACGAUAACUAAAUAUAGAUGGGCUUUGACAACUCUACUCUCAUUAAAAAAAUGAAUUCCGUCUUUAAAAUUUACCUGAUUAGAACAUAUUGGGAUAUUGUUCACAAAUCGAGUCCUCUAGCUCCAAAGUAGUUUCCUUAGUUCCAUGAUUUCGCCAUAACAUUUUUACCAGUGGAAUCUAAUUUUUCCUUAACACCUUAACCUCACGAUCCAAGAUCUAAACUGGAUCCUCCUUAGAAGAUAAAUCUAGUCUCAUCUCAAUCUCCUCAACUAGAACCACAUGAGAUGGGUCAAAUCAGUAUCGCCUCAACAUAGAGAUGCGGAACACAUCAUGGAUCCAGUCCAGUUUCGGAGGUAACUCCAACUUAUAAGCCAUUGGUCCAAUACUCUUAAGGAUCCUAUAAGGUCCAAUAAACCUUGGGCUCAGCCUGCCCUUCCGACCAACUCUUAGAACCUUCUUCCAUGACGAUACCUUAAGGAAUACCUGACCCUUGACAUUGAACUCUAUAUCCUUCCUCUUCAAAUCUACAUAGGAUUUUUGUUGAUUGGAUGCCACUCUCAAUCUGUCCUAAAUGAGAUUAACAAUACCCUCAGUCAACUAAAUUCGGGCCCAAUACUUUUUUUUCACCUAACUCGAUCCAUCACAAAGGUGUCUGACACUUUCAACCAUACAGUGCCUCAUAGGGUUCCAUCUGAAUACUUAACUGGAAGCUGUUAUUAUAUGAAAAAUCUACUAUUAGCAAGUGCUCCUCCCAACUACCUCGGAAAUCAAUUACACAAACCCUUAGAUAUCUUCAAGGAUCUAUAUAACCCGCUCAAACUAUGGAUGUAAAGCCAUGCUAAAUGAGAUGUAAAACGAGGAUCUUGAUCAUAAAUAAUCAAUACUGGUACCCCAUACAGUGUCACUAUCUCAGAGAUGUACAACUUCGCCAACUUCUACAGUGAAUAAUCUAUACAGACUGGGAGGAAGUGAGCUGACUUAGUCAAUCUAUCCAUAAUCACCCACACUAAGUCCUUUAUAGUAAGUGUGAAUGGAACCCACAAAAAAAAUCCAUAGUCACUCGCUCCCACUUCCAUUGAGGAAUCUAAAUAGGCUGUAACAAGCCAGAAGGGAAUUGAUGCUUAGCUUUCACUUGCUGGCAUGUUAGACACUUAGCCACAAACUUAGUUACCUCAUGCUUAACACCCGACCAUCAAUACAGUUCUCCAAAAUCCUAGUACAUCUUAUUCCCUUCAAGAUUGAUAGCAUAAGGGCUACUAUGCGCUUCCCAAAGGAUAGACUAUCUCAAAUCUUUGUUGUCUAGUACACAAUAUCUCCCACGAUAACACAAGAUUCCAUCAGAAUUAAACCCAAAGUAUGUAGUCUUACCUUCCUCAAUCUAUUUAAUUAGAGGCACAAGAGACACAUAUAAAGGUUUCUUCAUCUUAAUCUUGUCAACCACAGUAGGCUUUACUUGAAAUUCCGUGAGUAAGCCACCAUCCUCACACAAAUUCGGCUUAGCAAACAUUGGUCUCAAAUCAGUCAUCAACCUCCUACUCAAUGCAUUUGCCAUGAUGUUAGCUUUCUUAGGUGGUACUCAAUGGUACAAUCAUACUAGCAUAGCUCUUUAAGUACCAUGCAGUAAGGAGCAAUGGACACCGGAGUAGUCCUAGGCAGCAAAUCUAUCCCAAAUUCAACCUCUCGCUCUGGAAGUAAUCUAAGUAGCUCUUCCAGAAAGAUGUCGGGAAACUCUCUCAUAGUACGACUACCUUCCACAUUUGAUCCACUAACACUCAUGUCCAGAAUAUAAGUCAGGUAAGCUUCACAUCCCUUAUGAACCAACUUUUCAGCUACUAAAGCUGAGAUCACAUUAGACAAGUAAUCUCUAUGCUCACCAACUAUCAUAAUUUCCUUACCUAUCGAUGUCUUCAAAGUAACCCUCUUCAAAGCGCAAUCCAAACUGACUUGGUGUUCCACCAACCAGUUUAUACCCAAAAUUAGAUCAAAUUCCCCAAAGGGUAGCUUCAUUAAAUUUGCCAAAAAUACCUCUCCCUAAACUCAACGGGCAUCUUCUAUAAAUCUUAUUCAUAGUAACAGAUUGUCCUCUCUGCAUCUAGCCACAUAGACAAGAACAAUUUUCCUGGCAACAGUUCAUUUUGCACCCUAAACUCGUGCUCACUGUCCCUGUCCAACAUUACCUCCUUUGUAUUGACCCUGACCCCUCUAAGGCUAAUGCCCAGCCCUCUGAUUCUGAACCUCAUUCUGUACUAGAUCUUGCAUGUGGUCAUUACGGCAUGGAAAGUCCUUAAUCUUAUGGUCCAUAGACCCACAUCUCAAACAAGUACUCAUCUCUCUCCAACAUUCACCUAGAUGUCGCUUACCAUAGUAAGCACAGUUCUGAGUCUUGCCUCUAGUACCAACUACCACUGUAUUCUGUCGAGGCUUAUCAUCUCUUCUUCGCUUAAUGGGUUGUGAAGCCGUGAUAGUGGGAUAGAAAUCCCACUCAACAGAAGCCUCAUCCUUCUCUUUUCUCUUAUGCUUCACACACUUAUCUUCCUCAACUAUCUUGGUUUUCUCCACCAUAAUUUCGUAAAACCUCUCAUGGUGUAGAGCGACCUGGAUAAUCAAAUCUGACACACUUAUCUUUCUCGACCGCAACCAUCCCUUGAACAUAUCAGCUAAGCCUCAAGAAUCCAACCUCAUACCCAGCCAUCGACAUGUCUCCUUACUUCAACUCAAUAGAUUCUAGCCUUUGGUCCACAACAUAUCUAGUGCCCAUGCAUUUCUUCUAGAAAGCUUGUUGGAAAUAAUCCCAAGUUAAUCUUUCCACCUGCGUAUGUAACAACCUAUUUUUAGUAGUGUUAGAAAUAGUGGUUUUGGGACCACAAUUCUGAUGAGAGAGUCCAUAGAUAUAUUUAAUUAAUAUUUAUGAGUUAAAUAUAAUAUAAUAGUGAAUUUUGAUUUAAUAGAUUUUAUUAAUUGGUUAGUUAGUUAAAGUACAAAUGGUGCGUACCGAAAGUCAAGUGGUUUUGGAAAAUGAGGGAUCGGGACCUCGUUACUGUAAACCAAGCCCAUGAAUAUUUUUAUUAAAUAUUUACGGAGCUUUUAUAUAGGUGAAUUGAAUUUUGGUCCAAAAAUUUUAGUGGUUGGAUGGCUAAUUAAGGUAUAAGGACUAAAUCAUAAAAAACUAUAAAAGUUAAUCACUAUUAAUUUUUAUUAGUUAAAUUUCUUAUCUAGUAAUUUUUUAAGGUUUAAUAUAACAAUUAGGCCAUAUUUAAUUAUAGUGGGAUGUCUUGUAGUUAGUUUUGUUAUAUUUUAUAUGUUAAUUUAAAUUUAAAUUAAUAAUAAUAAAGUUAAAACAUAAAAAUAAUGGUCAUCUUCUUCAUUUUGAGUUUCAUCACCAAAAAGAGAAUCAAAGCUUGAGAAGCUAUCAUUAAAAUUUCCAAGGCUCAGCCAAGUGCAUGUGAGUCUAUUUUUAAACCGUUUUUCAUAAAUUUUAUGUUUUUGAGAUCGUUCCAACUAGGUCCAAAUAACCUGUACCUCUGUUUUCAAAAUUUUCAAAGAUUUAAAAUGUUUCCAAUGAUAUUAUUUGAUUAUUUUGAAUGUUUAUGGUAGAUUUUGAAGCAUAUAAAUGAAAUAGGAUUAAUUUGUUAAGUAAAUUUUGUUAGUUUUGAGUUAGGGACUAAAUUGUGAAUAUAUUAAAAUUGGUAUGAAAUUUUUAUAUAUUUUGAUAAUAUGGGACUGUAUAUGGACAUAAUUAAAGUGGGUUUAAAAUUUGGAGUUCAAAUUUGGAAGAUAUAAUAAGUUCUGUUUUAGGGACUAAAUUGAAUAAAAUGUAAAAGUUUAGGGGCAUUCAAAUAAUAAAAUUAAAAUUAUAUAUACUUAUAAUAGGAUGACAUAAGAUGUUUGGAACUGAUAAAUUGAAUUGACUUAUUGAAUAGAUUAGAAAUUAGACCAAAUUAAAAAAAAGUAGAGGAAAUGACAAAAAAAUUGUUGAUUAGUCCUUAGAGAGUUGUUUAGUUGUUUCCUUAACUAGGUAAGUUCAUAUAUUAUGUUUGUGCUAAAUUUUUAUGCAUUUGGAAUUAUAAUUUUAAUGAUGUUUAAAUGAAAUUUUAAUUGUUUAUGAUUUAGCACAAAAAUGUGAGAUAAAUAAUUAAAUUGAAAUAAUUAUGGAAUUGAACUUAAAUUGGACUGAAAUAGGAUAUGUCAUGUGAUGAGGUAAUGAACUAAGCUGACUUGAUUUGAUUUAGACUAGUUGAUAGUGAUAAGGAAAAAAUUGAAUAUAUAUGAAAAAUGUGUAUGUAUAUAUAUGUGUGUGUAAUUGAAUGCAUAUAGAUAUGAUUGAUGCUGUCAUGAUUAUGGAUGAAUGAUACGUGAAUUGAGAUGUUGAUUGAUAAUAAAUUGAGUAAUGAAUACCUUAUUAACUAUUUGGGUAGAGUCGGUUAUAGUUGACAUACCAUGGGAUAGGAAGAGCUCAGAGUUACUUCGACUACGAGUCGAUGAGGCACUGGGUGCCAAUUUGCUUCUGUUAUAUCGAUGAAACACUGGGUUUCAAACUUAUUGGUAGCAUUGGGCGCAACUAUUUUCUUCGGAUUUAUCUCAUGAGGCACUAGGUGCCAAACUGGUGUGUUGGUUCUAUCUGUGUAUCUGUUCGAGUUCAAGUUGUGUUAAUAAGUAAAUAAAUGAUUGAAAAAAGAAAUAUCACAUAUUUGAAAUGGCAAAUGAUGUGAAAUGGAAUAUGAAAUUGUGAAAUGAGUUGGGAACAAUGAUUAAUUAUGUUCAAUAAAUCCCUGAAUUUGGAAAUUGAGAUGGAAUGUGAUUUGUAAUUCGUAUUAUGAAAUGAAAUAGUAAUUGACAUUAGAUUGGAAAUUGAUAUAUAUAUUUGGUAUAAAGAUGAAUUGAUAUGAAAUAGGAAUGAAGUUUAUACGAUUUAAUAUGAAUUUGAUUGAGAAUUCGAAUUAUGAAAUGAAAAAUAAUGUUUGGCAUUAAUUUGAAAUGGGAUGCAUUAAGGGCAUACUAGAUUGUUUUGAAUAUGGUAUUAUGUUUGAAUUUGAAUUGUUGGAUUGAGGUGUCAAUUGUGGCAUAUUGGUUGUAUGUAUUUAAUGGAUUGAAUGAGUUCUAUAUAGGCUAUUUGUGUACCUAUAUGUAUCUAUGAGCUAAGAUAUAGAUUUGGGCAUGAAAUAAACUUCUAAAUUUGUGAUUUUGACCAUCUAGGUAAAAGUAUCGACACCAAGGACCAAGGUUAAUAUAAGGUAUUAAUACUUGACCAAAUGAACAGUGUUUUGAAAAUGGCAGAAUGUCAAAAUGGUAUCGACACUGAAGUUUGGCAUCGAUAAUUUUGUUAAAAAUAUCAAUACUUGUUCCUUUUGUAUCGAUACCUAGUUCCAAGUUUUGAAAAUUUUCAGAUUGGUCCUUAAUCAUGCUCGAAUCUAUUAAACUAUGUUCUCUGUUUGGUUCAUAACUUUUAUUAUACAUGUAUUUAGAAAAACUUGAUUAUUUAAAUUAAAUUCAAUGUUAUGAUUUGCAUAUGAAUGUUUCGAUAACUAUAGUAGUAGGAUCAACAUGCAAUUUACAUAUUAACAUUUGAUAUCAUAACUUAAAAUCAAUUAACCAUAUCUUUCCUAAUUUCAAAGACCAUGCACAACCAUUAACAAAAGAUAUUAGGGCAUACAAAAGCUUGGCACAACCAAAAGCAUACCAAUUUAACAUACAACCCUAUACAUGUCAUGUAUAACCAUUUCAAUAUAUAUUCAAAGGUUACCAUAAUGGAUCUGGAUAGUGUGACCAUGCUCUGACGUUGGUUCUAACCGUUCGAGCUUCUCGAUGAUCUAUAAAACAAAGAAAACACAUACGUAAGCAAUUAAUGCUUAGUAAGCUUGUAUUAGGAACUUAAAAUUACCGUAUAUAUUAAAUAAAAUAAUUAAAGAUAAUUACAUUUCAUUAUAGGCCAAACAUCCUUUCCUAUACACAAAAAUUCAUAAGGUUAGUUUGUGAAAUAAUGCACUUUUAUGAUCAACCAAGGCGUGACAUAAAACAUAUCAACAUUUUAAUUUCACCAUCCAGCACUGCUACAUAUAUCAUGUAACUUCAUUCUCUUUACAUUAUGCAUAUCAUUAUAAUGUAUUUCAUUAUCUAAAAUCAUGAUUCAUUUCAUAUUUUCAUAUACCCAUUUAAGCUUUAUUUACUCGUUCAUAUCAUGGAAACAAUUUCACUAUAUAAGUCAUUCAUUCACAUAAUUCAAAUGUUACCUUUUCAAUCCAAAUACUUACAUUACAUUUUUCAUUUUGUAUUUUCAAUAACAUAGUUCAUUUAUAUACAUACCUUUUCAUUUUAAUCUUAGUUGUUCAUUGAACCAAAUAGAAUAACAUCGGAUAUUGGAAAUAAUAAUUUUAGUACAAAUUACCUGAUACAAUACAUCGACACGAAGCCUGCUAGGCACAAAGCCUAGUAUAAUACACCUGCACGAAGCCUGAUAAAAUACACCAGCACGAAGCCUGCUAGGCACAAAGCCUGAUAUAAAACAUCGAUAUGAAGCCUGCUAGGCACAAAGCUUGAUAUAAAACAUUGGCAAGAAGCCUGCUAGGCACAAAGCCUAAUAUAAUACACCAGCAUGAAGCCUACUGGACUCAGGGCCCAAUACACUAUCUCCAAUACAACUCAAUUUGAUUAUUAAUUUUCAUCAACCAACAUUAAAUAAUUACAAACAUCACAAUUAUUAGAAUAAAAAAAUAUCAAGGAGUUUAAUUCACAUUACAUAUAAUAAGAACUUACUUGAACUCAUGUAACAGCCCGAUUUUGGGCCUAGUCGGAAUAGUGGUUUCGGGACCACAAAUCCGACGAGGGAAAAUAUGGUUAUUAUUAUAUUUUUAUGGUCUACAAUUUCACGGAAAAUUUUCGUAAAAAUUUCGUUCGAAAAUUUCGACGUUUGGGCACUCAAUUUAGUCAAAAGGACUAAAUUGUAAAUAGUGCAAAAGUUGAGUUCUAUAUGUAGAAGUAUCUAAUUGAUAUGAAAUUUUAAAUUGGAGGUCUUUAUGUGGUAAUUAGACCAUUAGUUAGUUGAUGGACAAAAAUAGACAUAAGAAAUGAGAGAAAUAGAUUUUUUUUAAGUGGGGGCAUAUUAGUCAUUUGGUAAUAAAAAAAAAUAAAAUGGGAAAAAGAUGACAAAAAUCAUCAUCUUCCUCAUUAGUUGCUGCCGAAAUUUGAAGGAAGCCAUAGCUAAGGUUUCUUUGCUUUCUCAAGCUCAUAGUAAGUGCAUCCUAGCCCCAUUUUUAAUGUUCUUCGCAUUUUUGGAAUCCUCGUAACUCGGUUUAGCUUAUUCUAGCAAUAAUUCGUGUUAGGGCUCAUAUUUGGAAAAAUACCCAUAGGUGAAAUGUGUUUAUUUUGCUGUUUUAUGGUGGAAUAUGAAGCUAUAAAUUAUGUUAAACAACUUUUGCUAAGCGAUUUUAAGCGAAAACGGGUAAAUAGGCAUAAUCGGUAAAAAUAAUUAUUGUUCAUAAGUGUAUGUUAGAGUGAGAAUUUGAUGUUGCCAUAGAAGGGAAAAAUGUUCAGCAUGUCAUAAAACCUAAGAAUAAGUGAUGAAGUUUAAUUUCCGAGCUUGGGGACAAAAGUGUAAUUAUGCAAAAGUUUGGGGGCAAAAUUGUAAUUUUCAAAAAGUUGGGUGGUGGAUUAUUUUAAUGAAUGUGAACAUUAAAUGAGUUAAAUUUGCUAUUAUAGAUCAAGAAAGACAUGAAGAUUAUCUCAAACGAGGAAAAGAAAAGAUAGUGGAGUGAAGUGCAAAAUUACGAUAUUUUGCACCGAGUGACUUCCGACAACUCGGAAAUUUGGAACGAAGUCAGACAAUCAUCCACACUAUCCUUCACACUUGGGGUAUUUUGCUACUAUCGUUCCGGAAAAUUAUGGCAUGUAAAGACGACCUAUGAAAUAUGGAAUCAUCAUGUAAAUAUAUGUUAUGGUUUGAUUUAAAAUGUGGUGUUCAUUAAUAGUUAAAUUGUGAGUAUUAUUAUAAAUGAGUUUGGUUGAUAUAUAUAUAUUGGAUUGUGAUUUAAAUUUGCAGGAGGUUUAAGCAAAAUUAAGCAGAAAUGCUGUCGAAAUUUUUUUUAAAAAACUUAGUAAUACCUCAUACUCUGUUCCGAGCCGGAAUACGAGUAAGGGGUGUUACAUUUUAGUGGUAUCAGAGCUACGGUUUAGUCGGUUCUCGGACCAAUAAAAUAUGUGUGAAAGUCAGUCUAUACAUGCCAUCAAUAUAUUGUGAUAGUGUGAUGAUUUCUGACAAUUUAAAAUUUUGUUUUAUAUAGUAAAUGGAUCCUAAUCGAAGUAUGGCAGAUGAUGUUGAAAGUAACACGCCGGUUCCCGCACAAGGGACCGCGCAUGAAGAGAGUAGACAUGAGACACAUGGACAGGAUGAGGCUCGAGAAGCCUUCCUCCGAAUGAUGAGUGAUUGGUAUACAGAAUAUGUCCGUGUAAAUCCGAAUGUUCCACCUCCUCCACCCCCUCCUAUUCCUCCGCCGGUCCCCGUAGCUCCACGAAGUGCUGAAUUGGUGAGAUCAAGUAAACCACCCGUUGAUAGAAUUCGAAAGCAUGGGGCUGAAGAUUUCAGGGCCAAUGUUGAUGAUGAUCCGGAAAAAGCCGAGUUUUGGCUUGAAAAUACUAUCCAGGUAUUUGAUGAAUUAUCUUGUACUCCUGAGGAAUGUUUGAAAUGUGCUGUGUCUUUAUUGAAGGAUUCGGCAUACCGUUGGUGGAAAACAUUAAUAACGGUGGUUCCAAAAGAAAGAGUUACUUGGGACUUCUUUCAGGAAGAAUUCAGAAAGAAAUAUGUAAGCCAACGGUUUAUUGAUCAGAAGCGCAAAGAGUUUCUCGGAUUGAAACAGGGCCGAAUGUCAGUAGCAGAAUAUGAACGGGAGUUUGUCCGGCUUAGUAAAUAUGCCCAGGAAUGUGUGCCUACGGAGGCUAUUAUGUGUAAAAGAUUUGAAGAGGGGCUAAAUGAAGACAUCAGAUUACAUGUUGGAAUUUUAGAGUUAAAAGAAUUUGUGGUACUAGUUGAUCGUGCUUGCAAAGCUGAAGAGCUGAGUAGAGAAAAGAGAAGGGCAGAGAUGGAAGCUCGAGAUGUAAGGAAGAGGUCAAUGGGCAGAACAUUUCAAUCUCACCCGAAGAAGUUUAAAGGGAUGGAUCCACGACCAACCGGUUCAGUUGGGUAUUCACGCAGAGACCGAGGGAGGUCAUAUUCCGGAACUACAACUCGAGCUACCUCAGUGGCAAGUGUGGGUAAUGUAGGAAACACCAGACCUGAAUGUCAACAGUGUGGCAGGCGACAUACUGGUGAGUGUUGGGGAUUUAAACGAGCUUGUUUCAGAUGUGGUUCCCAAGAGCAUUAUGUAAAAGACUGCCCUGAGAGAAUAGAAGAAGAAAGAUUACAAAGAGCUGGAUCGGGUGAUGUUGUCAGUAGAGGCAGACCACCGAGAAAUGUGGGAAGCAAAGCCAGUGGUAAGAGUGUGAUAAAAGAUACAGCUGGAGGAUCAGAAACUAGAGCGCCUGCCAGGACUUAUGCUAUACGCGCUCGAGAGGAUGCCUCAUCUCCCGAUGUGAUUACUGGUACAUUUUCUCUUCAUGAUAUUAAUGUUAUUGCUUUGAUUGAUCCCGGCUCUACUCAUUCAUAUAUAUGCAUGAAUUUGGUGUCUAGUAAGAAAUUGCCUGUUGAAAACACUGAAUUUGUAGUUAAAGUAUCAAAUCCUUUAGGCAAAUAUGUCUUAGUCGAUAAUGUUUGCAAGAAUUGUCCCCUGAUGAUUCAAGGUCACUGUUUCCCGGCUAAUUUGAUGUUGUUACCAUUUGAUGAGUUUGAUGUUAUUUUGGGGAUGGAUUGGUUGAUAUUGCAUGAUGCCAAGGUAAAUUGUAGACAGAAAAUUCUUGAAUUAAAUUGUGAAAACGGUGAAAUUCUCCGGGUUGAAACAAAGGAGCCGAAUAAGUUGCCUAUGGUGAUUUCGCACAUUUCUGCUCAGAAAUACUUGAGAAAGGGAUGUGAAGUUUAUCUUGCUUAUGUGCUGAACACGGAUAUUACCUGGUCAAAGCUUGAAUCAGUGCCGGUAGUUUGUGAAUUUCCAGAUGUAUUUCCAGAGGAAUUGCCUGGGUUACCUCCGAUUAGAGAAGUUGAGUUUUCUAUUGAUCUGUUACCUGGUACUGUACCGAUUUCUAUUGCACCGUAUCGAAUGGCUCCGACUGAGUUGAAGGAAUUAAAAGCUCAGUUACAAGAGUUGACAGAUAAAGGAUUUGUGAGACCGAGUUUUUCUCCUUGGGGUGCUCCUGUGUUAUUUGUGAAAAAAAGGACGGCUCUAUGAGACUUUGUAUUGACUAUCGUCAGCUCAACAAGGUGACUAUAAAGAACAAGUAUCCUUUGCCGAGAAUUGAUGAUUUAUUUGAUCAAUUAAAAGGGGCAACAGUGUUUUCUAAGAUUGAUUUGAGGUCUGGUUACUAUCAGUUAAGAGUUAAAGAGUCUGAUGUGCCGAAAACCGCCUUUAGAACAAGGUAUGGACACUAUGAAUUUCUGGUAAUGCCUUUUGGGUUAACAAAUGCUCCAGCUAUUUUUAUGGACUUGAUGAACCGAAUUUUUCGGCCGUACUUGGAUAAGUUCGUGGUGGUGUUCAUAGAUGAUAUUUUAAUCUAUUCUCGGGAUGAAUCUGAGCAUACAGAAUAUUUAAGAACUGUGUUGCAGAUUCUGAGAGAAAAGAAAUUGUAUGCUAAAUUCAACAAAAGUGAGUUUUGGCUUCGUGAGGUUGGAUUCUUGGGACAUAUAGUUUCAAGUGAAGGUAUUCGUGUUGAUCCAAGCAAAAUUUCAGCAAUUGUUGAUUGGGAGCCACCAAAGAAUGUGACAGAAGUUAGAAGCUUUCUGGGCUUAGCUGGGUAUUACAGACGCUUUGUCAAGGGAUUUUCGAUGAUUGCUUCUCCUAUGACUAAGUUACUGCAGAAGAAUGUCAAGUUUGAAUGGACCAAUAAAUGUCAACAGAGUUUUGAAAAGUUGAAGGCAUUAUUGACUGAGGCGCCAGUGUUGGUGCAACCUGAGUCCGGGAAGGAGUUUGUAAUUUACAGUGAUGCAUCGUUGAAUGGCCUUGGGUGUGUGUUAAUGCAAGAGGGCAAAGUAAUAGCUUAUGCUUCGAGACAAUUGAAACCGCAUGAGAAAAAUUAUCCGACGCAUGAUUUAGAAUUGGCUGCCAUUGUUUUUGCUUUAAAAAUUUGGCGUCAUUAUUUGUAUGGUGAAAAGUGCCGAAUCUUCACUGAUCAUAAGAGUUUGAAGUAUUUGAUGAGCCAAAAAGAUUUGAAUUUGCGGCAACGAAGAUGGCUCGAGCUAAUCAAAGACUAUGAGCUAGUGAUUGAUUAUCACCCCGGGAAAGCUAAUGUGGUUGCUGAUGCCUUGAGCAGAAAAUCUUUAUUUGCUUUGAGAGCUAUGGGUACGAUGUUAACUUUAUCUGAUGAUGGCUCAAUGUUGGUUGAAUUGAGAGCUAGACCAUUAUUUCUUCAGCAAAUUCGGGAAUCUCAAAAGAAUGACAGUAAAUUGCAAGCCAAGAGAGCUCAGUGUGAAGCAGGUGUUGACUCAGAUUUUCAAAUUGGUUCAGAUGAUUGCUUGAUGUUCCGGGAUAGAGUAUGUGUACCAAGAAAUGAUGAGUUAAUUCAGACCAUUUUAUGUGAGGCACAUAGUGGUGACUUGUCAGUUCAUCCGGGUAGUGUGAAAAUGUAUAAUGAUUUGAAGAAGUUGUAUUGGUGGCCAGGCAUGAAAAAGGAUAUCUCGGAAUUUGUAUCAAAGUGUUUAAUCUGUCAACAAGUGAAGGCUGAGCAUCAAGUACCAUCGGGUUUACUUCAACCGAUAACGAUUCCAGAGUGGAAGUGGGAUAGUAUUACGAUGGAUUUUGUGACAGGAUUGCCUUUAACUCCAAAGAAGAAAGAUGCUAUUUGGGUAAUUGUUGAUAGAUUGACAAAGUCGGCUCAUUUUAUUCCGAUACGCAUUGAUUACUCACUUGACAGGUUGGCAGAAUUAUAUGUUGCUGAAAUAGUGAGAUUACAUGGGGUGCCUAAAUCUAUUAUAUCGGAUAGAGAUCCGAGAUUUACUUCGAGGUUUUGGAUAAAGUUGCAGGAAGCCUUGGGUACAAAAUUGAAUUUCAGUACUGCGUUUCAUCCGCAAACUGACGGGCAAUCGGAAAGAGUGAUUCAAAUUCUUGAAGAUAUGCUCCGGUGUUGUAUUUUAGAAUUGAAAGGCAGUUGGGAGAAAUAUCUACCAUUGGUUGAAUUUGCUUAUAACAAUAGCUAUCAGUCAAGUAUACGAAUGGCACCGUAUGAAGCAUUAUAUGGGCGUAAGUGUAGAACUCCUUUAUAUUGGACUGAGCUCGGUGAGAACCGGAUUCAUGGAGUCGACUUGGUGAAAGAAACUGAAGAAAAGGUGAAAAUAAUUCGUGACUGUUUAAAGGCUGCCUCAGAUCGGCAAAAGUCGUAUGCGGAUUUAAAGAGAAAAGAAAUUGAGUUUCAAGUAGGUGAUAAGGUGUUCUUGAAGGUGUCUCCAUGGAAGAAGAUUCUGAGAUUUGGUCGUAAAGGCAAACUAAGUCCACGAUUUAUUGGACCAUAUGAAGUUACCGAGAGAGUUGGCCCUGUAGCAUAUCGGUUAGCUUUACCACCGGAGUUGGAAAAGAUACAUAAUGUGUUUCAUGUGUCGAUGUUGCGACGUUACCGUUCGGAUCCUUCACAUAUAGUUUCCCCUACAGAGAUUGAGGUCAGACCAGAUAUGACUUAUGAGGAAGAACCAAUAAAGAUUUUGGCUCGGGAAGUCAAGCAGUUAAGGAAUAAAAGUGUAUCCUUAGUAAAAGUACUGUGGCAAAAACAUGGGAUGGAGGAAGCUACGUGGGAACCGGAGGAAAUUAUGAGGAAACAGUACCCAAAUCUCUUUUCCGGUAAGAUUUUCGGGGACGAAAAUCCUUAAGGGGGGAGAGUUGUAACAGCCCGAUUUUGGGCCUAGUCGGAAUAGUGGUUUCGGGACCACAAAUCCGACGAGGGAAAAUAUGAUUAUUAUUAUAUUUUUAUGGUCUACAAUUUCACGGAAAAUUUUCGUAAAAAUUUCGUUCGAAAAUUUCGACGUUUGGGCACUCAAUUUAGUCAAAAGGACUAAAUUGUAAAUAGUGCAAAAGUUGAGUUCUAUAUGUAGAAGUAUCUAAUUGAUAUGAAAUUUUAAAUUGGAGGUCUUUAUGUGGUAAUUAGACCAUUAGUUAGUUGAUGGACAAAAAUAGACAUAAGAAAUGAGAGAAAUAGAUUUUUUUUAAGUGGGGGCAUAUUAGUCAUUUGGUAAUAAAAAAAAAUAAAAUGGGAAAAAGAUGACAAAAAUCAUCAUCUUCCUCAUUAGUUGCUGCCGAAAUUUGAAGGAAGCCAUAGCUAAGGUUUCUUUGCUUUCUCAAGCUCAUAGUAAGUGCAUCCUAGCCCCGUUUUUAAUGUUCUUCGCAUUUUUGGAAUCCUCGUAACUCGGUUUAGCUUAUUCUAGCAAUAAUUCGUGUUAGGGCUCAUAUUUGGAAAAAUACCCAUAGGUGAAAUGUGUUUAUUUUGCUGUUUUAUGGUGGAAUAUGAAGCUAUAAAUUAUGUUAAACAACUUUUGCUAAGCGAUUUUAAGCGAAAACGGGUAAAUAGGCAUAAUCGGUAAAAAUAAUUAUUGUUCAUAAGUGUAUGUUAGAGUGAGAAUUUGAUGUUGCCAUAGAAGGGAAAAAUGUUCAGCAUGUCAUAAAACCUAAGAAUAAGUGAUGAAGUUUAAUUUCCGAGCUUGGGGACAAAAGUAUAAUUAUGCAAAAGUUUGGGGGCAAAAUUGUAAUUUUCAAAAAGUUGGGUGGUGGAUUAUUUUAAUGAAUGUGAACAUUAAAUGAGUUAAAUUUGCUAUUAUAGAUCAAGAAAGACAUGAGGAUUAUCUCAAACGAGGAAAAGAAAAGAUAGUGGAGUGAAGUGCAAAAUUACGAUAUUUUGCACCGAGUGACUUCCGACAACUCGGAAAUUUGGAACGAAGUCAGACAAUCAUCCACACUAUCCUUCACACUUGGGGUAUUUUGCUACUAUCGUUCCGGAAAAUUAUGGCAUGUAAAGACGACCUAUGAAAUAUGGAAUCAUCAUGUAAAUAUAUGUUAUGGUUUGAUUUAAAAUGUGGUGUUCAUUAAUAGUUAAAUUGUGAGUAUUAUUAUAAAUGAGUUUGGUUGAUAUAUAUAUAUUGGAUUGUGAUUUAAAUUUGCAGGAGGUUUAAGCAAAAUUAAGCAGAAAUGCUGUCGAAAUUUUUUUUAAAAAACUUAGUAAUACCUCAUACUCUGUUCCGAGCCGGAAUACGAGUAAGGGGUGUUACAACUCAUAAACGACUUCUAACACGAAUCGACCACUAUUCCGCUACUUUGACUUUUCUGCGAUUUGUGUCCAUUCAAGUUGUUUCUUGAUCUAAAUAAAUAUUUUUAUUCAAUUAAUCUCAUUCCAAAAUUUCAAAUAAUUAAUUUAAACCUAUAACCCUUAUUCAUGUUAAUUUAUUAAAAUUACCCCCAAUGGUUUUUUUUAUACAAUUUAGUCCCUAAACCCGAAACUUACAAAUCUAACACUUUUAGCUAAAAUUCAUGCUAGCAAAAUUUUACCUAAUCUUAUGACAUCCCAUAUUUAUCAUCAAUUUAUAGUAUUUUUCUUGAAUUUUACCGUUUUCAUAAAUAAGUCCUUAAACCUUAAAAUCAUCAAAAAAUACUUAACAAAAUAUGUCUAUGUAACAACCAAGCUUAACAAUCUAUCAUAAAAAUUAAAAAAUAUAUCAAUUUCAUCCAUGGCAUAAUCUAUAACAUUUAACAAUUUUACAAAUUGACCCCCGAGUUAGCUAGAUUAAGCUAAUACGAGCUCGAAACCAUAAAAAUUACUAAAAAAGGGAUAAAAUUACACACCAUGCAUGAAGAAUUGAGCAUGGUCGAAUGCUUUGGUUUCUUUUUCAUGGAGAAUUAGGCUACUCAUUCCUUUUGGGGAAGAUGACAUUGUUUUCAUCAUUGUUUAAACUUAAUUUAUUAUUUAAUUACCAUUUUACCCUUAUAAUAUUAACUUAUAAAAUGACUAAAGCAUGCCCAUAUUUUUCCACUAUCCAUAUACAUGAUAUAAUUACCCACUAAGUCCUUUAAUGUAAGAUUUCAUAGCAAUUUGACCCCUUUAGCAUAUAAAAUUCAACUUUUGCAUGUUUUACAGUGUAGCCCUUUUCACUUAAUUAACUAUUUAAACGUUAAAACUUCUUAGCCAAAUUUUAAUAUAACCCUAAUAACACUCUGUAAAUAUUUAUGGUCUCAUUUUAUAGAAAUGAUGUCCCAAAACCUUAUUUUCCAAAACCACUUAAUUUUAACGAUUUACCACUUGAACUUAAUUAUUUGUUCAAAUAACAUAAAUUAUCAAAUCAAAAUUUAUUAAUAUACUAUAUUUGACUCGUAAAUAUUAAAUAAUAAUAUUUAAGAAUUCUGUUGUAGUUUUUGGGGCCCCGAAACUACUGUUUCUGAAACCACUAAGUAACGAUAUGUUACAAGUAAGCUCGUCUUUCAACAAUGAUACUAUACCUUGAACUCCUACUCGAUGGUACAAUCCAUGCCAUCUAGAAUUCUUUUCGUAGCCUCCAUCCAAUAUUCAGGUAUGGUAGGGGUAGCCCAAACAACACCCUUAAACAGCUUAGCUCUAUUGGGUCAAAGCCUCUCAACUAUGGUCCCUCGACUAUCGGUUCUAGUUUGGGCUCUAGCUACCCACUAUAACACUUUAAACAUGGCCUGUGAUACAACACCAUCAGCAGGCUCCUGAUGACUACCCUCAACGGCAGGUGUAUUCUCAAUGUGCUCGGCCACAGGCUCAAGAGUACGCACUUGAGAUGCAAAAGAUUCAAUUUGGGCAUUGUGGCCUUGUGCUCCUCGGGCUCGCAUGCCACGAUUUCGUACACCUCAAGUGUUCAUUUCGUUAUCAAGAGUCUAAGUUUUAUGAAAUUAUCUACAGUUCAAAAAUAAGUUCUUAUUAUUAACCUGAAGUGUUUUCAAUCUAAUAGUUUAACUAAAGUUCACAAUCUAUAGUUUUUCUAUAGUUUUAGUAAUAAAAGUACUUAUCUAGGAUUGACUUCAGAGUCUCAUAUUUUUGUUUUGAAAAACAUACUUCAUAAAAUUUAUCUAUGGCAUGGUUCCUACAAUACCCUUUUAAAAUAUGCAUACAAAUUUUGAGUUUUGAAUCGGGCUCUGAUACUACUAAAUGUAACCUCCCAAACUCGGCCUCAACAUUAUGGUUGAAUCCUGAAAAUUACAUUGUUCAUUGGAAUGGCAUGGAAAAACGUUCAUAUUUUAAAUUACUCUUUAAAACCAAUUGUCUUUUUAUUUAAGACUAGUGAUCUUGAUUAUUUCUCUUGUUUCAAGAAAAUCAUAUUAAUUUUAAAAUCAUCAAACAUCUUUAAAGUUUCAAUUGUAAAGAUUAAUUAUUUAGGAAAAACUAAGUUAUAUUUUGUUAAAAAAAAACCUUUAAGUAUUGUAGUGGAAAAUUGUAUAAAAAUCAUAUUUUUGUUAAAAAUCAAAUUUUCAUGCAUAUUUAAUAAAACAUCAGAGACUUAAAACUUCAAAUCAUGCAAAAAUGAAGUAAAAAUCCUCAAAUGUAAAGCCCCAUGCCACAGUCCAUAAGAAAAUUAUUACAAUCCCAAAAAUAAUCAUAUAAUAAAGUUUAAAGUAUUUAAAAUAAAAACCAUUCAAGAACUCUUCCGACAGCCUCAUCCAAGUCCUAACCUCGUGGAUCAUCUAAAAUCAUAUUAGAAACUAAGGGGUGAGGUAAUAAGCUCAGUGUGAGUCUUAUUUCAAAUAUAUAGUAAUAAUAAAUAUGACAGUCAAGCCAAAAAAUAUACAGAGUACUAUAAACAGUGCAAAUUUCACAAUGUGUACCAUGAAUAAUCAUGUCAAUGCAGAAUUUUCAGAAUUUUCCUACCCAGCUCAGCUACACACCAAUAUAAGAUUUCCCCAAAACUCAUCCAACCAACCAAAUUAUGGACAAGCCAUUAGAAUUACAGAUAAACUACCAGAUUUGCAGAUAAGCUACUAGAAAUAUGGUUAUGCCACCAGAAUUGUAGGUAAACUACCAAAAUUAUGUGGUUGAACCACCAUAAUUGCAAAUAAACUAUCAGAUCUUCCUCCUUACAUAUUUGUAACAUCCUUAACCCGUAUCCAUCACUAGAAUAGGGUUAUAGAGUAUUACCGUAAAAUCGUAACAUAAAAACAUACAUUUCCAAAUGUUAAUAUAAACAUAACAUAAUCCCUACAUAUACAUGCAUAUCAUCCCUUAAUCGAGCCAUCGAGGCCUUAAAAAUACUUUAGAAAUGAUUUGUAACUAAAUCGAGAUUGAGAAAAUAGUUAGAAAAAUUGAACUGUAGGGGUCACACGGUCGUGUGACUACAUAGGUUAGACACACACUCGUGUCUCAAGCCCUGUAACAAUCGAAAUAGGGACACACGGUCGUGUCCCUGCCCGUGUCCAUGCCCGUGUAACUCUUUGAGUUGGGUCACAUGGCCAAGCCACACGUCUGUGUGCUAGGUCAUGUAACACUUGAAAUAGCCUCACAGGCCUGUGUGCCAGGCCGUGUGCUAGGCCGUGUAAUUGCCUGACUUGUAACCUUUAAAACCUACAGGGGGCACACAGCUGUGUCGCAUGGUUUUGUGUCACACAUGGUUGAGACACACGCCCGUGUCUUAGGCCGUAUGAACAAGAAAUUAGCCAAAAUCAAGCCAUUUCUUUCACCCAUUCCAACAAGUACCUACAAGCCAUAUACACAUAUGAUCAAGGCACCAAAAAUCCUACCAAAACAUGCUUAAUUUAACCAAUUCAAAUUAUCUAAAAUCCAUUUAACCAAUAUGGCUUACAAGGCACGCCAAUCAAAAUCAAACAAACUUACCAAAACAUAUGCAUAAUUAACCUUACUUCCAACAUACAUUUCUAGUUCCAUAUCAUCUUAAAACAUACGAUAAUUAAGACCAUUUCUAGCAUAGCAACUUAAUUCACCAACAAGCCAAAACAAACCACAAGUGUAUACUUUUAUAUCUUUCUAAUUGUACCAAAAAGAUACCUAUUUACAAUCUUAGUAAAAUACUUAACAACUUAGUUUAGUAUUUUGUCAAAAAUGUACCAUAACAACCUCUAUAGCCAUAUAUACAUGCCACAACCCUAAGGAGCACAAGAACUACCAACAUCGGUGGAUAGUGUGAGCCGAAGAUUCGAUCUAUACAAAAGUCAACAAUAACAAUUUACAAAAAAAUACACGAAAACGUAUAAGCUUAUAGAGCUUAAUAAGAACAUAGUAAAUCUUUUAACUUUAACAAAAAUUGAAUGCAACUCAUAUUUUACUUGAUUUGAAGUUAUCAAAAUGUAAGCAAGGGCACGUAUGUGAAAUUUAAGGGUAUCAAAGUACAAACAGGGGGCACGCAUGUGCAAUUUAUGGGCACCGAUGUAACACCCCAAACCCAGCCUGGACAUGGUAGUGUGUUUGAAAACCGAAGCUCGUGUUGAAAACAAACUAUAACUUUGCUUAAAAAAUUUUCCAUUUAGAGCUCGUUGUUAUCUUUUGUUAAUCCUAAAAAAGUGUUUUUUAUUCAAUCGUUAGUUUGCAAAUCAUUAUACGUUGCGGAAGCUUUUUAAAAUAGUUUGUGUCAUUGUGGGUAUUUUGCUAAAACACAUGCAUUUCUUUUUAAAAACCCGUGUUUUAUCUACCUCUAGCAGAUGUAAAACAUAAAGCUGUGUUAAAUCCAAAUUUAAAACAAAAAUCUAUAGCAGCCAUUAUUACAGAUAAAAAAACCCCAAAUAAAUCUUUAAAAAUAAAUAUAAUUAGGUACGAAAUAGUAAAAAGGAGUCGUGUGGCCACCGCUGAGUCCUCCACCGCACCGAUCUACUUAUGACUGGGGAUUACCUGUACAGAUUAACAGAAGGGGGUGAGUUUUCAAAACUCAAUGUGUAACCCCUCUAUAAACAAGCAGACAGAAAGCAAUCAUAAUAUAGGCCUAAGCCCAUUUCAACAACAGUUUCAGUUUCAGUUAGGGCCUUAGCCCAUUACAAUACAGUAGCAGUCAUGUGUUUGGGCCUCGGCCCAUUACAAUAUCCAUAUUCAAUACAGUAAUAGAUAUGCAAUAUCAAAUCCUACCCAAUCAGCCUCUAUAUUCCAACUUCGUCCAACCCUACACUCCAUGUGGGGAUAUAAUCAACUCACCCAUCCCUACACUCCAAAAAGUAUCGAAUGUGGCACUAGACAGUGGUUUGCAGCUGAACUGCCAGUAAAUUAAGCUUGAGGCCUUUCAGUGCACUUCCUUCGAACAAUAUAAACUCCCACCCCAAUGCAAUGCAAUAUAUAUGACAUGCUAAAACAUAAUAUCAUGCAUAAAGUCGUGGCAUACAGUACCAAACCAGUGGGACAUCAUCAUGCUUAUUAACAUGCAUAAUCGUAUCUGUCAUACAGUCAUUUCAAUCAAUUAGGGGUCUAGGUAAGCUUACUAACCCUACGGUAGGUCCACAGUUGACUCGGGCGACCCAUGCAACCUUAGCCAUCAAACAGUGAAAAUAGGCCCACAAGCCCAUGACAUUUGCCCGUGUGGGCCCACACACCCAUGUGGCCCACACAACCCAAAAAAGGCCUUGGCCGUGUGGAUCACACAGCCUAGCCCAAUAAUCUCACACGCCCAUGUGGUUCACCCGUGUGGGCCUACACGCUUGUGUGGCCCACACAGCCCAAUUCGGUCCAACUCGUGUAUCGCACACGACCAACCUCGUCGAUCACAUGCCUGUGUUUAGUCACACGGCCUAUCGCAUGGGCGACCACACGCCCGUGUGGUGUCGACAGUCCCACUUUUUGGCUUUUCGCCAAUUACUGAUUUUCAAUGUUGUGUUUACACACCUUUUUUCAUUUGAAGUUAACCCGCACUCCGAGUACUCCAAAACCUAGAUUCAAUCAAAACAUCAUUCAAUCAACUACUUAACUCGUUAUUCAAUCAAGGCCUAACGAAGUUAAAAAUCGAUCAACAAUCGAAACCCCCUUACCGAAGUCAACCAGAAUUGCACCCUCAAUUCCUUAAAGAUACACCAACCAACCCUUGGUCUCCACCUAAAACGAGAGUCACAAACCUUCUCGUUAAGCCUUUAAUCGAAUUACACUACAAAAUUCAAUUACAUUAUACUUACCGAUCAUACACAACCCUUCAUUCAGUAUCUUAUAAAACGAGACAAUAAAACACCUAAAUCACUUACCCAACUGACGAAAGAACAUAGUGCAAUUUGGCAACGCAAGAGAGAACGAAUCGAAAAGGGGAAUCCAAGACUGAAAAGAGGAAAAAUAGAGGGGGUGACAGUAAGAGGAGGAAAAGGAAAACGAUGAGAAGGGGAGUGCAAAGCCGAAAGGGGACAGAAGGCAAAGCAGAACUCACCUAGCAAUAUUCGGCCAAGAAGAGGAGCAAGAUGACGCACGGUCGGCUUGAGGGGAAGGGAAACUAGGUCAAAAAUUUGGGAACAGAAAAGGGGAACCGAAUUUUUUUAAAAAAAAGGGCAGCAAGUGGGGAUAUUUCGGCUAAAAACAAAAAAUAGGUAGAAAAGAUGGAGAGUAGAAAAUCGACAGAACACAAAAAGAAAGGAGGAAGAAAACUGUUCAGCCAAAAAUUUUAUUCUGGCCGAAAUUCCUCAAGAUAAUGCCCAUAUCCCCCAAAACAAAAUCCCUAAAAUCUCCCCCCCCCAAACCGUCCGCCACUUCCCUACUACACCUCAAAUUCUCAGCAUUUGACUACAAUCCAAACUCCUUCACGACACAAAUAACAAAAAUAAUACUCAUGCCCAGACUUGAACACAAGACCUUUAGCACACUAACUCACCACUUAACCCCCAAACCAGCAGACCCAUUCUGUCAUAUUUUACCAACAUUUAUUUAUAAGCCAACUAGUUAGAGAUAAAGGUUUAUUCAUUUAAAAACCAAAAAUUUGCCCAAGCUAAAGCUUGAACUUAAGACCUCACACACACACCCAGAACACUUAACCACUGAAGUAGACAGAUAUUUGUAUCACAAACAUACAAAAAUAAAUAUACAAGGGAUUGUUGGGGUGUUACAACCAAAGUACAAAUAAGGGAACGUAUGUGUAAUUCAGGGGUACCAAAGUACAAACAGGGGCACGUAUGUGUAAUUUUGGGGUACCGAAGUACAAAUAGGGGAACAUAUGUGCAAUUCAGGGGUACCGAAGUACAAAGGGGCAUGUAUGUGAAAUUCAGGAAAUAAUUAAGUAUAAGCAAUUAAUUACAUAACUAUAUUGAAAACAUACAAGUAGAAAUUCAAGUACGUAUACAAAUACUAUGGCCUUCCAUUGACAACUAGAGCGUAAAAGUACGGUCAAGCUAAUUCGUGAUUUUUAUCUUUCCUCGGUUUAGAUCCUGUUGAGAUUUAUCUUGAUCUAAAUAAAUAAUUAUAUUCAAUUAAGUGUUUCAAUCAAUCUCAAACAUUCAAUUCAAUCCAUAAUCCAUAUUCAUAAAUAAUUACAAUUUUGCCCCUAACAUUUUAACUUUUUUACAAUUUAGUCCUUAAACUCAUAAAUUGAAAUCUAAGUAUUCUCAUCCCUAACUCAUGCUAAAAGAAUUUAUUAUGAACCCAUAUCAACUCAUACAAAUCAUCAUUUCACAAUUUAACCAUGAUAUUUUACUACUUUUACAAAUAAGUCUCUAAAUGAUUUUUUUUUAUCAAAAAUCACUUUACCAAACUUGUUUAUUUAUCUACAAGGACUCAUAAUAUUUUUUUAAACUUUAAGAAUCAUACAAAAAAUUCAUGGAAAACCCUAAAUCUUUAACAAUUUUGUAAAUUAGUCCUCGGGCUAACUAGAUUAAGCUACAACGAUCCCAAAAACAUAAAAACCAUUAAAAACGGGGCUUGAACACUCACCACGCACACAACCCUAGCUCAACCGAAAGUUCCCUCUUCUCCAAUUGCCAAAAUCAGUUUUGGUUCAUCAAAUAAAGAAGAUGGACAUUUUGUUUUAAUUAAUUUAACCUUUAUUUACUAAUUUACCUUUUUACCCUUUAAAAACUUUAAUAAUUUCAAUAAAACCAUGUUAUGGAUGUCCAACAUUUAAACCCACUCACAUUUAAAUUUCGUAGCAAUUAAACUCCUUUAACUUAUAGAACUCUAUUUUUGUACCUUUUACGAUUUAGUCCUUUUUACUAAAUUAAGCAUGCAAAUGUCCAAAUUUCUUAACGAAUUUUUUAUACAACACUACUAACAUACUGUAGACAUUAAAAUAAUAAUAAGAUAAAAAUUCUCUCAUCAAAUUUGUGGUUCUAAAACCACUAUUUUUAUUUUACUAAAAACGGGUUGUUACAAUAUUCAUCCCAACCCAAUGCAAAAUGACAUGUUAUAAUUAAAAAAUAGCAGAAACAAGGCAUGAUCAGAGCAUGAAAACAGUGGCAAAAAUAGUAGGCAUGAUUUAAACAUGCGAUCAGAGUAAGAACAAUGGCAUAAAUUCCACGCAAUCGGUAAAAUAGUAUAGCAAGCGUAUUUGAUGACACUUUUAGAAUUAUCAGUAUUAGAAUUCACAUUUUUAAUAUGACUAAAUUUUAGUUAUAGUGUGCAAGGUUUAUCAUGACAUCAAUCUCAAUAAUAUAUUUGCAACAUGGUUCAAACACAUAUUAUACGAAUAUCAUCAAAUCAUAAUACAACACCCAUACAUAUUUAUGACAUCAUGGAUUUAACAGGUUAGAGUCAUUUACUUAAAAACAAUCCUAUUGAAGGAUUUUAUCAAUCACCAUGAAUACUUAGCGUAUUCAAAUAACCACGUUUUGAAGUAGAUAAUAAAUAUUAAUCAUAAUUAAACAAUGAUUAAGAAAUAAUCAUAUAUAUUUUUAUUUUAUUAAAUCCACGCCUAAAAAUAAGCCUUGUCACUAAAUCUACACCUCAAACUCCAACGAUAACGAAUCUAAACAGAUCUCGUUUGAUCUGAUCAAGUAAUAAUAGUAUGAUACCAAUAGGACAUUCGUUAGUUUUAGCCAUAAACCAAAAUAUAAUUCUCUUAUGAAUUCAAAUAAGAAACUCACCCCAAUAUCUUUUUGAAAAGAGAUCCAAACGUUUUUCAGAUCCAAACGUUUUUCUUACGCUAAAGUAAAUCUAAAUGAUCUGGAUUAGACUUGUGAAGAAACGUGUAACACAAAUAUUAGACCAUAUAUUCAGAUCACAUAAGAAAAGAAAGGAUUUAGAUUAGAUUUACUAAUCGUUAAGCUAAACUGAUCAAAUUGAGAAGAUUAACGAUUCACUAGAAUUUUUGGUUUGAUAGAGGAGUAGUGGCUAAGGAAAAACAAAAAAAUGAAUAAAGUGAGUAUGCAUAUUAUUUAAUAAUUUAAGAAAAAGAAGAAGAAGAGAUGCUAAAAUUCAGUUAUGACCAAAUAGAUGAAAAGAGAAUAAAUAAGAAGAAAAUUGGUGGGCGUCGGUGGCGCGUUAGCAAAGACAGUGGAAUAGGUCCGACGGUGGCAAGAAGAGAGUGGGAGAAGAGGGAUGAUGGUGCAGUGGUGGUGUUUAGGUUGUGUGAUGUUGGCUAAAGGUGGUGAGUGGUGGCAAAAUCAAAUGUAAGUGGCGACUCAAUGUUGUGCAAGAGAAGGAGGAUGAGAGAAAAAGAAAGGGUAGAAAGGAAACAAAGAAAUGAAACAAAAUUAUUUUGUUUCUCUAGUUGCAAAGGACGAAUAAAGGGUUUGAAGGGGAGAAAAAUAGGAAGAAGGUGAAAAGAGGGGAAGAAAAAGAAAGAAGAAGGAACAUGUGGAGUGCAAAAGGAGAAAGAAGAGAAAUAAGAGUAAAAUAUGGGAGGAAAGAAUCCCGCUUGCAAAGAAACUAGAACGAAGGACAAUAGGGAGGUUUGAACAAAAAUUUAAAUGCAAAUUUUUUUUUAAAAAAAUAAGAAGAAGGAGAGGGAAAUUGAACUUAGAUCACCUGAAAAAUUUAGCUUGCUCUUAACCACUAGGCUAGAACUCUCACUUGUUUAAGAAUUAACGAUAACUUAAUUUAGAUGAGGUGUGACAUAACCUUUUUUAAUAUUUAUAUUAUAGAAAUAUUAUAUUACUAUAGAUUUAAUUUUUUUGUGCUACAAAUUACAUAAUAUAUAAAAAAAUAACAUAACAUAAAAUAUUACGAACUUAAAAGCGAGUCAGACUGGGCUGAUUCGAGCCUUGAAUGUUCAAGCCCAAGCCCGACCAAUAUUUUAAACAGGCCUAAUUUUUUUGUCAAAACCCAUUUUUCGGGCUUACUAUUUUUGUUCAAAUCCUCUCAAAUUUUAAGCCAGCCUUCAGGCUUGGGCAGAUAGCCUGUCCCAUUAACAAAUCUAGAGCUUUGAAAUUUAAGCAUACUUAGGGCUCGUGCAUUUACGUGUGGUUAGUAUCAAAACAGUACUGACGAUGAGAUUAGAUUCUAUAAUGAUGCUAUAACGUGAGACAAGACAGAAAAAACUAAACGUAUCGCACGAGAACUAAACGUCCAUCCAAAGGGAAAACUGAGUGUGGGUUUGGAUGGACGGUGCGGUGCGUUUAGCUUACUAUUUUUCUCACGCUAUAAUAUCUAAUUUCACCACCAAUGCUAUUUUUACACUAAGCGCAAAGUAAAUGCACCGUCCAUCCUAAUUAUCCCCUAAUUAAAAUUCCCUCCUGAUUUUCACCUAAAAACAAUUUUUGAAAUUGCGAUUCUCUUCCCUUUGGCAUCCCAAAAUCUAAACUCUAACCUUUUCCAACAUCCUCCAUCAGUACUUCCUUGAUGCUCUCCAGUUUUCGCUUCUCAAAUCCUUCAAAACCCACCAAGAAACCUAGCACCUCCAUGCAUUUUCCCUCAAAAUUGGCAUUUUCUCUCACCCCUACCCUCUUCUUGUCUCCUUUCUCUCUAUGCCGACCACAACAUUAGCAACCUCCACUAUGCUUGCUCCGCUUUCGAUCGAAUCCAAUACCCCUUGUUGAUUCUCUAGAAUAUCAUCCUCAAAUGCUACAUACAAAGGGUUAACAAGGGUUAUAAUGUAGGGGUGUAAGGUAGGCUGAAACAAAAGUAAAGAUCAGUUUAAAUGUGGCAUUUUAAGGAUGGGUAAAUAGGAAUAGUAUGAAACUCACUUGAUCGAGACUUACAAAGAAAGAGUAACAAGUAUUUCAACACUUCACUUUUUUUUAUACUCGAUUUUUUUUUUACUUCAUAUACUUUUUUUAAUUCAAAUACAAUUGAACAAUACAAAAGAACUUUGAAUACAACUUAUUUUUUUUAAUUCGAAAUUUUUUUUACAAACCUAUUUCGAGAUGAAUACGAACGUCGGUGCUCCUCAUUUUAAUAGCUCUGAUACCAAAUGAUAUGAACUGACUCAAUAAUGUUGAUUUGAAUCACUUUAAUUGCCUGACCAUCUACGAGAAGAGUCGUUUGUUUUGUAAAAUGAUGGAUUUUGGUUAACUUAUAAACGAAAGUUGGCAAAGGGGUUCAAAUGAUAGGCUAGGUUUGAUAUUUGAUAGGCUCGGUUUAACAAAGAAAUAAAGUAAAUAGUUGAUAGAUAUGAUGGAAUGGAUAAGUGAACUCAAGCUUCAAGAUCGAUUUAAUACUAUAAUGAGUAUUGCCCCGGAACUUAUAUCGCUUAAGGUGGGUUAAUGAAAGAUAGAAGAUGGACCUUGAACCGUUACCUAAAGAGGUAGGAACCAAAGGUAUAAUUUGAUGCAUGAGCACCACACCAAGGUUGGUGAUAAGUUCAAAGAGUUCGGGUUGACGCCACUAGCAAGCUAGAUAAGUCCAUUCGAGACUCAAACGAAAUAGAGAGGAAGAAACCUCACAGGAACAAAUGUUAAUUCAAUAAUUUGGCAAAAAGUUCCUUCAAAUGUUUACAAGAAAGCUAUUUAUAGACACAAAGAUAACUACUCAAAUUCAGAAUCUAUGUGUUCACACAAUAAUAAAAAUGUUCACACUAAAGCAUUAAAAUUCGAUUCAUGCUUGAAGAGGGUGCAUGAAUUGGCCGAACCAUCAUGUUGCUUCACUUGAUGCAUUCAUGCAUACUUAGCCUUGAAGAAUAGAAAUAAUUCGAUGAAUAUGCAGCCCUUUAAUGCUUCUACAUCUCCCAUGGCUGAGUGAAGCUUUAAUGUGCCUUGAAUACUUGAUGAUCAUCUUAAAUAUGCAUGAAACAUGCAUGAAAACUUCCCAAUGCAUGUUCCUCCAUAAAUAUGGUCCAUGAAUCUUCAAAUGGAUGAACAUUCAGCAGCUCCCUUGUAACACCCCCGAACCCGAGACCGUCGCCGGAGUCGAACAUGAGGUGUUAACAGACUUCAAACCACUUAUUAAAAUUUUUCCAGACAAGCUGCCAAUCUGCGUACUAGUCACUUUAAAAAUCAUAUCUUGAGCUCUGGAACUCGAAAUCCAGUUCCGUGAAUUUUCCCUGAAACUAGACUCAUAUGCCCUUCUACAUAUUAUUUUUCUAGAAUUUUUGGUCGGGCAAAUUAGUACAGUUUAUUAGUAAAAGUCUCCCAUGUUACUGGGGUCGACUACACUGACCUUUGCGCAUUACGACCUGGAUAUCUCCCUGUACAGAGCUUCAAUACUGAUGCCGUUUGUUUCUAUAGAAACUAGACUCAGAGAGGAAUCCAUAUAUAUAUGGAUUGACUCCUAAUUGUCUCUGGUUAAUUUGUAAUGAAUUUCCAAAAUCGGAACAGGAAAUCCAGAAACCGUUCUGGCCCUGUCUCACGAGAACCUGAAUAUCUCUUAAUAUACUGUUCAUAUGAUUGUUUCGUUACUUUCAUAUGAAAAUAGAUUCAUCAAGGUUCGAUUACAUAAUUUAUUCACUAUUUAAUUCCAUUCCUACAAAUUUUUGUGAUUUUUCAAAUCCACACCACUGCUGCUAUCAGCAUCUGUUUUCAAGGUAAACUUUACCUAUUUCGUGGUUACCACGGACCAACUAGGGUUUUGUCAUACAUAGGUCCGCAUAUGAUCAUAUUUAGCCAUUCCAAUGGCUGAUCAUUUGCUCAACACUUCCAUUCCAAACCAUAGUCACAUCAUGAAACCAUAUAUACAUACAUAAACACAAAUGGUCUAAUGCCAUACUCCACUUCUACAAGCCAUUUUCGCAUGGCUGUACACACAUACAUCACAAAAAGUACUUGAACAACAACAAUGGGUAGUCCUAUACAUGCCAUAUCCAGAGUUCAACUAAAAGAGUACCAAAAGGGCUUUGAUAGUGUGGAUGACUUCGACUUCGAUGAUCCCGAAUCCGAUAUCUAACGAACAAAAUCUAUAAAACAGAGAGCCAAAGCAACGGGGUAAGCAUUUUAAAGCUUAGUAAGUUUCAAGUAAUGAAAUCAGCUUUGACUAAAGUAUUACAUUCACAUAGCUAAAUGAACCACUUUAUUAAUACACAUUCUCAUAAUCAUGCUUACUUCACACUUCAUCAACAUAUAUACACACACAAGGUAUCAACCCAUCUAAAAGCCCAAAAGUUCGUUAGUCGAUUGAAUGAAUACUAUUUAAAACGAAUCGACUUUCCGAAGCACAUGCAAACAUACCUUAUCGUUUGGGUUUGUCGAGCGUAUUAAUUGAAUUUAUUACAGCACAAAACGCUCACAUUCAUACCCAAGUUUCUUCGGAAUUUAGCCGGGUAUUACCACAAGCACAAUUGCCUUCGGGUCUUAACCCGGGCAUAGCAACUCGCACGAAUGCCUUCGUGUCUUAGCCCGGAUAUAUCAACUCGCACAAAUGCCUUCGGGUCUUAGCCCGGAUCAAAUCACUAGCACAAAUGCCUUCGGGACUUAGCCCGGAUCAAAUCACUAGCACAAAUGCCUUCGGGACUUAGCCCGGAUCUCAUUCAAAUGCUCAUGCACACAUAAAUCAACAGUCUUGGCACAUCCAUAUUUCAUUUUCGUUACUAAGGCUCAAACACAAAACAUUUAUUAAACCUUUCCAAUUUCGGCUCAAUAGCCACACACAAAGAGCAUGAUUUCAAUUGGCUUUAUAACAUAGUCUCUAUGCACAUUCGGCUAUCCGUCAUAGUAUGACUAAUCAUUUCAAUAUAAUUCAAGUAGGGUCAUUACUCGAAGACUUACCUCGGAUAUUUUAAAUAGUUGUGGAUAGACUACUCGAUCGCUUUUUCUUUUCCUUUAUCAGAUUUUGACCCUCUUGGCUCUUGAGCUUGAUUCAAUAAAUAGAUUUUAUUAAAUAACUUAUCAAUUUAGCGAUUCGAUUUAAUACAUGUAUACCAUACAAUUAAGUACAAAUGAUGUUAUUAACUAGAUAUUAAACAUCAUACAUAUGCUCUACUCAAGUACUAAAGAACAUAAUACUAGCUUAAUACCAUGCAUAAUCGAAUUUAUUUAGCAUCAUUUAGUUUUAUAAAAAUACACAUAUCAUCCCAACUCGACACAAGAGUCAAAUUCAUCACUCAAACAUUCACACCAAUUUAUUUUAAUAUUUUGGCCGAAACCCUCAAUUGGCUAACAUAGCCUUAAUAUUUCAAUAUAAACACGUAUACAUCAAAGGCAAUUUAAAACACUUAACCCUUAUACUCAAUAAUGAAACCAAACCGUAUACCUAAUUUUUAAACACAUCACCUCCAAAUGCAUGUAUUAACUAACAUAUAUCCAAUCCACAUGCCAAGUUACCAUGAAUAAAUUAAACUUAUAUAUAUAUAACAUAGCUAAAUAUUCCUUAACAUAAAGGCAUUUAGUGACAUUUAAAAAAAAUAUAAUAACCAUUUCCAUAAGUAUAUUUUCAUGCAAAGACCGUACCUAAAUCACCAACAUUUUAACUCCCAACUACUUAGACUUAACCUUUCAUACCCUUAUAUCUAAUGUCAUAAGAAUAGCCGAAUGUCCAAAUUAACCAAGCUUAAAGAUUUAACCUUCAACACUUUAAUAUUCCACAACCUAUUCUUCAAGGCUUCAAAUAUAAAGUAAUUAACAUUUAUACUCUUAUGCCGAAUUAGCUAACACUUAUAAUCCAUAGCCGAAUGUCAUUAAACCUAAACCACCAUGAAAAUUUUACUUAUCACCUCAUACCUUAUUAUCAAAUUGAACUAAUUAUGCUUAUAAAAAUAAUAUCAAAACCGAAACCUUUUAAUAAUUAAGCCUCUAAUUAUUUAUUUCAAUUACCCAAACGAAAUUUUCUCACAUUUAACACUUAUAUACCCAUCAAUUGUUGAAGACAAACAAAAUCUCAUUUCCUCCCUUGACAACCACAACCGAAAGCUCAAACCAACAUCUAAAAUUCCAAGUUUUCAAAUGGGCUAAUAUGGAACUAGCUAAUUGACUUAAACUAAGCUUAAAAUUUCAAAAAACUAGCAAAAUUUUUACUAACCUUCUCAAGCUUCAAGUGACCGAAUGUUUUUGCCCCAAUUCUUUCUUUCAAUUCGGCCAAGAAGACAAAGAUGAAGCUUUGUCUUCAUUACUUUUCUUUUUAUUCUUUCUUUAAUUUAUUUCCUUUCUUUUGCAUAAAAUAAUGGCCAUUUAAUUAAGAUUUAGUACAUAUUAUAUAUAUAUGACCAUCAUGGCCGGCCGCCACUUAAAAUAAAAGGGGUAUUUGACAUGCAAGUACAAUUAUUUGCAACAUGCAUAAAUGGGCCAUUUUACAUUAGCCUAGCACAUUUCUAAAUUUUCUCACAUAAGUCCUAUUUAAUAAAAUUCACUUACAAUUUACAAAAUUCAACCAUGAAAUUUUCACACAUGCAUAUAUACAUAUAAUAAACAUCAAAUAUGACGGUCAAUUAUUUUUGUGACUCGGUUUAGUGGUCCCGAAACCACUUUCCGACUAGGGUCAAUUUAGGGCUGUCACAUCCCUCUUGCAUGAAUGUCCCAAAUACAUGUGCUCUUUUAAAUGUCAUCCAUUGAACCUCAAUUAUGCAUGCACCCUUCCAUACUUUGCACUAGGCCCUACAUGAAUCUUGUAUUAAAUACAUCUUCACAUUCGGCUGAACCUAGUUCAUAUCAAGACAAAUUAAUUAAAAUACUAAGAUAAAUUAAAAAUAAUUAAUUAUGGACUAGCUAGUAUAUUAAGUUCGGCUAGCUCAAACAUGUGAAAAUAAUUAAUGAACUCAUUUGAGCUAGGGAAUUCAGUCAUGAGCUGUAUCAAAUUAAAUAAAAUAAAACUAAUACUUCGCUUAUAAAAGAAAAGAGCUGAAACUAAGCUAGGUUGAGCUCAAAUGAGCUUAAAUGAGCUCAAGUGAACUGAUUCAAGCUGAAUGGAGCUUGGGGAGCUGAAGAUGAGCUAACAUCAGCUUGCACUAUGGUGCAAGGAGUCUUUAAGGUGCUAGCCCGACCUUCUCCAUUGACAUCGAGCUUGUUCUCUUCCCAAAAUUGAGUGAUUAAAGCUGAAACAGCUUCUUGGAAUUGCCUAGCUCGAGCUCGAGUCAUUGGGCCUUUAGGGACCUCAAUAGGUGCUUGGCUCAAAGUCCUCGAGCUCCCAACCGUGCUUACAUCAUCAUGCAUAACUUAUACCUUGUCAUUAGAACUUAUCAUUUGAACCAUAAUUUUCAUGCAUCCCAAAUAUACAUAUAUCUAACUUAUACAUACUUGACUAUAACUUAUCCAUAUAUAUAAUUUAAUUUCAUACCAAGUUAUACCACAAUUGACCACAUGCCAAAAUCACAUUCAAACAUACCAAUUUGGUUAUUCAAAACACAACUUCAAAUGACCAUUUCCACUCCAACCAUCAAGGACAUCUAAAUGACACAAAUCUAACCAUAUUUAGAUGGUUCCAACAAUCAACAUGUAUACAAACCAUAUUUCAAUCAUGCACAUCUAUUCAAAAAGCCUUACCAAAGCAUACUAUAUCUUGGCCAUGUUGAGGUUAAUUCAUCAUAUAUCACUUUGGUCAUUCAAACAUGCUUUAACACAUAUCAAUAAGGCACCAAAUGUACCAAGGCUUCAUCACCCAAAAUGACCUAUACAUGCCAAACUCAUCAACUAACAUUCGACUAAUCAUCAACCACAAGUUCACCUAUACAUGCCAUUAUAACCUUAACCAAGACAUCAAAAUCUACCGAUAUAAUCGAUGGAUAGUGUGAUGGAUCUCCGACUAGUUUCCAACCCGAUCGAGCUUUUGAUAAUUUGAAAAGUAAAGGAAAAACAACUACAUAAGCAAUGAAUGCUUAGUACGCUCGUAUAACUUUAAUCAUAUCAAUCCAUUUCAAAUAUGAAAUUUAUACAUAUCAAGAAUAAUCCUAUACCAAUACCACAAGAUUUAUGAAACCAUAAUCAACAACUCACACAGUGAAUAAAACCACAACAUCACAUAUACAUAUCAUCCCUAGCAUAGUAGGAUUUUUUAAAACUUUAAACCCUUUCAAAUUUUAUUAUUUUCAUUUACAUUUCAUUACUUUCCAUUACAUUUACUUUCUUUAGCUUAAACAACAACAUUAGUUUAACUCAUCAAUCCAUUUUUCAUCAUUUUACACUUCAAGUAUGAACUUACUUUUUCAUUACCUUUCCACACCCGUUUCAUAUGCAUAGCACACAAGACAUAAGCAUAUCAUCAACCAUAGCCACAAGCUAGUGCAUUUAAACAUAGCUCUUUUGGAAUUAACCACAUGAUAAACCAUUUCAUAAGAAAUUACAUAAUUUAAACCUUACCACUCUUUCAUGAACACAAGCAUAUUUCUAUUUGGGCACUUACAAUUUCAAUGCAUAACUUCUAAGUAAACAUAAUAAAAUCCAACCAAUAGCUUGACACAUGCCUAAGCAUCAAACAACAACACAUGUUAGCAUACUUGAACAUAUUUCACAUAAAUUCAACAUGGAUAACCAUUAUACUUGAAUACGAUUCAAUUUGGAUAUAACAUCCUUCAAAACAUAACAUGUUUUCCAUAUAUCUCAUCAUUUCAAUGUAUUUCAUGUAUACCUGUAUUUUCUCAUAUUGAACAUUUACAGUUCCCUGUCCAAUUCGUGUCCGUUGAACCGAAUAGAAUAUCAUUGGAUACUCGGGAUAGCUUACACAAAGUGGGCUAACUCAUAUAAUCGUAAUGCGUCAAUUCAUGUACAUAUAUGCUCACAUGAGCUGUGAAUAAGUAUGCUCACAUGAGCUAAGAAAAUAGGCCUACUCACACGAGCUGUGGGUCGGAACGUAGCUAUACGAUGCUACUCAUACGAGCUGUGGAGUAUGCGCAACACAUGCCAGACCUGAACCAACAGUAGGACAUUCAAGACCAGCACCUGAAUCAUGUAAACCCUAAUGACAUGUCAUUUGUAUCCUACGAAUUCCUAAGGUUUAAAUGGGGCUCAGUAGUCGUCGUACGCCGUUGAAUUUCUAUCGUUUCAUGACAUAAUAAUUUGCAUAAUAUCAUCUAUAUAUAUUAAUUCAUGUACAAUACAUUAAACAGUUAAUUUAACUCACAUUUAAGUGUUUAUAUUUCAUACGAACUUACCUGGCUAAAUUGCAGAAAUGUCAAAGUAUAAGGGCAUUUUGGUAAUUUUUUAUUCUCCUCUUAAUUUUCCACUUGAUCUUGAUCCAAAUUAAUAAUUUCAUUCAAUCUAUCAAUUUAGAUAGUAAAACAAUGUAUUUUAUGCACUUUAUUCAUUUUUUACAUUUUUACAAAAUUACCCCUAAAGUUUUACUUUUAUUCAAUUUAGUCCCUGAGCCUAAAACAUGCAAAUUAACCAUUUUUACCCAAAAUUUAGCCUAUCAAAAUUCUUAUGGCAUCCAAACAGCUCAUUCAUGCAACAAUUUCACAUCAAAUCCUUGUACUUCUACUAUUUUAACAAUUUAGUCCCUAAUAAAAAAAUUCAUCAAAAAUCACUUAAUAAAAUACUUUUAAAUAACAACUAAUAUUUCAAAUUCAUCAUUUAACGUCUAAAAUCACUAGGUUCAUCAAUGGAAACAUUCAAAAUCUUUAACAAUUUCAAAAUCGAAGGUACGGGCUAGCUGGACCUAGUUGCAAUGAUUUCAAAAACAUAAAAAUUAAAAGAAAUGGGGCUAAAACGGACUUACAUGCAUCAUCCAAAGCAAGACCGAAGCUUGAAGCUUCUCCCAUUCUUUUUCCAUGGAAACCUUCGGUGGUGAAAAACAAAUGGGGAAGAAAACAUUUUGUUUUCUUUAUUUUAGUAACAUUUAAUUUUAUUCUAUUAAAUAAAUAACAUAUAAAACAUUAUAAUUAAAAGAAAUUAAGCAUCCAAACUCCCUACCAUAUUUAGGAUGGCUAUUUUACUCAAUAAGGCCUUCCAAUUAUAAUUCUUUCAGCAAUUAACACCUUUAAACUAAUAGCAAUUGACUUUUUCAACUUUUACAAUUUAGCCCUUUUUGUUUAAUUAACUAUCGAAACGUUAAAAUUUUUUAACGAAACCUUAAUAGCACCUUAAUGACACUCUGUAAAUAUUUAUAAAAAUAUUUAUGACUCGGUUUAUAGAAACAAGGUCCCGAUACAUUAUUUUCUAAAACCAUUUGACCCUAAGGUCUUACCACUUGAACUUAAUAAAUCGCUUAAAUAACAUAAAUUAUCAAAUCAAAAACCUUUUUAAAAAUCACAUUUGACUCGUAAAUAUUAAAAAAUAACAUUUACGAACUUACUCGCCAGAUUUGGUGGCCCCGAAACCACUGUUUCUGACACCACUGAAAAACGGGUUGUUAUAGUACCCUAUAGGCGACACCGACCUGUUGUUUCUGCCCUCCUCUACUUCUCCGUGCACAAUGGGAUGAGACCUUUAAGGGUCUUGUGAAAAAUAUUUUUCAGGGACCUUAUAAUGGUCCCCUAAUGUGAAAAAAAAACAAAAUAGAAGAAGAAGAAGAUUUAGAGAAGAGAAUGGGAAGGGAAAAAAUAAAGAAAAAUGAGAGUAGAAGAAUAGAUAAGAGAAGAGAAUAAGAAGGGGAAAAAAGAAUAAAAGAGAAGGAAAGAAGAGAAUGAGAAGGGAAAAAAAAGAGAAAAGGAGAAAAGGAAGGAAGAAAGGGAAAGACAUUUGGGCUUUAAGGAGUUAAGUUUAGGGUUUGAAAAAAAAAGACUAGUGGGUUUUGUUUAAAGUUUGGAAAAAAGGAUUAAAGGGUUUUGUUUGGGGUUAUAUGGGUUUAUGAUUAAAAAGAAUUCAAAAGAGGUAUUUUUUUUAGUAUCUAUACAUUAUUUGUUAGUUUAGUAAUUUUUUUUUAUUUAUAGGUUAUAAAUGUUAAAUUUUUUUUGUUUAACCAUGUUAUUUUAGAAAUGUUUUUGAUUAAUUUAGAUUCUGAUUAAUUUUUUUAUUUUUGUAAGGUAUUAUUUCGGUAAGAAAUAAAGGUUUUUUAUAGGUAUUAUUUUGGUAAGGUAUGUUUCUAUUUUAUUUUUUGAUUUGUAUGGUUUUUUUAUGCUUUGUAUUAGAUUCAAAUAACAACAUUAAUCCCAUUAGGUUUAUUAUGUUGAGAUCAUUUCUACUGUUUCAACAUAAAUUUUUUGUUGUUUUAUAUAGGUAAAAGAUGAUACCAUUGAGUUGAAAUUUAUGAGAUAUUUUUUCUGUUCUUUAUUAACUUAAGUAGUAUAAAAAUGUUUAUUAUAUACUGAAAUAAUAUGGCAAAAAAUGUGAUGUGCACCAAACUCUUUAGCAUUUUUGUAAUUAUAUUAUUAGUGUACUAUAUUUAUUGUAUAAUAUUAAUGUGUUUUGAUAAUUAUUUAAGAUGUGAUAAUUAUUUUUUGUUAGGGUGUCUUAUUUCUGUAUUUUAAUAUUUCUUCUCCUAUUAUUGGGAUAAAAAGGCUCAAAUAGAAACUAAUUACCUACCGAAAUGUGUUUUUAACAAAAAACUAAUUACACUCUUUUUUUUAGGUUGCAAAUAUCAAAAUGGGUUCUUUGAUUAAAGAUGAUAAUCGCAUUUCAAAAAUGGUUAAUAUGAUGGUAAUAAAAUUGUUUUUUCUUACCUUAUAAAAUGUUCCACGUCAUUUACGAAUUUAAACUAGGUUAUAUUAACUAUUUCUGUAAUUUAAUAGUGUUAGGGCCUAUACCGCACAUUGAGGGGUCGUACGAAUGAUUUAGGAUAUCUGCUGGAUGAACGUGUAAUUCCAUACUUGGAGUUAGCCAGAUUCGGAUCAACAACAUUGAUCCGAACAUUUGAUUUACGGUACAACUUAAUAUCCGCUUUGGUCGAGCGAUGGCGUCUAGGGACCCACACUUUUCAUUUGCUGUGUGGGGAGUGCGCCAUCACUUUAGAGGAUAUUACACUGCAACUCGAGUUCCCAAACGAUGGGAAAGCGGUAACGGGCAUAAGUGCGAUCCUAGAGCCGUCCACCCUUUGCUAUAACCUACUGGGAGUCUCGCCCGGUGAUGUUAGGUCGAAAUUUUUGGGUUUGAGGUUUUCAUGGCUGAAGGCCAAUUUUGAGAAUAUACCGAUUAAUUCCACUGAUCGGGAGGUAAUGUGCGUCACUUGAGCGUACAUUAUGCACAUUAUAGGGGGUGUACUCAUGCCGGAUGCAGAUAGCAAUAAGGUCCAUUUGAUGUACUUGCCCCUGUUAAUUGGUUUGCAUAACGUCACUUCAGAUGGAUCUUUCUUUCGAUUUGCAGCCCUUGUUACAAUACAUACAGUGGUACUCCGAGAAGGGGAAAUCGUAUUUAUUUGGUGGGAAAUCAAUUCUAGUUCUUCUACACAUACCAUAACUUGGGCAACCCGCCCAUCCCCUUUCACAUCCGACUCCUGCACUCGAGCUAGAGCCCUAGUCUAAACCUGAGCCUACGCCCAAACCCGAGCGGUCUCAUACAUAGCCUGGAGAUAGUUCUUUUCAUUCGGACCUAGGGUUCGAUGACUAUUCCUCGGGCUCAUCAGGCCACGAUAUCAUUCAGGGUUUCUCGGAUCCAAUUCUGAUAUACCUAAUUCGAUAUCAUCAAUGACGUUUGAUAUCUUCAACCCUUACCACCGUAAUACCCUGCUCCUCCCAGAUAAACAUUUGGGGCAUACGCCCCUAGGUUUCAGUGAGGACCACAUUGAUAACCGCGAGCACCCUCAAUGUGAACACCAACCACCACAACAAUUUACCCCUAGGACCACACCAUCAAACCAUCAAUUUUUGGGGUUUCUAUCAUUUCAAUGAUCAUGUUUGUAUGUAUAUAAUUGUUGUAAAAUUUGUAGUAAAAUUUAGGCAUUUAAACUCAAUUUUUACUUAACCUUUAAGUUUUUGGUACUAAAUUUAAAUGAGAUGGUGCCUAAGGUAUAAACUAUCGAUUUAUAUACAUGCAAAAAUAUAAAUGCAAAAAUAUAUAUUUGGUAAUAUAAAUGAAAAAUACAAACUUUAUAAUAUAAAUGCAAAAUUACAAACUUUGUAAUAUAAAUUAGAUGCAUUGGAGUACAUUUGUAACACCCUUUAGCCGUAUUCGACACCAGAAUAGGGUACGAGGCAUUACCAGAACACAUACACUUGUAAAUGUAUUUAACCGAGUUAUAAAACUUCAUCUAAAUUAAAACUUUCAAAUUUUAUAAUUCUUCAUAAUAUAUCCUCAAAAUAUUAUAUUCAUAAUAAAUAGGACCUAUGAGACCCGAUACAUAUUCAUGCAAUUCACAAGUCUUAAUAAUUCAAUGCUUCAUUUCCAUUUCAUUCAAUUCUCAAAUUUCUCAUGUUGACAAUUCAAAUCAUUAAUUUCAAUACUAAUACGUAUUUAUCAUUUAACUCAACGUUCAUUGAUUAUACCAUUCAUUAACACAUUUAUGAAAUUCUAAAUUUUUGCAAUGAAAAUAUCACUUAUCUUAUAAAAAACAUCAAUUCAACUCAUCAUCCUAGUAUAAAUUCACUACCACUUAUCCAUUUACUAUAAUUCUUUUGGGUUCAUUUGUCACUUACCAUUCUGAAUCAAAUUAGGGAACGGUUACGGAAAAUUGAGUACUUCACUUCCACCUUGCCAUAGUAUAACUAUGAUCUUACGUAUGAUCACUUAUCACUUGUCCCUGAUCAGAUAAGUGUAGCUAAGCUACCACUUAUCACUUGCCACUUGUCACUGAUCAGAUAGGUGUAGCUAAAGCUACCACUUAUCACUUGUCACUUGUCACUGAUCAGAUAAGUGUAGCUAAAGCUAACACUUAUCACUUGUCACUUGUCACUGAUCAGAUAAGUGUAGCUGAAGCUAUCACUUAUCACUUGCCACUUGUCACUGAUCAGAUAAGUGUAGCUGAAGCUACUACUUAUCACUUGUCACUGAUCAGAAGUACUCAAAUCCGACGUUCCGCUCAAUUUGAUCAUUUAUUCAGUUUUCGUAUUGUUAUUUUAUUCUCAAUUCAUUAAAAAAUAUAUCUCAUCAUACAUUAUAUAAUUCAUGAAAUUAACAUGUAAUCAUUAAAUUUCAGCCAUAUGAACUUACUAUUUCAUUAACUUUCCACACUCGUUUCCUAUGCACAUCACACAAGGUAUAAGCAUAUCAUUCAACCAUAGUUGCAAGCAAGUGUAUUUAAACAUAACUCUUUUUGGAACUAACCACAUGAUAAACCAUUUCACUAGAGAUUACAUGAUCACAACUAAAUAUGUUACCAUUUCGACCACUACUUGGCCAAAGCCUAAGCAUGUACGCCAAAUAUGUUAGUCAAAUACACAUAUAGCAUAAACAUUAUAAGCAUGGAUGAGCACAACAUUUAUUCAUGUAUCACACUUACCAACAUGUGUUAAUUCAUAAAUCAUUCAUGACAUUACUUCAUGUCAAAUCAUAUACCGAAUAUACCAUACACACAUUCUAUGAAACUUUAUUUUCACACAUGAGCUUAGACCAUGACCAAUAAUGUACAAAUAUAAGCAUCAUUUCUAUUUCAUCGUUUAUCAAUUAUAAUCAAGCAUAUGACCAAUUAUACACAAAUCAUUCAUAUAUUUCCCAAUUUUCCUCCUCCUCCUCUCCAUUCCACAUCCUUAAUGUGUAUAACAAAUUUAAACAACAUUAUCCAUACUAUCACUAUUUUUCCUGUAUGUAAAUUCAAGUUAUCUGUCUAAGUUAGAGUCACUAAUUUAUUUAUAUCUCGAGAUAAAGAGCUCCAAAUUAAGAUCAGUUAAUUUUCCAUAAAACUAGACUCAUAUAUCUUCAAAGCAUAAAAUUUUAAAAAUUUUUGGUUCAGCCAAUAAGUACAGUUUAUUCUUUAAAGUUUUCCCUGUUUCACUAUUUGAUAGUUCUGACCCCUCUUCACUAAAAAUUAAUUAUCUCUUUAUAUAGAAUUUAGACGAUGUCCUCGUUUGUUUCUAUUGAAAAUAGACUCAUUAAGGAUUUUAAAUAUAUAAAUUAUAACCCAUAAUUAUUUUUAUACAAUUUUUAAUGAUUUUUCCAAAUCAGAAUAGGGGAACCAAAUUCAUUCUGACCUUAUCUAACAAAAUUCAUUAUAUCUCAUGAUUUAGAAUUCCAUUACUUACACCGUUUCUUCUAUGAGAAACUAUACUAAAUAAGAUUUAAUUUCAUAUUUUUUUCAUCCUCUAAUUCAAUUUCCAUGAUUUAUGAUGAUUUUUCAAAGUUAACCUACUGCUGCUAUCCAAAACUAUUUUAGUGCAAGAUGUUGAUAAUCAAAUUUAUAACACCAUCCUUUCCUUUCUCUACAAUAUUUUUAUCAAUUCCUCUUGUUUCCCUUCACUAACAUAUCAAGAACAUAGAACCUUAUAUAAUAAAGAACCUUAUAUAAUAAAACCCUACAUUAACAUCAAUUUCAUACUUUUUCAAUAAUAUCAAACUUAAAAAUAUAUUGAAACCUUGAUGUUCUUACCUUGCUCUAUUGAUUUCAAUCUUUAACUUGAUUUUCUCUCUCCUCCAGCUUCUAUUUCUCGAAUCUAACUUGAUAUUAUAGCUUCCCAUAGUCUCUUUAACAUUUUUCUCUCUUGGUAGCUAUGGAAAUUCUUUUAAUUUCUAGGUGAAAAUGGUAAAUUUUUGGUGAAAUGACCAAUUUGUAAAGAAAGCAAAACUUUCUUUCUUCCCUUCUCUUAUAACGUGAAAUGCAUGGGAAAGGAAGAUGAUUCUUCAUCUUUUCUUCCACAUAUAUAUAUACUAAAUAAAAUAAUAAUAAAAUGAUAAAAUGUCAUUUAAAAAUCAAAUUAAAAUAUUAAUAAACUAAUAUUUAUUUAUUUAUUUAUUUAAUCUAAAAUAUCUCUAACAUCAUCAUUAUUUUCUAGAUUUCUCUUUCUUCUAAUUGACCAUUUUGCCCUUUAGAUCUUUUAAAAUCCCAUCCUUAAGUCAUCACUUAAUUUGGUAAAAUUAUGAUUUAGCCCCUCAUAAUUCUUCAUCUAUUCAAUUUGGUCCCAAUUUAUCCAUUUUCCUUAGUUUCUAGAUUAUUCCACCCUUAAAAUAUUUACACUAUUGGUCCUUCAACUUUUUCAUAUUUACACUUUAACCCUUCAAAUUUUGAGUAUUUACUCUUGGAUAACAAAACUUUUCUCACUUUUGCAAUUUAAUCAUUUCUUUAAUUAAUAUGUCAGAAUAUACUUCCCAAUGUUGUCAUAACUUAAAAUUUUCCUUUUUGUCACUUUACUUCCUUACUAUAUCAAAGAUAAUAUCUUACUGUAAAAAUUUUCGGGGUAUUACAACAUUGGCUCAAUUUCCACUUGAUUGCGAUGAUUGACCAAUAUGGUAGGUUCGUUGCAGGCAUGUACUCCGAUUAUGCCCAGCUAAUCUACACACACCAAAAAGCUUCCUAUCAGUUUUCUCCCUAAUGUCCAUUUCAUUAUGAAUUCUAGUUGAUUGCGGACGACCUUUUGGAUUCCUACGUAACCUCUUGUCCAAGACAAGCUCAAAAGUCCUCGUAGGCACCUCAUAUAUAGACAGAUCAGGCAAGAUGGGGAGCUCAUUUUCCUAAACACACAACAUGUUCUUAAGAGUAUACACCUCAGUGAUAAACUGUUCAACAUUGAGCGAGGUGCGAGCACAUACUGUCACGACAUGCACAUAGGGAUAAUAUAGUGUUUGGAACCUUCCGUAAUCACACUGUCAGCUUCAGAGAUCAACUUCGUAGGACCUGGAUGGGAUAUCGGGCUGACGACCGAUGCUUUCUGUAACUCAAAAUGUUUCAAACUGUUGUGAAUAUAUUUCCACAUUCAUCGACCUCGCCUUACAACGGUUCACAUCCAUUGCAUCCCUGGCAUCUUCGACAAACACGUGUCCCGCAUUAAUCUGGUUGACUUGUUUUAGCCCCAUUCUUGGCAUCAAGGUGGCCAACCUAUAGAACGUACUCGAGAACACAGAUAAAAUCAAAAGAUGUCGUGUGUUCUUCAAUAUGGAGUUAACUGCCUCUGCCAGGUUGGUGGUCAAAUGACCAUAUCGAAACCCGUCAUUGAAACUUUGAGCCCAUUGCUACGGCUUCAUGGUACCCAACCACUAUCGGAAAAGAGUGUUCGUUUCACCUUGCAUGUCACCCUCAAGUGUCACCAUCCUUUACCGAAAAAGGUGUGGUUCUGGAUCGUACGCUGUGUAUGUAUUAAGAAAAGACAAGUUACAGUCUCGAAUUGUUCUAGUAUUGAUAAUAUUAAAACAUAUAUUGAAACUAUAUUUUACCUAUUUUCACAACUUGUCUCCGCAAGUUUGCAUUCUUGUACUACUGGUGAAAGUUAGCUGCUAUGUGCUGCAUACAAUAAACUGAUCUCCAUGGUACUCCAGAACACCUAAUGGCGACAAUUAUUCCCUUCCCUCUAUGAAAAAUUAUGCAAAUAUUAUUGUCACUAAUAACAUACCUUAGUAGGUUCGUAAGGAAGAAUUCUCAUGAUUCCAUGUUCUCUUUGUCUACAAUGGAAAAUGCUAUCAAGUGCACAUUUUUGUUCCCAUCUUAAGCAAUCGCAAUAAGUAGGAUCUGCGUAUAUUUACCAUAUGGUUAGGCCUUAUCUACCUGCACAAGCAGUUUGCAGUAGGGAAAUGAUCGCACGCAUGGAUCAAACAUCCAAAACAUCCGAUGGAAAAUUCUUCUUCUCGGUUGUAGUUGGUCAUUUGGAUCAUAAUAAGGUCAUGUCUCCAACUCAAUGACAGUCCCCGGACGUACUCUCGUAUAGCGGCUACCCACCCCCGUAGCUCAUUUUACGACGCAUCCCAGUCUCCGUACAACUACUCUAUUUCCAUUUGUUUAGCUAUCCAUGCUUUCCAAUAUGAUACUCGAUACUGGAAUCGUGCUUGCAUUUUUCCAAUCAAUACCGAAACUUUAAUGGUUGGCAUGUCCUUCACCAUUGGCAUGAUGCGUGUGCAAAUAGUUUUGGAAUCAAGUUUUCGAUGGUCUUUUGUCAUACAUGUUGAAAGGCAUGUGUGAUGCCAAACAAAUUUUAAUAUUUCUUCUCCUAUUAUUGGGAUAAAAACUCCCAAAUAGAAAUUAAUUACUUAUCGACACGUGUUUUUUGCAACAAACUAAUUGAACUCAAUUUUUUUUAGGUUAUUUGAUUAAAAAUGAUAAUCACAUAUCAAAAACGGUUAAUAUGAUGAUAAUAAAAUUGUUAUUUCUUACCUUAUAAAAAGUUACACAUCAUUUACGGAUUUAAACUAGGUUAUAUUAACCAUUUUUGUAAUUUAAUAUUGCCAGGGCCCAUACUGUGCAUUGAGGGGUCGUGUGAAUGGUUUAGGAUAUCCGCUGGAUGAACGACUAAUUCCAUACUUUGAGUUAGCCAGAUUCAGAUUAGCGGUAUUAAUCCAAAGUUUGAUUUUUCGUACGACUUAAUAUUCGCUUUGGUCAAGAAAUGGCGCCCGGAAACCCACAUUUUACAUUUGCUGUGUGAGGAGUGCACCAUCACUCUGGAGGAUGUUGUACUACAACUCGGGCUCUCAUUCAAUGGGAGUGCAAUAACGAGCAUAAGUGCGAUCUCUGAGCCGGUCACCCUUUGUUGUAACCUACUGGGAGUCUCGCUCGAUGACGUUGAGUUGAAAUUUUUGGGUUUGAAGUUUUCAUCGCUAAAGGCCAAUUUUAAACAUUUACCGAUUAAUGCCACUGAGCGGGAGGUGAUGUGUGCCGCUUAAGCGUACAUUAAGCACAUUAUAGGGGGUGUACUCCUGCCAGAUGCAAACAACAACAGGGUCCAUUUGAUGUACUUGCCUUGUUAAUUGAUUUGCAUAACGCCUAUUCGUAUAGUUGGGGUUUCACGGUACUAGCUAUGUUAUAUCGCGAGCUUUCUUGAACGAAAAAUCCUUUUGAUGUGGACAUAAAUGGAUGCCUCAUAUUUCUGCAGUCUUAGGCCCUUUACCGGCUGUCAUUCUUGGCAUCGGUUAGUCAUGAAUCAUAUGUCUUUCCACGUGUGAAUAGGUGACAAAAAUUUGACCCAUUAUAGCAAUUAUUUGACAUUUCAUUUUUAAUGAUAUUAUUCUAACAAGUUUUUGUUUUCGUAGAUGGAGUACUAAUUAAGGUAUCGAGAGGUUAUGUACGGUUCUGAUAAACCAUCUGAUGAUUGAAACACAUGCUGGGGAAGGGUUAAGCUAUUCCAAUAUUUAAGACAUGUAAUUACUUUAUCUGUCUUAUUCGAACCGUGUUAAUAUAGCCAUGUUAUUAAUUAUGCAGUUCAUCUAGAUGCACUAUUCCUUCCAUCAAAUUGCGACUAUGAUUCCCUUGUCUACCCACAUCCACUCACACCUGUGGUGCAUUAACGCACCCAUUAUCAAUGUCCAGACAGUGGAGUCGUAUAACAAGGAUUGAGUACUCUGAUAGUUUGGAUGCAUACAAUAUAUCCCGGCACCACUAGUGCAAUUGGAGAAGAUCCACGGGAGUAACAGGAGGGGAAAACAAGGAAAUAAUUGGACAAUAGUGCAUAAACAAUAUAUUGCAAUGUGGAACAACCGGAUGGGGUGGAGACCUCAGAUGGAUCUUUCUUUCGAUUUGCAGCCCUCGUUAUAGUACAAACAGUGGUACUCCGAGAAGGGGAAACUAUAUUUUUUUGUGGGCAAUCGAUUGUAGUCCCCUCGUACAUGCCAUGACUUGGGUAACCCGCCCAUCCCCUUCCAUAUCCGCCUCCUGCACUCGAGCCAGAGCCCUUACUCAAACCUGAGCUGACGCCCGAACCCGAGUAGUCUCAUACACAGUUUGGGGAUAGUUCUUAUCAUCCGAACUUGGGGUCAAUGACUAUUUCUCAGGCUCGUUAGGCCACAGAUAUCAUUCAGAGUUUCCUAGAUCUAGUUUUGAUAUACUUGAUUCGAUAUCAUCGAUGAUGUUUGAUAUCUUCAGCCCAUUACCACCGCAGUACUCUACUCCUCUCAGGCAAACAUUUGGGGCAUACAAUUUUUCCACUAUGUUUAGCACACCACCAGGUUCGAGUGAGGACCACGUUGAUCACUGUAAGCACCCGCAAUGUAAACGCUAACCACUACAACAAUUUACCCCUAGGACCACACCAUCAAACCAUCAAUUUUAGGGGUUUUUUUCAUUUCAAUGGUCAAGUUUGUAUGUAUUUAAUUGUAGUAAAAUUUGAGCAUUUAAACUCAUUUUUUACUUAACUUUCAGGUUUUCUGGUACUAAAUUUAAAUGAAAUGGUGUUUAAGGUAUUAAUUAUCGACUUAUAAACAUGAAAAAAAUACAAACUUUGUAAUAUAAAUGCAAUUGAAAUAUAAAUGCAAAAAUAAAAAUGUUGUAAUAUAAAUUAGAUUCAUUAUAGUACAUUGGCUCAAUUUCCACAUGAUCGCGACGAUUGACCAAUAUGGUAGGUUCGUUACGGGCAUUACUCUGAUUAUGCCCAACUAAUCUGCACACGCCACAAAGCUUCCCAUCGGUUUUCUCCCUAAUGUCCAUUUCAUUAUGGAUUCUAGUUGAUUACGAAGUCAUACGCAACUUUUUAUUUGGGACAAGCUCAAAAGUCGUCGUAGACACCUCCCAUGUAAACAGAUCAGGUAGGACGAGGAACUCAUUUUCCCAAACACGCAACAUGUAAUAACCCAAAAUUCAUGGGCAUCGGAAAAGCAUAAUAUUGGGCCUCCGUCUUAGUAAAUUGAGUUUGAAAAUAAUUAUUAGAAAUAUUUACGAGGCUAGUUGUGUGUUUAAUUAGAUUUUUAUUUAGUGAAUAUAGCUUAAUUAGGAGUAAUUAGCAAAAAGGAUUAAAUUGCAAUAGAAGUGAAAGUUUAAUUAUAGAUUAAAAGAAAAUAAUAGGGACUAAAUAGGAAAUUAUGCCAAUUGCCAAAUUUGAGGCGGCAUAAGCAUAAUAUCUAAUAUUUUUAUGUGUUAAAAUAUGUUAUUAAAUUAUUUUUAUUAUAUUAUAAAACAAAUAAGAUAGUGACAAAUGUAUGGUAAUAAUUUACACAUGUGUCAUGAUAAUGAUUGUAUAAAUACACUUGUAUUAAAAUUUUGUAAUUACUUAUUAUAUAAGAAAAUAUUAUUAUAUUAUAUUAUUAAAAUAUUACAUUUAUUAAAUAAUAAACAAAAAAUAAAACAAAAUAAAGUAAAAGAAAGAAACAGAAUAGCAUUCGAAAAUAGAACAGAGAAAGAAGAAAAAGAAAGAAAAAGGGAAAAUAGGGUUUUUAAAGCUUGGAAUUUAAUUUGGUAAGUCAAAUAAGCCAUGUUACUUAAUUUUGAUGUUUUAGAAGUUUUAAAACAAGGUUUGAUGGAAUUAAGUUGAUAUUUUGUAAGUUCAUAGGUUUUCAAGUACAGUUUAUGUUGAACAAAAGAGAUGAAUUAGGGAUUUAAUUGAAUGAAUUUCAAGUUAGAAUUGAUAAAAGGAUUAAAUUGUGAAAGAAAUUAUAAUUUUUAUGUUGUAGGGAUUAAAUUGAGAGAAAUUCAAAAUUAGGGAAAUAUGCUAAAAUUUUAAUAGUUAAAUUUGAGUUAGGAUGGAAUUUGAAUAAAAAUAAAGUGUGAAUUGAAUUAGAAAAGUAAGAAAACUUAGUUAGGAUUAAAUUGAGAACAAGGUAGGAAUUGAUUAGAAAUUUAAUUAAUUAUUAUAAUUAGUGCUGUAAUUAAUAGUAUAAAUUAUUAUUAUUUUCGUAGCUAACAAAGAACCCGAGCCAUCAGCAUCAAAAGGAAAGGAGAAAGCUAUCGAGGACUAAAACGUGAGAUUUACGGUUUGUAUUACUAUAAUUCAAGUUAUUUGUUAUUAAUUGUUAAAUUUAAAUUUAUGUGUUUGGUAAAUGAAAUGUGAGGUAAGUAUUAUUAUUAUUAUUAUUAUUAUUGUUAUUAUUAUUAUUAUUAUUAAGAUGAGUGGGAAUUAAAUUGAAUAGUUGAUAUGAAUUAAUAUUUGAAUUGUUUGUUGAUUGAAAGCGAGAAGUGAAUUUGAAUCGAAUUGUGACUGAUAUUAAAUUGAAUGAAAAUGUAUUGAGUUGUGAAAAUGUGUGAAUUUUUGGAUUAAUUAUUGAUUGAAAGGUGGAAAAAUGAUUGAACUGAAAAUGUGAGAAAUUGUGAUUGAAUUGGGGUUAUAUGUGAUUUAAAUACCCUAUUAACUAGUCGGGCUGAGUCAGAUAUAGUUGGCAUGCCAUAGGAUUGGAAGAGUUCAGGGAUACUUCGACCUCGAGUCGAUGAGACACUUGGUGUCACUAUAUUUCUUUGGAUAGAUUCGAUGAGGUACUGGGUACCAACUUUCUUCGGCUUUGCCGAUGAGACACUGGGUGUCAACUAUUGCUUCGAACUAUCCGAUGAGGCACUGGGUGCCAUAAUGGAGUGUUUGGUUGGAUCCGUGUAUCCGCCAAAGUCCGAGUUUUGUUAAUAGGGUAAAUAAUGAAAAGAUAAACUGAAUGAGUGGAUCAAUCGAGCUAUUGAAAUGAAAUGAAAAGUUGAAUGGUGAAUUGAAAUGUGAUAUGAGAUUUAAAAAUGAACCUAAGGUUCAUGAUAUGUCCAAAUUCAAAUUGUGGAUAUAUGAUAUUGAUUGAUGGAUUGCUAUUGUUGAGAUAAUGAAUUAAAAUUUGUAUAUACGAUUUAUGUAUUAUAUGUUUAUUAUUGUUAUAAUUUGAAUUAUGGUAAUAUCACUGAGUAUGAAAUACUCAGCGUACGGUUGCUUCCAUGCACAGGUUGAUAGAAGUAAAAAAAUUUCGGUUCAGCAUCUAGAUCAAUCCCGACUUCAGCAUAACUUUGGUGAUGUAUACUUUCUUUUAGUAAUGUGGCAUGUUGGAUAUGUAUAAAGGUUAUUAUGUUUUAAUAUAAAUGGUUAAAAAUAUUAGUAUUAAAAGUUUAUGAAUUAUAAUGAAAGAAGUUUAUCUAUUUUUAUUUAAUUAGUACAUUGUUAAAUUUAAAUUGAUAUUAUAUUAAUUGAGUUUGAUUAGAAGGAAUUUAGAAUAGAAAAUGAGAAUGUGACAUGAAUUGGUUGAUUUGAUUAUAUUUGAAAAUGAUAUGAUUUUAAAUUGCAGGGGGUUUUAUGUAAAAAUAAGUAGAAAUGCUGCCGAAAUUUAUAAAAAAAUGAUGUCAAUUGGUAAACAAACAUAUAAAUUUAUGAUUUAUUUUAAUAUGUUGGUUAAUUAUUUAAGAACUAUUUGUAAAUCGUUUGAAAUGUCCGGUAAUGCCUCGUAACCCUGUUUCGGCGACGGUUUGGGGUUAGGGGGUGUUACACAACAUGUGCUCAAGAGUAUACACAUCAGUGAUAAAUAGUUCAACAUUGAGCGAGGCGUGAGCACAGACUGUCACGACAUGCACACAGGGAUAAUGAAGUGUUUGGAACCUUUCGCAAUUGCAUUGUCUGUUUCAGAUAUCAACUCCGUAGGACCUAGAUGGGAUACCAGGUCCAUGACCGAUGGUCUCUGUAACUCAAAGUGUUUCAAACUGUUAUGAAUAUAUUUCUACAUUCAUCGACCUCGCCCUCCAAUUGUUCGCAUCCAUUUCAUCCCUGACAUCUUCGACAAACACGUGUCCCGCAUUAAUCUGGUUGACUUGUUUUAGCCCCAUUCUUGGCAUCAAGGUAGUCAACCUGUAGAACGUAGCCAAGAACAUAGAUAAAAUCGGAAGAUGUUGUGUGUUCUUUAACACAGAGUUAACCGCCUCUACCAGGUUGGUGUUCAUAUGACUAUAUUGAAAUCCGUCAUUGAAAAUUUAAGCUCAUUGCCACAGUUUCAUGGUACUCAACCACUAUCGGAAAGGAGUGUUUGUUUCACUUUACAUGUCACCCUCAAGUCUGGCCAUCCUUUAUAAAAAAAUGUGUGGUUCUAACUCGUACGUUGUGUAUGUAUUAAGAAAAGACAAGUUACAGUCUCGAAUUAAUUUUUUCUAGUAUUGAUAAUAUUAAAACAUAUAUUGAAACUAAAUUUAUCCAUUUUCACAACUUGUCUCCGCAAGUUUGCAUUCUUGUACUCUUGGUGAAAGUUAGCCGCAAUGUGCCGUAUACAAUAAACUGAUCUCCAUAGUACACCAGAAUGCUUAAUGGUGACAAUUAUUCCCUUCCCUCUAUCAGAAAUGAUACAAAUGUUAUUGUCACUAAUAACAUACCUUAGCAGGUUUGUGAGGAAGGAUUAUCAUGAUUCCAUGUUCUCUUUGUCCACAAUGACAAAUGUUAUCGGGUGUACGUUCUUGUUCCCGUCUUGAGCAAUUGCAAUAAGUAGGAUUUGCGUAUAUUUCUCGUAUGGUUAGGUCCCAUCUACCUACACAAGCAGUUUGCAGUGGGGAAACGACCGCACGUAUGGAUCAAACGUCCAAAACAUCCGAUGGAAAAUUCUUCUUUCCGGUUGUAGUUGGUCAUCCAGGCUGUAAUAAGGUCAUGUCUCCAACUCCCCGGCACAUACUCCUACAUAGCGGCUACCCACCCCUAUUACUCAUUGUACGACGCAUCACAAUCUCUAUACAACUGCUCCAUUGCCAUUUAUUUAGCUAUUCAUGCUUUCCAGUAUGAUACUCGAUACUAAAAUCAUGCUUGUAUUUUGCCAAUCAGUACCGAAACUUUAAUGGUUAGCAUGUCCUUCACCAUUGGCAUGAUGCAUAUGCAAAUAGUUUUGGAAUAAAUUUUUCAAUGGUCUUUUGUCAUAAAUGUUGAAAUACGUGUGUGAGGCCCAACAAAUUUUAGCAUCUCCCACAUCUGCGAGUUCUUGGUAAAUGUGGCUCAUACCCACUAAUUGCAGCCUUCUGUCGACCUCCAAUAGUUUCAAUAUACAAUGUCGGUUUAGACAUGACGACUUUGUAGUCUAUUCAUAUAUUCAUGCUAUACCGCUUAAUGGCAAAUACGCACUCUUCCUUGGUUUCAAAUUUUUGACCCAUGAAAAAUCCUUAGGUUCGGAAUCUACGACCAACCGAUGAGCAGGUAGUAUAUCAGGAUACUCCAAAAACUUGACUAGAUGCGUAGCAUCGAGGUCUAUUAGCGACAUGUGUGCCCCAGGAUCAUUGCAUAUCACAAUGUGUCGAACCAGGUUUUUGACUGAAGACUCAUUAACAUUUCCAUCAUCAUUCGCGCCUUCGUCGUGGAUAUCAUCUGAGACCUCGUACACAUCGAGAUCACUAUCACCAUCGACCUCAUGAUCAGAAGGAUCACUACUAUUAGUUCCAUCAUCAGCAUCAGUCUCAAGUGCAACAUUAAGAUCGAUGUCGAACCCGCGUACAAUCGAUUGACAAUCAACAUAGGAUAUCGAAACCACCAUACACAGAUCUUGAACUCUAUGUUCGUCACAUAAUGGAGUGGGAUCUUCAGCUUGCUCCACAUCAGCUAACUCAGCAAAUAACUGAAUCAGUGCAUUUUGGUGGCUCUAAUUCCCACAAUAAAGAGGGACCAUUGCCUCCACGUCUUCAUCGUUUACAAGUUCCAUCUCGGUGAAUUUGAUGGGAUCUGUCAAAACUAGAAACUUUUAGAGAAGUUUCGAAAUCUUUCUCCCAUAACGUCUAACAAUUUUUGCACUAAUCAUUUCAUUCAUAUCAUAAACCAAGACAUUUCUAUUAAAUCUCAUUGCUAUUUGUUAGUGACAUUCAAAUAUACGUCCAACUGUUGUUGUCAAAAUUACUCCAUCAAAAUAAACACAUACAAAAAAUUGAUUAUCUAUCUUCAAUAUUAGAUCUGUUAAAAAAGAAAUAAAAAUUCUCAAUACAAUUUCAAGCAAAAUAAUUACUGUAAUAUAAAAUAUGAAUUUCAUAUCUACUAACCUAGUGAAUUCUUCUUUGUUUGUUUACUAUUCUUCUACAAAUUUUUUAUUGCUGUUAUUUGAAUUCUCAAAACUUUUUUCCCAAACACUGCUUAAAUAAUGGUUGAGAACAGGUGAUACCCACAAGAUUGGCACCACUGGUGCCACCUAUAACAUUGGAACCAAUAUUUUGGUGUCACCUUUCCCAUGGGCACCACCACCAAAACUUGUCCCAAGCCCGUAGUUAACAAUGUAUUGGAACCGUAUGGGAAAAAUACUUUGGUGUCGUCUAUCAACAAGGCUACACCAUUAAAAAUUUAUUUUUUUUAGCUGAAAGUGAUGGGUGUCAAAAUAUAGGGGUGGUGCUGCCUAUGCACCACCCUCCAGCACCCCUGGUAUACCAUUUCCGUAAAUAAUUUAGAUGGUAUACCAUUUUGGAACUUUUAAUUUUUUUUAUAUUAUUUAAGAAAAAAACCCAUUUUUGAGCAUAAUCAAUGCAAUAUCUUUCUAUGGUCGCCUAGAAGUACACAACCCUCAUGAUUUGUCUAGCCAUCAUAUGUUCAUUUGCGGGUGCAUCAUAUACCCUAUCAUGUACUUCUUCUAAUAUUCUUUAAGCUUCCUUAAAAUCUACACAUCUCAAUAGGAUAUGAUCUCGAUUUUUUUUUAUAUAACACCUCACCAUCUAAGAAGAAACUGAUAGAUAGUCUUUUGAUAAUUUGCUUAUCAUUUUCAUAAGCAUGUUUAGGGAAUUUCUGAAAUUUCAAGUAUUUCACAAUAUAAUAAUACUAUGGUCGUUCAUCUACUUCUUCUUCAAUGUCAAGGCAAUGAUCAAACAUUCUUUUAAUUUCCAAUUUGGAUGGUCACAGCUUUACUUCAUAGUUCAAUUUAUGUGCUCUUUCUUACUUAUCUCAUUUUGCUGUCGUGCACCGCAUCGCAUUAAUCUCCCGAACACCAAUAAUUAUAAGAUCAAGACCUUCCUCACUUAGAAAGGAUUAAAAUUGGUGGCUUAGAUAAGUAUUUGUUAACUUUCUUCGGCCCACUCACCACUAUCAUCCUUUCCAAGUAAUUUAAAUAAUGGAUCACAUUUCAACGUUAAGUGUGGAUGAAAUGAGAGAUAUAAUUUAAAAGUUAAAAAAAAAAAAAAAACCCUGCUCAUUAACAAAAUAAAAUUUUAAAAUCUUACUGUAGUACUAUGGGGUACCUAUUUAAGCAUAUUUAGUUGAACCCUCCGCCAGCCAAAAUUCCCUCCAAAAUUUCACCUAGAAUGAAUUUGUGAAAUUGCGAUUCUCUUCCCUUGGCAUCCCAGAAUGCAAACUCUAACCCUUUCCAAUAUCCUCCACCAGCACUUCCCUGAUGCUCUCCAUUUUUCGCUUCUCAAAUCCUCCAAAACCCACCAAGAAACCCAACAGCUCCACGCAUUUUCCCUCAAAACCGGCGUUUUCUCUCACCCCUCACUCUCUUCUCGUCUCCUUUCUCUCUAUGCCGACCCCAACAUCAACAACCUCCGCUACGCUCGCUCCGUUUUCGAUCGAAUCCAACACCCCUCGUUGGUUCUCUGGAAUAUCAUCCUCAAAUGCUACAUACAAAACCAACAAUCCCAUGAAGCUAUCUCCCUGUUCGUCCUUUGCUUGGUCAUUUUCCGCCUGAUGAAUUCACGUUUCCUUGCGUGAUUAAGGCAUGUGCUAAGUUAACUGCUUUGAAAGAAGGCAAACAAAUACAUGGGUUGGUUUUGAAGCUUGGCUUCGGAUUAGAUAAAUUUGUGCAGGCUAGUUUGGUUUAUUUGUAUUCCAAGUGCGGCAAGAUUGGUUCUGGUUACGCAGUGUUUGAUCAAAUGGAUGAGAAAGAUUUGGUUUCAUGGAAUUCUUUGCUUGAUGGGUAUGCAAGGUGUGGAGAAGUUAAGGCUGCCAUGAAGGUGUUUGAUGAAAUGCCUGAAAAGGAUUGUUUUUCAUGGACGGUUUUGAUUUAUGGGUUGGCGAAAUGUGGGGAGGUUGAGACUGCUAGAAAGAUAUUCGAGAACAUGCCAAAUAGGAAUUAGUUUCGUGGAAUACUAUGAUUAAUGGGUAUAUGAAAGCUGGAGAUACUAAUUCCGCUUGUAAAUUGUUUGAUCAAAUGCCCACAAGAAAUUUGAUCACGUGGAAUUCAAUGAUAGGGGGAUUCAAAUUGAACUUGCGCUUUUUGGAAGCUUUGGAAAUGUUUGAGAGAAUGUUGGAGGAGGAAUUUAGGCCCACUCACGCUACGUUAGUUAGUGUGAUUUCUGCUGUCUCUGGAUUAGCUAGUCUUGGCACGGGAAGAUUGAUACAUUCGUAUAUUGUUAAAAAUGGAAUCGAAUUAGAUGGGGUGGUUGGGACAGUGAUGAUCGAAAUGUAUUCCAAGUGCGGAGGCAUUGAUAGUGCGGUAACUGUUUUUCGGACAAUAAGCCACAAAAAGUUGGGGCAUUGGACUGCUAUAAUUGUAGGCUUGAGUAUUCAUGGCAUGGCUGACCAUGCUCUGAAGCUAUUUCUUGAAAUGCGAAGAAUUGGUGUGAAGCCUAAUGCUAUAACUUUUGUUGGUGUGCUUAAUGCUUGUAGUCAUGUUGGAUUGAUUAACGAUGGUCACAAAUAUUUUAAUAUGAUGAUAAAUGAAUAUGGAAUUAAACCUGCUAUAGAACAUUAUGGUUGUUUGGUGGACAUAUUAUGCUGAGCUGGUUGUCUUGAAGAAGCAAAAGAUAUCAUUGAAGAAAUGCCCAUGAGACCAAACAAAGUAAUCUGGAUGACAUUGCUUAGUGGUGCUAGGAACCAUAGAAACACAAAAAUAGGUGAAUAUGCUGCUCAACAUUUGAUUGAAUUGGCUCCAGAGACUACUGGUGGUUAUGUUGUCCUUUCCAAUAUGUAUGCUGUAGCAGGUGAGUGGGAGAAAGUUUCUGAGGUAAGAGAAAUGAUGAAGAAGAGAGGAUUAAGAAAAGAUUCCGGCUGCAGUUCAAUAGAGCAUAAAGGUGUGGUUCAUAACUUUAUUGUGGGAGAUAAAUCACAUCCGCAAACAAAAGAAAUUUAUUCCAAAUUGGCUGAGAUGAGAGAGAAAUUGAAAUUGGCAGGACAUGUUCCUGACACAAGCCAAGUGUUGUUGUAUAUCGAAGAGGAGGAAGAGAAAGAAGCAGAAUUGGAAAACCAUAGUGAGAGGUUGGCUAUUGCCUUUGGUCUCAUCAAUACUGAAGCUGGAUGUCCCAUUCGCAUCAUGAAGAACCUUCGUGUUUGUAGUGAUUGCCAUUCUGUCACUAAACUGCUUUCUAAAAUCUACAGACGUGAGAUUAUUGUGAGAGAUAAUAGCCGGUUUCAUCAUUUUAAAGAUGGAUUGUGUUCUUGCAAAGAUUUUUGGUGAUUACCUCAGAUGUUGGCUGGUAUUAUUGCCAUCUUUCAACAGGACUGAAAGGGAAGAUCCGCAUAAUAACUUUAAGGUCUUCAGGUUGUGUUUUGUCAUCACUUUUGAGGGUUUAUAGAAAUGGCUAGAUAUAUUUCUUGCGCUUUAUUUAUAUCAACUAACUGAACCAGCCACUUACUACAAAAUAAAACAUUUGCUUUAUGAUCUCAUCUCAUUUCAAGAAAGGUGCUAUUUCAGGGAAAAAGGAUAUGGAUUUAAUGAUACAACAGCUCAAAAGACUAGCAGUGAAUUACAUCAGUACACAGCAACAGAUGCUACAUAGCAAUUAAUGUUACAGCUUUCAGAGACAUAUCUAUAAUCUAAGUUCAUUUUCCGGGGACAAAGUUAGUGGCAUAAGCCCAUGCGUUGUUGGCCACCGGAUCGGCAAGGUGGUCAAAGAGGUUCUCAAUGGGACCCUUUCCUGUGACAAUAGCCUGGACAAAGAAUCCAAACAUGGAGAACAUUGCAAGGCGGCCAUUCUUGAUCUCCUUAACCUUCAAUUCUGCGAACGCGUCAGGAUCAUCAGCCAGUCCAAGUGGGUCGAAAGCACCACCUGGGUAAAUUGGGUCCAGUCCUUCACCGAGUGGUCCCCCACCAACUCUGUAUCCUUCAACAAAUCCCAUGAGCACAACUUGGCAAGCCCAGAUUGCAAGAAUGCUCUGAGCAUGGAUAAGGUUUGGGUUGCCAAGAUAGUCAAGGCCGCCCUCGGAGAAUAUUUGAGAUCCAGCUUUGAACCAAACUGCCUCUCCGAACUUAACUCCAUUCUUUGAAAGAAUUUCAGGGAAGACACAACCAAGGGCACCAAGCAUUGCCCAUCUGCAGUGGAUCACUUCAAGCUCACGGUUCUUAGCAAAUGUCUCUGGGUCAGCUGAUAACCCAGCAGUGUCCCACCCAUAGUCACCAGGGAAUUCACCUGUCAGGUAUGAUGGGAUUUGGUCUGAGAAUGGACCCAAGUACUUUGGGCGGUCAGGGCCGUACCUGUUUUUAAAACCAAACCGUAGGUAAUCAGAUCAAGAAGCAGAAAUAUAGUUCCGUUGCAUGAUUUCGCUUGUACAUGUUAUUUCUCUUUAAAUGUAUGGCUUAAAAUAAGGCAGAUUGCUGCUAGAUUGUACUGUACAAAUUGAAAUUUUUAGUCUGUUGUUUCACAAUAUUUGGGUUAACCAUCAAUGAUUAGACUAAAAAGAUCCUUAUAACAAAAUGCUACUAGUUAGUACUAGGAAGUAGUAACAAAAGUAUACCAGAUGCUGGUAGGGGCACUUUUCACAGUUCUGCGCAUGGUAACACGACCACCAUCGAAAGCUCCGACUUUGCGUAAGAGCUCAUUGGACUGCUUCAAAGCGGUCUGGCCAACGAAAGCAGAUUGUUGGAUAGCAGAGGUUGCCAUGGUGCCUAAGGCUUUAGGUUGACUUGGUUUGUUUGCCGAUGGUUA